rnacentral:lncRNA from 1 species
CUCCGGCGCCGUCGCCGAUCCAUCACCACGCCCAGGCGCCGUCGCCGAUCCAUCACCAUCACCACGCCCCGGCACCAUCACCGAUCCACCACCAACGUCACCACGCUCCAGCGCCGUCCCCGGUGCACCUCGACGCCGACGAGGUGGACACUUAGAGUGAUAUCGUCUCCUAUGUAUAUCUUCAUCUUAUUUUUCCCAGGGAAGUGUUUAAUAAAAGGAUCAUUUGAUGAAAUAUCAAAUCUCACAUUUCCUACAAAAAUGUUAAUGGCACCUUUAAUAGUCCUUAAGAAUAGCCUACCUGGUAGGAUUCGUGCAAUGGGAUGCACAAGCAUAUCAAUAACUACUAGAUGAUACCUCGCCCGUUACUGCGGGACAGAAAUGCAGAGAUAUCUAUUUAUAGAAUUAGAGCCAAAACAAUUGUAGAAUAUUGAGCAACAUGGAAAUAUAAAGAAAAACAUUUUCCAGAUGCCUCGUGUAUUGAUGUGGACACAAAAUAAUGAAUCUCAUAAGUCUUAGAUACAAAGGAUGUAUAAGAAAUGUGAGGUACAAUUAGUCCAGACCCCUAGCAUUCCUGGUGCAAAAUCAUCUGCAUCAAUGUGAUAGUUUUAUGUUAUCUAGAAAAACAAAACUUCAUUUAGAAAUUUGGAAUCAAUUUAGCUAACCACAACAAUUAAUUUGACACUACAUUAACCACAAAAUGGACGUAUUUAAAUCUGCAACUAUUUAAAACAAUGUGGAAUUGAAUUAACAACAACAACCAUGUGUGUUAUAUGAGUAUUAUAACAAAACUAAGUAAAACUAAGUGAAGCGUGUUUCAGCUGUGAAAUACGACCUAUCCUAAAGCAUCGAGCAUGUGUGAAGCACAACAUAUCCUAAAGCAUCGAUGAGCUGUGAAGCAUGAUAUAUCCUAAAGCAUCAAGCAGCUAUAUUGAACACCAAAAUUGCACAGAGAAUCUCUAAAAAAUCUGUGGGAAAAAUUCUCAAUUCAAUUAUGGGAUCUCACAAAUAAAUAAUGAAUGGAUCUCCAUCAAUGUUGAUUGCAUGGAACUCAUUGCAAAAUAUUUCCUCUACCAUCGACGUGCAAACCAAUUUUGCAUUUAGCACUGAAACCAAUAGUGGAUCAAAACAUUAUAAGAUGUGGACAUCAGACCACAUUACUAACAGGAAAUAAUUCUUUAAAAUUCAAAUCACUAACCUGAGCUUAUAAAGCCGAUUCCUUUCGGAUAAGCAACAAAACAACGUGUCUAUUUAAACUUUUGCCACAUUUUACCACAAAUAAAUAAGUGUAAGAAAAAUCAUUAAAGGAAGAACAGGGUGCAUUUUUCCAAUGCAAGAAGGGAACAAAAAAAUAGCAUACAUAAAGGUUACACCAUAGAUGGGUGUAAUAACAAUUUAGCAUGCCUUCUUCAAAUUGGAAAGAUGCAACAUGCAGGAAAAAUGUGUCGACAAAUGCAAAAUCAGGAAUAGUUAGGGAAAUUAACAAUACUAUUUCUCAUUAUUAUCAGAAAAAUUGUUGCACAUAUAUGUAUUGUAGAAUUAAUGUAUUUCGCUACCUCAGUUCAUUUCAUGAGUCAGUUCAUAAGUAAAGAAUAGCAUAUAUUCAAUUUUGAUGCUUCUAUAUCUAUCAUAAUCCCCGCAAAUGCUUUGAUGGCUUAACAUUUCAGUUAUUUGUAAUGAACUAUUGGGAAGAACACUGGUACAGUGACCCGUUGGAUGGAGAAAACCGCAAACUUUUAUACUAAUAGGACAAUUAACAACAAUAUAUUGAACUAUUAACAGAGCAUGGAAGCACAUAUACGUACUGUACCAAAGUAAUGUAUUUUUGUCACAUCGGUUCAUUGCAUGAGCCAGUUAGAAAGCAAAGAAAAAUAGAAUAUAUUAAAUUUUGAUGGUUCUAUAUAUUGGGAAGAGGAGUAUUAUAUAAUGAUGACUUAUUGGGAAGAACACUUGUACAAUACCCUGUUUGACGGAACAAACUGGAAACCUUUAUAGUAACUGCUCUGAGAGCCAACAUAAUUCCAAAUUUGUAGGAAAAGGGACUGCAUCUCAAUGGGUACAAUGUAUCAUAAUAUGCAACAAAGAUGGUAAAGUGAAAGCUUAAUUGGGGUGUAACAAAAUUCAGACUACCACCAAAAUCAAUUAUAUCCAGGUGCAAGAAAAGAGACAUUACCAAGACAUGUAUAACACAACCUACUUGCAAUUGGCAACUCCUUGGUAGGAAUGAUGUCAUUACACAUCAAUACUAUUGCUGAGAAGGCAUGACAAAUUCAGGAGACACAUAUUAGCAAUCAAGCACUUGUGUAAAACAAAUGUUUUUUUUCUUUCAAAAUCACAUAGUAUAAUCUAAAAUGAGAUAUAUUGCCUCAUGUCCAAGUGAACGAGCACCUCCAUAUCUGAAAAGGCAUCAGAAAUUCAGGGACAUAUAUAGGUAAUCAAACAAUUGUGUGAGACAAAUGGGAAAAAGUAUAUCAAAAUCACAUUGUAUAAUCUAGAAUGAUAUAUGUUACCUUAUGUCUAAGUGAGAGAGCAUCUCCAUCAAAUCUAUGUGGGAGCACAUGGAGCUGAGGCCAACUCCAACGCACGACCCUAUCCUGUCCGCUCGCGUCCGUUUGGGCCAAAACGGACAAAUGACACGGCCCAACGCGCGGCCGCAUCCUCAAAUUUUGUCCGUUUUGUGUCCGGCCCACCCUAUUUCCGGCGCAAACUUGAUCCCGGUUCGCGUCUAGACGGACGCCGAACAGACGGGCACAUCGCCCGCCAUGGGGACGUGUGGCAGCCGUCCACCUACCUCCUGUUGGGGAUCGUAGCAGAAAUUUAAAAUUUUCUACGCAUCACCAAGAUCAAUCUAUGGAGUCAUCUAGCAACGAGAGAGAUGAGUGCAUCUACAUACCCUUGUAGAUCGCGAGCGGAAGCGUUCAAGUGAACGGGGUUGAUGGAGUCGUACUCGUCGUGAUCCAAAUCACCGAUGACCGAGCGCCGAACGGACGGCACCUCCGCGUUCAACACACGUACGGAGCAGCGACGUCUCCUCCUUCUUGAUCCAGCAAGGGGGAAGGAGAGGUUGAUGGAGAUCUAGCAGCACGACGGCGUGGUGGUGGAAGUAGCGGGAUUCCGACAGGGCUUCGCCGAGCGCUGUGGGAGGAGGGAGAUGUGUCACGGGAGGGAGAGGGAGGCGCCAGGGGCUGUGGUGCGGCUGCCCUCCCUCCCCUCUCCUAUAUAUAGGCCUCCUGGGGGGGUGGGGGGCGCCGGCCCUGGGAGAUCUGAUCUCCAGGGGGGCGGCGGCCAAGGGGUGGCUUCCCCCCAAGGCAAGUGGGUGGCGCCCCCACCCCUAGGGUUUCCAACCCUAGGCGCAGGGGGAGGCCCAAGGGGGGGCGCACCAGCCCACCAGGGGCUGGUUCCCCUCCCACUUCUGCACAUGGGGCCCUCCGGGAUAGGUGGCCCCACCCGGUGGACCCCCGGGACCCUUCCGGUGGUCCCAGUACAAUACCGGUAACCCCCGAAACUUUCCCGGUGGCCGAAACUGGACUUCCUAUAUAUAAUUCUUCACCUCCGGACCAUUUCGGAACUCCUCGUGACGUCCGGGACUCCGAACAACUUUCGGGUUACCGCAUACUAAUAUCUCUACUACCCUAGCGUCACCGAACCUUAAGUGUGUAGACCCUACGGGUUCGGGAGACACGCAGACAUGACCGAGACGACUCUCUCGUCAAUAACCAACAGCGGGAUCUGGAUACCCAUGUUGGCUCCCACAUGUUCCACGAUGAUUUCAUCGGAUGAACCACGAUGUCAAGGAUUCAAUCAAUCCCGUAUACAAUUCCCUUUGUCAAUCGGUACGUUACUUGCCCGAGAUUCGAUCCUCGGUAUCCCAAUACCUUGUUCAAUUUCGUUACCGGCAAGUCACUUUACUCGUACCGUAAUGCAUGAUCCCGUGACCAACCACUUGGUCACUAUGAGCUCAUUAUGAUGAUGCAUUACCGAGUGGGCCCAGAGAUACCUCUCCGUCAUACGGAGUGACAAAUCCCAGUCUCGAUCCGUGUCAACCCAACAGACACUUUCAGAGAUACCUGUAGUGUACCUUUAUAGUCACCCAGUUACGUUGUGACGUUUGGUACACCCAAAGCACUCCUACGGCAUCCGGGAGUUACACGAUCUCAUGGUCUAAGGAAAUGAUACUUGACAUUGGAAAAGCUCUAGCAAACGAACUACACGAUCUUUGUGCUAUGCUUAGGAUUGGGUCUUGUCCAUCACAUCAUUCUCCUAAUGAUGUGAUCCCGUUAUCAAUGACAUCCAAUGUCCAUAGUCAGGAAACCAUGACUAUCUGUUGAUCAACGAGCUAGUCAACUAGAGGCUUACUAGGGACACGUUGUGGUCUAUGUAUUCACACAUGUAUUACAAUUUCCGGAUAACACAAUUAUAGCAUGAACAAUAGACAAUUAUCAUGAACAAGGAAAUAUAAUAAUAACCAUUUUAUUAUUGCCUCUAGGGCAUAUUUCCAACAGUCUCCCACUUGCACUAGAGUCAAUAAUCUAGUUACAUUGUGAUGAAUCAAACACCCAUAGAGUUCUGGUGUUGAUCAUGUUUUGCUCUAGGGAGAGGUUUAGUCAACGGAUCUGCUACAUUCAGGUCCGUAUGUACUUUACAAAUAUCUAUGUCUCCAUUUUGAACACUUUCACGAAUGGAGUUGAAGCGACGCUUGAUAUGCCUGGUCUUCCUGUGAAACCUGGGCUCCUUGGCAAGGGCAAUAGCUCCAGUGUUGUCACAGAAGAGAGUCAUCGGGCCCGACGCAUUGGGAAUCACCCCUAGGUCAGUAAUGAACUCCUUCAUCCAGAUUGCUUCUUGUGCUGCCUCUGAGGCCGCCAUGUACUCCGCUUCACAAGUAGAUCCCGCCAUGACACUUUGCUUGCAACUGCACCAGCUUACUGCCCCUGCAUUCAAAAUAUACACGUAUCCGGUUUGUGACUUCGAGUCAUCCAGAUCUAUGUCGAAGCUAGCGUCGACGUAACCCUUUACGACGAGCUCUUCGUCACCUCCAUGUACGAGAAACAUAUCCUUAGUCCUUUUCAGGUACUUCAGGAUAUUCUUGACCGCUGUCCAGUGUUUCCAUGCCGGGAUUACUUUGGUACCUUCCUACCAAACUUACGGCAAGGUUUACAUCAGGUCUGGUACACAGCAUGGCAUACAUAAUAGACCCUAUGGCCGAGGCAUAGGGGAUGACACUCAUCUUUUCUCUAUCUUCUGCCGUGGUCGAGCAUUGAGCCGUGCUCAAUUGCACACCUUGCAAUACAGGCAAGAACCCCUUCUUGGACUGAUCCAUAUUGAACUUCUUCAAUAUCUUGUCAAGGUACGUACUUUGUGAAAGACCAAUGAGGCGUCUUGAUCUAUCUCUAUAGAUCUUGAUGCCUAAUAUAUAAGCAGCUUCUCCAAGGUCCUUCAUUGAAAAACACUUAUUCAAAUAGGCCUUUAUACUUUUCAAGAAUUCUAUAUCAUUUCCCAUCAAUAGUAUGUCAUCCACAUAUAAUAAGAGAAAUGCUACAGAGCUCCCACUCACUUUCUUGUAAACACAGGCUUCUCCAUAAGUCUGUGUAAACCCAAACACUUUGAUCAUGUCAUCAAAUCGAAUGUUCCAACUCCGAGAUGCUUGCACCAGCCCAUAGAUGGAGCGCUGGAGCUUGCAUACCUUGUUAGCAUUCUUAGGAUCGACAAAACCUUCCGGCUGCAUCAUAUACAAUUCUUCCUUAAGAAAGCCGUUAAGGAAUGCCGUUUUGACGUCCAUUUGCCAUAUCUCAUAAUCAUAGAAUGCGGCAAUUGCUAACAUGAUUCGGACGGACUUCAGCUUCGCUACGGGUGAGAAAGUCUCAUCGUAGUCAACCCCUUGAACUUGUCGAUAACCCUUAGCGACAAGUCGAGCCUUAUAGAUGGUCGUGUUACCAUCCGCAUCUGCCUUCUUCUUAAAGAUCCAUUUAUUUUCUAUGGCUCGCCGAUCAUCGGGCAAGUCAGUCAAAGUCCAUACUUUGUUUUCAUACAUGGAUCCUAUCUCGGAUUGCAUGGCUUCAAGCCAUUUGUUGGAAUUCGGGCCCGCCAUCGCUUCUUCAUAGUUCGAAGGUUCACCGUUGUCUAACAACAUGAUUUCCAGGACAGGGUUGCCGUACCACUCUGGUGCGGAACGUGUCCUUGUGGACCUACGAAGUUCAGCAGUAACUUGAUCUGAAGCUUCAUGAUCAUCAUCAUUAACUUCCUCCCCAGUUGGUGCAGGCACCACAGGAACAUCUUCCUGCGCUGCGCUACUUUCCGGUUCGGAAGGGGUGACUAUCACCUCAUCAAGUUUCACUUUCCUCCCACUCACUUCUUUCGAGAGAAACUCUUUCUCCAGAAAGGACCCGUUCUUGGCAACAAAGAUUUUGCCUUCGGAUCUGAGGUAGAAGGUAUACCCAAUGGUUUCCUUAGGGUAUCCUAUGAAGACGCAUUUUUCCGACUUUGGUUCGAGCUUUUCAGGUUGAAGUUUCUUGACAUAAGCAUCGCAUCCCCAAACUUUUAGAAACGACAGCUUAGGUUUCUUCCCAAACCAUAAUUCAUACGGUGUCGUCUCAACGGAUUUCGACGGAGCCCUAUUUAAAGUGAAUGCGGCAGUCUCUAAAGCAUAGCCCCAAAAUGAGAGCGGUAGAUCGGUAAGAGACAUCAUAGAUCGCACCAUAUCCAAUAGAGUGCGAUUACGACGUUCGGACACACCAUUUCGCUGAGGUGUUCCAGGCGGCGUGAGUUGUGAAACUAUUCCACAUGUCCUUAAGUGUGUGCCAAAUUCGUGACUCAAAUAUUCUCCUCCACGAUCUGAUCGUAAGAACUUUAUUUUCCUGUCACGUUGAUUCUCAACCUCACUCUGAAAUUCCUUGAACUUUUCAAAGGUUUCAGACUUGUGUUUCAUUAGGUAGACAUACCCAUAUCUACUCAAGUCAUCAGUGAGAGUGAGAACAUAAUGUAACACCCCACAUGUAACUUUCCACAAUUGUAACUCCAACUCUUGCCAUUUUUGGCUAUGUGUUAUGAUAUUCCCUUCGUGGUCGAGUUUUGUUUUUCGUUUUGCAUUUUGUUCAUGUCAUGCAUUUCAUAUCAUGUCAUCAUGUGCAUUGCAUUUGCAUACGUGUUCGUCUCAUGCAUCCGAGCAUUUUUCUCGUUGUCCGUUUUGCAAUCCGGCGCUCCUAUCUCCUCCGGUGCACCCCUCUUGUUUUCUUUCAUGAGCGGGUGUCAAACAUUCUCGGAAUGGACCGAGGCUUGUCAAGUGGCCUUAGUAUACCACCGGUAGGCCACCGGUAAAGUUUCGUUCCAUUUGGAGGUCGUUUGGUACUCCAACGGUUAACCGCGUAACCGCAGAUGCCUUCUGUGUGUUGCAGCAAAACCCCCUCUCUAAACAGCCCAAAACCCACCAAACUCUCUUCCAUGCUGUAGGUCAUUCGAUCACGAUCGUGUGGGCGAAGACCGCACCUCAUUUAGCUAUAUAAGUGCACCCCCUCCUGAAAACAAUCGCAGACGAAACCCUAACACGCUCCUCGCGCCGCGCCGGACGUGUCCGCCGCCGGCCGGACAACUCACGCCGCCGCCCCGGACCAGUGGCGCGCCGCCACGUGGCAGCCGCGCCGCCNNNNNNNNNNNNNNNNNNNNNNNNNNNNNNNNNNNNNNNNNNNNNNNNNNNNNNNNNNNNNNNNNNNNNNNNNNNNNNNNNNNNNNNNNNNNNNNNNNNNNNNNNNNNNNNNNNNNNNNNNNNNNNNNNNNNNNNNNNNNNNNNNNNNNNNNNNNNNNNNNNNNNNNNNNNNNNNNNNNNNNNNNNNNNNNNNNNNNNNNNNNNNNNNNNNNNNNNNNNNNNNNNNNNNNNNNNNNNNNNNNNNNNNNNNNNNNNNNNNNNNNNNNNNNNNNNNNNNNNNNNNNNNNNNNNNNNNNNNNNNNNNNNNNNNNNNNNNNNNNNNNNNNNNNNNNNNNNNNNNNNNNNNNNNNNNNNNNNNNNNNNNNNNNNNNNNNNNNNNNNNNNNNNNNNNNNNNNNNNNNNNNNNNNNNNNNNNNNNNNNNNNNNNNNNNNNNNNNNNNNNNNNNNNNNNNNNNNNNNNNNNNNNNNNNNNNNNNNNNNNNNNNNNNNNNNNNNNNNNNNNNNNNNNCCGCCGCCACCAUCGCGCGCGCCGCCGCCUUUCCUCGCCGUCCCCGCCGCCUUGCCCGCCGCCGGCGCCUCCCCUCCGGCCUCCUCCUCCGGCACCCGAGCGCCGCCUCCUCUUCUUCCUCUCCCGUCGCCGGAGAGCCCGACCUCGGCUGCGUCCCGAUCGGAUCUGGAGUUCCCUCGAAGGUUGACUUUUUCCUGUGCCCGAAAUAUUUCCCCAAGUCUUUGCAUUUUCACAUGAUAUGCCCCUGUUCAUCAUUGCAUAACUCACUGUCCAUAGCUCCGUUUCGUGCGUGUAAUAUAUCGAAUUGUUCGCCUCGUGAUGCUUUUCAUUUUGUUCAAUUGCACCAUGUUCAUUAGAGGCCAUCUUGAUGCCCAAAUCUCUGGUGCCAGAGUGCUAGUUGCUGUUAUCUGCUGGUUCUUAGCAGAACUUGGAGAUUUGUCAUUUUUGUAUCAUUUAAUCUGUGCAUCUUAUGGGCAUGAGCUCUACAUGUGUUUUGUUGUAUGCCAUGCCAUAUUUCCAGUGGUGUAUGCCAUAUAUUUUUGUGAUCUCUGUGGUGACUAGCACAAGCAUGCAAACUAGGCUCCGUAAUGUUUCUGAUUUCAGAGACUUAGUAUUUUCUCCAAGUCUUUGUCUGCUGUUAUUUUGUUGCCAUGUAAACUUGAUGCUACAGAGAGAUCCAUACAUAUUUUCGAGAUGUUCCGUAAGGAUGUUUUGUAGAUAUUGUUGUAAUUGAUCCAUUCCUGACUUUGUUGGCAAUUAUGGAGUGCCAUAGCAUGACUCAAUCUUGCUCUACUUUCGCUAUAAAAUAUUUCUGGCAGAUUCUUAAGAUGAUAUGCUAUUUUGCCAAGCUUGUUGUAGUUGAUCCAUACAUGAUAUGUAUUUGUUCUUGCCAUGGUUAGCUUCCUAAACAUGCCAUCUUGGUGUAGGUAUGCUUAUUUUUUCAUGCAUUGCCUUGUGGUGAGUGCAUCAAGCUCACCAAGAUGCCUUCAUAUUAUUAUUUCUGCCAUGCUCUGUUUUCUGCUAAGUCUGAAACCUGAUAACGAAACUUGCUAUGUUUACAUGCUUGCCAUCAUAUCUUAUGGUCCUUUUUGGCUUAUGGUCAGUAAGGAAUUUUUGUCAUAUGGAUUCAGUAGAAUACUGCCAUGCCUUGAUUUGCCAUGUUAACUUCCUGUAGCAUGUUGAUUUCGUGCUCUGAACAUUGCUACCUGAUGCUGUUUCAGUCAUGUCCAGUAAUUUCACUAAGUCUGUGAUCCUGUUAUCUUUUGCACUUUUGCCAUGCUUGUUUGAGCUUGUUAUGUUGUGAUCUAGCCGUAGCUCAGUGUUCAUCUUUUGUCAAGAAUCUCCUGUAGAUUACUGCCAUAUGCUUUCUUGCUAUGUUGGAGUGCUGUAGCAUUGUUACUUAUUGCAUUUUAAGUGCUAUCAUGCUGUUAAUCGCAGAUUCGUGUCAUUCUUGUUUUGCUUGCCAUUUGCAAACCGUGCAUCCAUUUCCGGUGAACUUUAUAUCGAUUUCGACCGAAAUCAUCUCAUCUUUCCAGUGGCAUGCUUGGUUUGCCAAGUUACUGCCUUGCUCAUCAUUUUCCUUCCGGAGCACGCAGAUGCAUCGCAUAUCAUAUCUUGCAUAUCAUACAUGUUUUGCAUCAUGUUGCUUGUGCAUUUCUCGUGGUUGAUUGUGGUUCCGUUUGUUUGUGUUCUUGUCUUGGGUAGAUCUGGGAGACGAGUUCGUGAACGAGGAACCUGUUGAGUACGCUUACGAGGAUCAAGCUUUCGACAACUCUGAGAACCUUGCAGGCAAGAUGACCACCCCUCGAAAUCACUUCUAUCUUUGCUUUGCUAGUUGUUCGCUCUAUUGCCAUGCUGCGCUACCUAUCAUUUGCUAUAUCAUGCCUCCCAUAUUACCAUGUCAGCCUCUAACCAUCCUUUCCUAGCAAACCGUUGUUUGGCUAAGUUACCGCUUUUGCUCAGCCCUUCUUAUAGCGUUACUAGUUGCAGGUGAAGUUGAAGUUUGUUCCAUGUCGGAACAUGGAUAUUUUGGGAUAUCACAAUAUCUCUUAUUUAAUUAAUGCAUCUAUAUAUUUGGUAAAGGGUGGAAGGCUCGGCCUUAUGCCUGGUGUUUUGUUCCACUCUUGCCGCCCUAGUUUCUGUCAUACCGGGAUUAUGUUCCUUGAGUUUGCGUUCCUUACGCGGUUGGGUGAUUUAUGGGACCCCCUUGACAGUUCGCCUUGAAUAAAACUCCUCCAGCAAGGCCCAACUUUGGUUUUACCAUUUGCCACCUAAGCCUUUUUCCCCCGGGUUUUCUAGAGCCCGAGGGUCAUCUUUAUUUUAAACCCCCGGGCCAGUGCUCCUCUGAGUAUUGGUCCAACCUGUUAGUCGCCGGUGGCCACCAGGGGCAACUCUGGUCUGGCCUAUCGGAAGCUUGGACAAUCCGGUGUGCCCUGAGAACGAGAUAUGUGCAGCUCCUAUCGGGAUUUGUCGGCACAUUCGGGUGGCUUUGCUGGUCUUGUUUUACCAUUGUCGAGAUGUCUUGUAAACCGGGAUUCCGAGACUGAUCGGGACUUUCCGGGUGAAGGUUUAUCCUUCGUUGACCGUGAGAGCUUAUGAUGGGCUAAGUUGGGACACCCCUGCAGGGUAUUAUCUUUCGAAAGCCGUGCCCGCGGUUAUGAGGCAGAUGGGAAUUUGUUAAUGUCCGGUUGUAGAGAACUUGUCACUUGACCCAAUUAAAAUACAUCAACCGUGUGUGUAGCCGUGAUGGUCUCUUCUCGGCGGAGUCCGGGAAGUGAACACGGUUUGAGUUAUGAAUGACAUAAGUAGGAGUUCAGGAUCACUUCUUGGUCAUUGCUAGUUGACGACCGUUCCGUUGCUUCUCUUCUCGCUCUCUUUUGCGUUUGCUAGCCACCAUAUAUGCUUAUUGCCUGCUGCAGCUCCACCUCAUUACACCAUCCUUUCCUAUAAGCUUAAAUAGUCUUGAUCUCGUGGGUGUGAGAUUGCUGAGUCCUCGUGACUCACAGAUUCUACCAAAACAGUUGCAGGUGCCGACGAUGCCAGUGCAGAUGAUGGGAUCGAUCUCAAGUGGGAGUUCGAUGAGGAACGUGGUCGUUACUAUGUGUCUUUUCCCGAUGAUCAGUAGUGGAGCCCAGUUGGGACGAUCGGGGAUCUAGCAUUUGGGGUUAUCUUAUUUUCAUUUGGAUCUUGAUCGUAGUCGGUCUAUGUGUGUAUUUUGGAUGAUGUGUGAAUUAUAUUUAUGUAUUGUGUGAAGUGGCGAUUGUAAGCCAACUCUUUAUCCCAUUCUUGUUCAUUACAUGGGAUUGUGUGAAGAUGACCCUUCUUGCGACAAAACCACUAUGCGGUUAUGCCUCUAAGUCGUGCCUCGACACGUGGGAGAUAUAGCCGCAUCGUGGGCGUUACACAUAACGAUAGCCACCGCGAGCCUCAACACUCAUUGGACCGCACACAUCAGUAUGUAUGAUUUCCAAUAAGUUGGUUGCUCGCUCCAUUGUUCCGGAGAACGGAAUCUUGGUCAUCUUACCCAUGAGGCAUGGUUCGCACGUGUCAAAUAAUUCGUAAUCAAGAGACUCCAAAAGUCCAUCUGCAUGGAGGUUCUUCAUGCGUUUGACACCAAUGUGACCAAGACGGCAGUGCCACAAGUAUGUGGGACUAUCAUUAUCAACCUUACAUCUUUUGGUAUUCACACUAUGAAUAUGUGUAACAUUACGUUCGAGAUUCAUUAAGAAUAAACCAUUAACCAGCGGGGCAUGACCAUAAAACAUAUCUCUCAUAUAAAUAGAACAACCAUUAUUCUCGGAUUUAAAUGAGUAGCCAUCUCGAAUUAAAUGAGAUCCUGAUACAAUGUUCAUGCUCAAAGCUGGCACUAAAUAACAAUUAUUGAGGUUUAAAACUAAUCCCGUAGGUAAAUGUAGAGGUAGCGUGCCAACGACGAUCACAUCGACCUUGGAACCAUUCCCGACGCGCAUCGUCACCUCGUCCUUCGCCAGUCUCCGCUUAUUCCGCAGCUCCUGUUUUGAGUUACAAAUAUGAGCAACCGCACUGGUAUCAAAUACCCAGGAGCUACUACGAGUACUGGUAAGGUACACAUCAAUUACAUGUAUAUCACAUAUACCUUUGGUGUUGCCGGCCUUCUUGUCCGCUAAGUAUUUGGGGCAGUUCCGCUUCCAGUGACCACUUCCCUUGCAAUAAAAGCACUCAGUCUCAGGCUUGGGUCCAUUCUUUGGCUUCGUCCCGGCAACCGGCUUACCGGGCGCGGCAACUCCCUUGCCGUCCUUCUUGAAGUUCUUCUUACCCUUGCCUUUCUUGAACUUAGUGGUUUUAUUCACCAUCAACACUUGAUGUUCCUUUGUGAUCUCCACCUCCGCUGAUUUCAGCAUUGAAUAUACCUCAGGAAUGGUCUUUUCCAUCCCCUGCAUAUUGAAGUUCAUCACAAAGCUCUUGUAGCUUGGUGGAAGCGACUGAAGGAUUCUGUCAAUGACCGCGUCAUCCGGGAGAUUAACUCCUAGCUAAGUCAAGCGGUUGUGCAACCCAGACAUUUUGAGUAUGUGCUCACUGAUAGAACAGUUUCCUCCAUCUUACAACUGAAGAACUUGUCGGAGACUUCAUAUCUCUCGACCCGGGCAUGAGCUUGGAAAACCAUUUUCAGCUCUUCGAACAUCUCAUAUGCUCCGUGUUGCUCAAAACGCUUUUGGAGCCCCGGUUCUAAGCUGUAAAGCAUGCCGCACUGAACGAGGGAGUAAUCAUCAGCACGUGACUGCCAAGCGUUCAUAACGUCUUGGUUCUCUGGGAUGGGUGCUUCACCUAGCGGUGCUUCUAGGACAUAAUCUUUCUUGGCAGCUAUGAGGAUGAUCCUCAGGUUCCGGACCCAGUCCGUAUAGUUGCUGCCAUCAUCUUUCAGCUUGGUUUUCUCUAGAAACGCGUUGAAGUUGAGGGCAACAUGGGCCAUUUGAUCUACAAGACAUAUUGUAAAGAUUUUAGACUAAGUUCAUGAUAAUUAAGUUCAUCUAAUCAAAUUAUUCAAUGAACUCCCACUCAGAUAGACAUCCCUCCAGUCAUCUAAGUGAAACAUGAUCCGAGUCAACUAGGCCGUGUCCGAUCAUCACGUGAGACGGACUAGUCAACAUCGGUGAACAUCUUCAUGUUGAUCGUAUCUUCUAUACGACUCAUGCUCGACCUUUCGGUCUUCCGUGUUCCGAGGCCAUGUCUGUACAUGCUAGGCUCGUCAAGUCAACCUAAGUGUAUUGCGUGUGUAAAUCUGGCUUACACCCGUUGUAUUCGAACGUUAGAAUCUAUCACACCCGAUCAUCACGUGGUGCUUCGAAACAACGAACCUUUGCAACGGUUCACAGUUAGGGGGAACACUUUAUUGAAAUUAUUGCGAGGGAUCAUCUUAUUUAAGCUACCGUCGUUCUAAGCAAAUAAGAUGUAAAACAUGAUAAACAUCACAUGCAAUCAAAUAGUGACAUGAUAUGGCCAAUAUCAUUUUGCUCCUUUUGAUCUCCAUCUUCGGGGCGCCAUGAUCAUCUUCGUCACCGGCAUGACACCAUGAUCUCCAUCAUCAUGAUCUCCAUCAUCGUGUCUUCAUGAAGUUGUCACACCAACGAUUACUUCUACUUCUAUGGCUAACGUGUUUAGCAAUAAAGUAAAGUAAUUUACAUGGCGUUAUUCAAUGACUCGCAGGUCAUACAAAAAAUAAAGACAACUCCUAUGGCUCCUGCCGGUUGUCAUACUCAUCGACAUGCAAGUCGUGGUUCCUAUUACAAGAACAUGAUCAAUCUCAUACAUCACAUAUAUCUCAUUCAUCACAUCCUUUUGGCCAUAUCACAUCACAAGCCAUAUGCUGCAAAAACAAGUUAGACGUCCUCUAAUUGUUGUUGCAUGUUUUUACGUGGCUUCUAUAGGUUUCUAGCAAGAACGUUUCUUACCUACGUAAAACCACAACGUGAUAUGCCAAUUUCUAUUUACCCUUCAUAAGGACCCUUUUCAUCGAAUCCGUUCUUACUAAAGUGGGAGAGACAGACACCCGCUAGCCACCUUAUGCAACUAGUGCAUGUCAGUCAGUGGAACCUGUCUCACGUAAGUGUACGUGUAAGGUCGGUCCGGGCCGCUUCAUCCCACAAUGCCGCCGAAGUGGCAAGAAAAUUGACAACAUCUACGCCCACAACAAGUUUGUGUUCUACUCGUGCAUAGAAACUACGCCUAAACCUGGCUCAUGAUGCCACUGUUGGGGAUCGUAGCAGAAAUUUAAAAUUUUCUACGCAUCACCAAGAUCAAUCUAUGGAGUCAUCUAGCAACGAGAGAGAUGACUGCAUCUACAUACCCUUGUAGAUCGCGAGCGGAAGCGUUCAAGUGAACGGGGUUGAUGGAGUCGUACUCGUCGUGAUCCAAAUCAUCGAUGACCGAGCGCCGAACGGACGGCACCUCCGCGUUCAACACACGUACGGAGCAGCGAUGUCUCCUCCUUCUUGAUCCAGCAAGGGGGAAGGAGAGGUUGAUGGAGAUCCAGCGGCACGACGGCGUGGUGGUGGAAGUAGCGGGAUUCCGACAGGGCUUCGCCGAGCGCUGCGGGAGGAGGGAGAUGUGUCACGGGAGGGAGAGGGAGGCGCCAGGGGCUGUGGUGCGGCUGCGCUCCCUCCCCCCUCCUAUAUAUAGGCCUCCUGGGGGGGCGCCGGCCCUGGGAGAUCUGAUCUCCAGGGGGGCGGCGGCCAAGGGGUGGCUUCCCCCCCAAGCCAAGUGGGGGGCGCCCCCACCCCUAGGGUUUCCAACCCUAGGUGCAGGGGGAGGCCCAAGGGGGGGCGAACCAGCCCACCAGGGGCUGGUUCCCCUCCCACUUCAGCCCAUGGGGCCCUCUAGGAUAGGUGGCCCCACCCAGUGGACCCCCGGGACCCUUCCGGUGGCCCCGGUACAAUACCGGUAACCCCCAAAACUUUCCCGGUGGCCGAAACUGGACUUCCUAUAUAUAAUUCUUCACCUCCGGACCAUUCUGGAACUCCUCGUGACGUCCGGGAUCACAUCCGGGACUCCGAACAACUUUCGGGUUACCGCAUACUAAUAUCUCUACAACCCUAGCGUCACCGAACCUUAAGUGUGUAGACCCUACGGGUUCGGGAGACACGCAGACAUGACCGAGACGACUCUCUCGUCAAUAACCAACAGCGGGAUAUGGAUACCCAUGUUGGCUCCCACAUGCUCCACGAUGAUCUCAUUGGAUGAACCACGAUGUCGAGGAUUCAAUCAAUCCCGUAUACAAUUCCCUUUGUCAAUCGGUACGUUACUUGCCCGAGAUUCGAUCGUCGGUAUCCCAAUACCUUGUUCAAUCUCGUUACCGGCAAGUCACGUUACUCGUACCGUAAUGCAUGAUCCUGUGACCAACCACUUGGUCACUUUGAGCUCAUUAUGAUGAUGCAUUACCGAGUGGGCCCAGAGAUACCUCUCCGUCAUACGGAGUGACAAAUCCCAGUCUUGAUCCGUGUCAACCCAACAGACACUUUCAGAGAUACCUGUAGUGUACCUUUAUAGUCACCCAGUUACGUUGUGACGUUUGGUACACCCAAAGCACUCCUAUGGCAUCCGGGAGUUACACGAUCUCAUGGUCUAAGGAAAUGAUACUUGACAUUGGAAAAUCUCUAGCAAACGAACUACACGAUCUUUGUGCUAUGCUUAGGAUUGGGUCUUGUCCAUCACAUCAUUCUCCUAAUGAUGUGAUCCCGUUAUCAAUGACAUCCAAUGUCCAUAGUCAGGAAACCAUGACUAUCUGUUGAUCAACGAGCUAGUCAACUAGAGGCUUACUAGGGACACGUUGUGGUCUAUGUAUUCACACAUGUAUUACGAUUUCCGGAUAACACAAUUAUAGCAUGAACAAUAGACAAUUAUCAUGAACAAGGAAAUAUAAUAAUAACCAUUUUAUUAUUGCCUCUAGGGCAUAUUUCCAACACCUCCACCGCCCAAAUUGAAUGCACAUGCAGGGCGGGGCCCGGCUGUCAUUGACACGAGCGUGGGGUCGCCGUCCUUCUUAAUGUGGAAGCCGUGGACCAGCCAGUCUACAGCUUCCACUUCCAAGCCGGCCUGCCUCCUCCAUUUGCCGACAGGAGAAAACCCUAGCCACCUCCCCGCCGUUGCGCCACACUCGCCCACCUCGCCGCCGGAGCCAUGUGCUGGCAUUGGAUCAAGGGAAAGCACGACCGCGAGGCCGGCUCCUCCUCGGGUCGACGCUGCUCCAACAGAUCCGCCCCGCCUUCCCCUCCGCUGUCUCCACCACCUGCGCCGCCAGCAUUCCAGAUGGGGCCUCCAGCAUUCCAGAUGGGGCCGUCAGCCACCGGGCACCGCGACAGGCCAUACAUCCAUGUCGAUGUAUGCCAUCGCUACUGGGAGAUGGCGACGCGGGUGCCGUGGGGAGAUGUCCACCUGCCAAAUAACUGGCAUCUCUCCGCCGACUGCAUGCCGACCCCUGCAGUGCCUGCGAGCGGCCGCGACCGCCGCGAGGAGAUCAACCGACGGCGCCGGCGCCUCCCACCGGAUCUACUGGCAGACUCCAGGUACGCCAUAGAUUCACCACUAUGGGACACCUGGCUCUGCGACGAGCACGACCAGCGGCGGCAAUCCUUUUUUGCCUGUUGUCCUCCUAGCACGCGCUGCCCGCUUCCUCCUCGUACCGAUGACAACCCUUCCCAGACGAGGGGCUGUAGGCGUGUGCACGACAUCACGCCGACGCCAUCUCCGUCCCCAUCCCCGCCACCGCUGCCGCCCAUGACCGAGGAGGAGGAGGCCCGGCUCAUGAGGCAUGUCAUGGAGGACGCCAUGAACACGCACGACGAGCAGCAAUGGGAUGGCCUGGAAACCGCUCUUGCCCUAGCGGCGGCUGGAGACGUGGCCAUCCCAGAGAUGGACAUCGACGUCAAGGAGGAGGUGCCAGAGGAGGUGCUGGAGAGGCGCCCGUCGCCGCGUGGAACCCUCGCCUGCUGGGCCAGGCAUGGAGCUGGUCGUGCACGGCGCCGGAGAUGGCUGACUCCGUGGGUGUCGGCCCAUGGUCAGCUACACUGCCGUGGUCACCAGAGCACGAGCAGGAGCCACGGGAGGAGGUGGUGCAGGCGCCUCCGACACAGGAGCCACCGUCGCAGGCGCCACAGGUCUGGUAGGGGCCGCCAGCACACCUGUGACAGCCACCACUCUACGUCGACCUCACCGGCGAUGACGACGAGUAGGACGGCGACUCCUGAAGAUGACGGCGGCCUCCUGCGGCGACCUUUAACUACUUUUUUAUGUCUUUUAUUAAGUUUUAGUUUAAUUAAGACCUGUGGUAGUAUGUACGUAUGGGCGUAUGGACGUUUUAUGUUCAUGUUCAUGUUUUCGUAUUAUUUGCAAGUUUAUUUUCUUUAUUUUUGGGGCAAAAAUAAGAAAAUCACGACCUCAGACGGUUUGGGGCGAGGCGUGCCCGUUGGGGGCACCGAUGCCUGAUACGUCUCGAACGUAUCUAUAAUUUUUGAUUGUUCCAUGUUGUUAUAUUAUCAUUCUUGGAUGUUUUACAAUCAUUUUAUAAUCAUUUUAUAUCAUUUUUUGGUACUAACCUACUGACAUAGUGCCCAGUGCCAGUUGCUGUUUUCUGCUUGUUUUUUACAUCCCAGGAAAUCAAUACCUAACGGAGUCCAACGCAACGAAACUUCUUGUGGAUUUUUUUAUGGAUUAGAGGACACCCAAUGGGCCGGAGAAGCACCUGGGGGGUUCCCCGAGGGGGGCACAAUUCACUAGGGCGCACCUGGCCACUAGGCGCACCCAGGUGGGUUGUGCCCACCUCGGUGGCCUCCCGCACCGCCUCUUUGCUCUAUAAAUACCCCAAUAUUCCAGAAACCCUAGGGGAGACGACAAAAAUCAAUUCCAGCCGCCGCAAGUUCCAGAACCACCAAAUCCAAUCUAGACACCAUCACGGAGGGGUUCAUCAUCCUCAUUGGUGCCUCUCCGAUGAUGCGUGAGUAGUUCAUUGUAGACCUACGGGUCCGUAGUUAGUAGCUAGAUAGCUUCCUCUCUCUCUUUUGAUUCUCAAUAUAAUGGUCUCUUGGAGAUCCAUAUGAUGUAACUCCUUUUUGCGGUGUGUUUGUUGGGAUCCGAUGAACUUUGAGUUUAUGAUCAGAUCUAUCUUUUUAUCAAUGAAAAUUAUUUGAGUCUUCUUUGAUCUCUUAUAUGCGUGAUUACUUAUAGCCUCGUAUAUCUUCUUUGAUAUUUGGGUUUUGUUUGGACAACUUGAUCUAUUUAUCUUGCAAUGGGAAGAGGUGGUUUGCGAUGGGUUCGAUCUUACGGUGCUUGAUCCCAGUGACAGAAAGGGAACCGACACGUAUGUACCAUUGCUAUUAAGGAUAACAAGAUGGGGUCUAUUUCUACAUAAAUAGACCUUGUCUACAUCAUGUCAUCGUUCUUAUUGCAUUACUCCAUUUCUCCAUGAACUUAAUAGACUAGAUGCAUGUUGGAUAGCGGUCGAUGUGUGGAGUAAUAGUAGUAGAUGUAGGCAGGAGUCGGUCUACUAAUCUUUAACGUGAUGCCUAUAUAAUGAUCAUUGCCUGGAUAUCGUCAUGAUUAUUUGAAGUUCUAUCAAUUGCCCAACAGUAAUUUGUUUACCCGCCUUUUGCUAUUUUUCUCGAGAGAAGCUACUGGUGAAAUCUACGGGCCCCGGGUCUCUUCUUUAUUAUAUUUGCCUUCGCGAUCUAUUUUUAUUUGAUUUUAUUUUCAGAUCUAUCAAACCAAAAAUACAAAAAUGCCUUUCUGCAAUUUAUUCUUAUUUAUUUUAUCUUGCGUUCCCGCGAGAUCUAUUUAUCCAAUCUACUACAAUUUUACCAAUCUUUUUACCCAUGAGGGAUUGACAACCCCUCUCUUACGUCGGGUUGCAAGUAUCUGUUCUUUGUGUGUGCAGGAGCUGUUUACGUGGUGUCGCGUGGUUCUCCUACUGGUUCGAUAACCUUGGUCUCGUCACUGAGGGAAAUACCUACCAUUGCUGUGAUGCAUCAUCCCUUCCUCUUUGGGGAAAUACCAACAUAGUUCAAGCAAACAUCAAUGCCCGCACGACCGCAAGCGGACGACUGUGUCUGUUUUCCUUCCCCAAAUGGACAAAUAGCGGACGAACCGGAUGUCCGUCUGGGAUUGCGCGUUGGAGUUGGCCUGAUAGCCAUGACCCGAGAGUGUUGCGGACUGCAGAAUAGGGACUGGGAAGUGACAGGAAAGCUAGAAUCAUAAUGACCGACCACACAAAAGCAUGUCCAUGAUUUAAAAAAAGAAAUUAAGAGCGGAGGUGCUCACCUGAUAAUCUGAUGCGCUAGCCCCAAAGGCCGAGUCCAGUCACUUUGGAAGUCCUAUUUGUUGAUUGAGUCGGAUUCCUCGCCUCUCAUCAGUCAUCACCGUGGAUGGCGGCCGCGGGAGCAUAGCAACAUCGCACGGAGGCCUCUACGAUUGUGUGCCUUCUUCGGCAAUCUGGGAUUAUGGAUGUGCGGCACCGGAACACCCGUCCUAUGUUCACAUAAUCAGAGAGGAAUCGAAAGCGGUCUGAAGUAGAGCAAUGGUGUGCCUUCUUGAUGAUGUGGGUGCUCGGCAACGGAACCGCGUCCCGACCCGUGCCCGGAGUAGCAUUGGAACAGAGGCAGACAACCAACGGUACAGGAGGAUGGUAGCACAGACAGGUUUUGUAGACGCAAAGGCGGUGGGUGCACAGUUUAAUCUCGCUUUUUCUUUGGGUAACAGAGGCUGAGGUAAUGAGGGGCAAUGAAUAUUGCAGUUUUAUAAGCAUUUGCGUUUGGAAGAUGCUCGGCGGUAGCGGAAGAGAUAGCAGUGGCGAUUCAGAUCUCAAUGGAGAAGAUGACCGUGAGGCGUUCUUUUGAGAACUAGAUGACCGUGAGGCGUGAGCGACCCGCGUCACCAUUGACACCAAUGGGCUAUACGACCCAUGUACCAUAUUGACUUAGCAAACAUCCACGGGCUACACAGCCCACGUACUUGGCGCGGGCAGCCCACGUGCACACAACGAGAGUUUAGUGCACGAACAACAGAUAGCAUUUGUUAGAGUUAAUUAAUUGUGUUAAUCUUGGGGUAAAUCUCCCCUUGUUAACUGCCAGGCGGUUAGCACCGUCGCAUCUGUCUGGGAUGGACGCAUCCUCUGGCCGCGUCCCCCCAACUUGUAUAUAAGCAUCACUAUCAAUGAAAGAGAAAGACACUUCUAUUUAUUUUACUUUGAUUUUCAACAUGUUAUCAGCCACGUUAGUUCUACCGAAGAGCAAAACCAACAAGAGGAAGGGAGAAAGCACUCGCAGAUGGUGAAAUUUUUGGCCUCAUAUCGUUUCUUCCGUCGCCUCAUGCACGAGGACGGCCUUCGUUACCGUCUCGUCGCUCGUUGCCUCAUGCAAGCCAUCCGUCAGUUCGGCCGUCGCCCCGUUGUGUGCUACUUCUCGAGCUUGCAUUGGUUUUUCCCUUGAAGAGGAAAGGGUGAUGCAGCAAAGUAGAAAUAAGUAUUUCCCUUAGUUUUAGAACAAAGGUAUCAAUCCAGUAGGAAACAACGCACAAAUCACCGAAUACCUGCACAAACAAUCAAACAAACUUGCACGCAACGCAAUAAAGGGGUUGUAAAUCCCUUCACGGUUACUUGCAAAAGUGAGAUCUGAUAGAGAUAGAUAAACGAUAAAGUAAAUUGGUAUUUUUGGUUUAUAGAUCGGAAAGUAAAAGAUUGCAAAAAGAGUAGAUCGGAAACCAAUAUUGUAAAUCGGAAACUUAUAUGAUGGAAAAUAGACCCGGGGGCAAUAGGUUUCACUAGAGGCUUCUCUCAAGAUUGCAAAUAAUACGGUGGGUGAACAAAUUACUGCUUAGCAAUUGAUAGAAAAGUGCAAAGUUAUGACGAUAUCUAAGGCAAUGAUCAUGAAUAUAGGCAUCACGUCCGUGUCAAGUAGACCGAAACGAUUCUGCAUCUACUAUUAUUACUCCACACAUCAACCGCUAUCCAGCAUGCAUCUAGAGUAUUAAGUUCAUAAAGAACGGAGUAACGAAUUAAGCAAGAUGACAUGAUGUAGAGGAAUUAACUCAAGCAAUAUGAUGAAAACACCAUAUUUUUUCCUUGAUGGCAACAAUACAAUACGUGCCUUGCUGCCCCUACUGUCACUGGGAAAGGACACCACAAGAUUGAACCCAAAGCUAAGCACUUCUCCCAUUGCAAGAAAAACCAAUCUAGUUGGCCAAACCAAAUCGAUAGUUCGAAGAGAAUUACAAAGAUAUCAAAUCAUGCAUAAAAGAAUUCAAAGAAGAUUCAAUUAAUAUUCAUAGAUAGGCUGAUCAUAAAUCCACAAUUCAUCGGAUCUCGGCAAACACACCAGAAAAAUGUAUUACAUCGAAUAGAUCUCUAAGAACAUCGAGGAGAACAUGGUAUUGAGAAUCAAAGAGAGAGAAGACGCCAUCUAGCUACUAGCUAUGGACUCGUAGGUCUGUGGUAAACUACUCACGCUUCAUCGGAAGGGCAAUAGAGUUGAUGUAGAAGCCCUCCGAUACGUCUCCAAAGUAUCUAUAAUUUUUGAUUGUUCCAUGCUAUUAUAUUAUCUAUUUUGGAUGUUCAAUGGGCUUUAAUAUACUCUUUUAUAUUAUUAUUGGGACUAACCUAUUAACCGAAGGCCCAGUGCAAAUUGCUAUUUUUUUUUGCCUAUUUCAGUGUUCCGCAGAAAAGGAAUAUCAAACGGAAUCCAAAUGGAACGAAACCUUCACCAGGAUCUUUCUUGGAACAAACGCAAUCCAGGAGACUUGGAGUGGAAGUCAGAGAUGCAACGACGUAGCUACAAGGUAGGAGGGCGCGCCCAGGGGGUAGGUGUCGGUGUCAAAACCGGCGGAUCUCGGGUAGGGGGUCCCGAACUGUGCGUCUAAGGUCGAUGGUAACAGGAGACAGGGGACACAAUGUUUACCCAGGUUCGGGCCCUCUCUAUGGAGGUAAUACCCUACUUCCUGCUUGAUUGAUCUUGAUGGAUAUGAGUAUUACAAGAGUUGAUCUACCACGAGAUCGUAAUGGCUAAAACCCUAGAAGUCUAGCCUGUAUGACUAUAUAUCUUUCUGGACUAAGCCCUCCGGUUUAUAUAGACACCGGAGGGGACUAAGGUUGUACAAAGUCGGUUACAAAGAAAGGAAUCUUCAUAUUUGAUCGCCAAGCUUGCCUUCCACGCCAAGGAGAGUCCCAUCCGGACACGGGGGAGAUUCUUUGGUCUUGUACCUUCACAACCCAUUAGUCUGGCCUAUGUCCAAUAGGCCAGACGCCCGAGGACCCCUUAGUCCAGGACUCCCUCAGUAGCCCCUGAACCAGGCUUCAAUGACGAGGUGUCCGGCGCGCAGAUUGUCUUCGGCAUUGCAAGGCGAGUUCCCCUUUCCGAAUACUCCAGGAUAGUCUUCGGACGCAACGAACAUGUCCGGAUCUGCAACACAAGCACCACACACACAGCCGUGGAGAGUAUAAUAUCUCACGAGUCCCAUCUGCUGACAACUUUUUGUAACGUGACAUCACGCUUGCCCGGUCAUUAUUUCGAACCAUUUCCUGCCCUGUCGUUCCACGUUUCGAGGCGUGGCUUUUAUUGGCACGUCUUGUCGAAGCAGAGAUCGUGUCCCCUUAUUGCGGGAUUCUCAUCAAUACGAGCAUGGGCAACCCAACCGUUCCACUGGGAAGAUUCCUUAGGAAUAGGCUGGUUUCCAGGCUUAGGAGGGAGUGUUCGAUACCCGUUGCCUUUAUAAAGGAGCCAAGGGCCGUCUCUGUUCACGCCAAACCUCUCCUCAACCUUUCCAACCUCAAGUUCUAGCACCCAAGGUUCGACUUCAUUGCUUCAAGCUUCCCAGUCAUGUCCGGACCCAGCCCACAGGGUCGAUGGGUGCCUUCCUCUGUUACAGAGGAGGACAUUGCGAAGCUUCGGGCAGCCAGAUACGUGACUGCGGAGAUCCCCCACAGGCUUCCUGCUCAAGGACAGGUUAUUCUGACUCCCAGAUCCGGUGAGAGGGUCGUAUUCAUCUAUCACUUCCUCCAAGGGCUAGGGUUCGCUCUUCACCCCUUCGUCCGGGGCCUCAUGUUUUAUUAUGGACUAGAUUUUCACGAUCUGGCCCCAGAUUCUUUACUCCAUAUCUCGGCGUUCAUCAUCACGUGUGAGGCCUUCCUCCGAAUUCCCCCACACUUCGGCUUAUGGUUCAAGACCUUCAGUGUGAGGCCGAAGGUGGUCGACGGGAAACAGGCGGAGUGCGGCGGUGUUGUAGUGAGCAAGCUUACCAAUACUCCCUGGCCAAAAGGCUCUUUCACCGAAACUUCCAACCAAUGGCAGCGGGAGUGGUUUUACGUCACGGAACCCCGCGGUACCAAGUGGGCGGCUAUACCUGCGUUCCGUUCUGGCCCCCCGUUACAGCUUGCAUCAUGGAUUAAUAAGGGGCUGGACUGGGGAUCAGUUGAUGAAGUGCAGACUCUACAGAGCCACAUCCGAACCCUCCUUGAGAAGGACAUCGAUCUUGUCAGCGUGAUUCAAGUAAUGCUAGUCCGCCGAGCCCUGCCAUGCCAGUGUAGGCCUCUCCGCAUGUGGGAGUUUAAUCCGGAAGGUCCACGGACCCUCCAACACUUCUUCGGCACUACGCACAAAGGGAUGUGGAAGUUGUUUUUCGGGAAACGAAAACAGUGGCCGGACACCACCGAGGACAUCGGCCUCGACUGUAACCAUCCGGAUACCUCGGUAAGCGCUCAACUCCUGAACACCUUGCAGUUAAGUAUGCCAUAAUAUAUUACUGAGCAAACUAUCUUCUUCCAGGGCUGGAUAAAGAAAGCGGAGCGAAUUAGGUGUUUGGCCCCCCUCCCCGAAGACUCAGCAGAUCCUGUGCUAACAAGGAUGCUGGCCCCGGCACCAUACCAGAUGCCUCUGGAGGAGGACAAGGCGAAAAGCGGGAGGACCAAAUGCGGCCUCCAUCCCGAAGGUAUAUCAGACACAAUGUCCGGGGGAAUCAAAAUUCCAUCGUCCGAAGACAAAAGUGAAGGGGAAGUCAACGUCUCUUCACCCCAUGGUAAGAAAAGGGCUGCCUCCAAAGAUUGGGAGGAAAGAGCUCCUAAGCGAGGCAAGGUGCCCUAGUCGGGCGGCUCGGGCUUGGAGGAUGGCGUCCUCGCACAAUCCCUUGAUAAGGACAAGCCUCUAGCCGAAUCGUAAGUGAACAAGGAUGUUAUUAAACAUAUCCUAUUCCUUUCCUGUUACCAAGGUAACAUCUAAAAUAUAUGUUUUUGCAGUUCGGCAAAUAGUCUUCUUCACCAAUCCUCCUCCUCGGGAGAUCUUUUUUCGGAGAUGAUGGAAAGUGAGACACCUCCACCGGUCUCCCCGCCCAAUAAGGCGGACGACUUUGAGGUGUCGUCCCGGAGGGUCUCUCCUGAUCAAAAAGUGGCGCGAGGGGUGAUGAAGACACUACCCGAAGGUGACACUUCGGUAGCCCAGGAUCCGGAGGCCAACAAUAAAGGCCCCGGACUGUCCGGUUUACAGCCGGAGAUGGCUCUGGGGACAGAUAAACGGAUCCCUUCGAAGGGAGGCCGUAUUCCUACAGCAGCUUCCGGAGGUCCAGAAGCGCUGGAUAUAUUAACGAACGCGUUGCGAUAGGCGUCCGUCUCGGAGGAACAUCGUACCUUGACGGGUACGGUGGUUGAAAAGGUUCUGUCCGUGAAAAGAGGAUUGAAUGAAGCCUGCGCGAGCCUGUUAAGAGGCUUCGAGGUUUGUACUAAAAAAUCUUUGAGUAUGUUUUACAAACUGCACAUGUGUAUAGGUAGUAGCCCCUGAGAAUCUGAUUGGCUUCCCAAGGGAGGCGAUCAGAGGAUCAAAAAGAUAUGCUCAGGGAAUAAUCUGAUUAAUUGCAACACAUUCUGUUACCUCACGAGCGACUGCCCGAACUACGGAGGUUGCGGAUCUGCAGCGAAGGCUUGAUGUAGCGGAUGAUGACAUUACGCUUAUCAACAGGCAGCUUGACGAGGCGCAAGGUAUUUUUUUGUGGCAGUCAUAAUAUGCACUUGUGUAUAAUAUAAGCAUGACGCAAAGAGUUGUAUGAGAUAUACAUAUCUGCAGAUGGUGCUGCCGCAGUUGAGAUCCUUCGGGCAGAGCUAGCCCGGGCCAAGGAGCAGGCCCGGAUUAGUAAUGCGGCUGCCAGAAAGGCAUCUGCUGAGUUAAAGGCCGAACAGGCUGCUCGGCACCAAUGCGAGGAAAAAAUAUCCUCGAUGGCGCUUGAACUAAAGGAUGCCGCUAGCCGCUGCAAAUUUCUCGAGAAGGAUAAUAUAGCCAAAACGGCUGACCUUGACAAGGCCUUACGAGAGGCCAAAGAAGCGCGGUCCGAAUCUAGAGCGGCCCGGGAGGAGAUCCGGCAAGCUGGGGAGAUUGCGGCUGGUAAGCCAUUUUUAUUGCAAACUAAGUUCGGCGAUCCGAAUUAUGCCCCGCUUAAUCAAGUGUGGAGUUCUCCAGACGCUUUAUUUGAUUUGCCGAAGAGUGCUUUCGAUGCGGUGCAAUUUUACCAAGCACAAGAUGGGUAUGCAAUGGAGAAGCUUUUCUGGUCGCAAUUCGGUGCAUCAAAGCGCCCGCUGUUGCUGAACGAAUAGAUGACCCAAUGGGCCGAGCUUCACCGGAUAUCUGGCGCCGCCAUGAAGGACGUCGUGGUCCGGCUGUGGCUGACCGAGCCAAUUCCGGAUAGUUAUUUUGGUUUGGUGUGGUGACUUGCUGACGUAGUGCCACGUAUUGACGCCGUUAAGCGGUCAACGUGCAUUGAAGGUGCACGGAUGGCCUUUGCCCGUGUUAAGACAUAUUGGACGAAGAUGAAGGCCAUCGAUGUUGCAGCGAAGAGUCCACCCAAGGGCAAGGACCAUCACGCACCAGAGCAUUAUUUCGAGGAUGUCUUAGAGGGUGCCCGCUUGAUAGAGGGUCAGUGCUCGAAAGACAUGAUAUUCGAGUGAAAAUGUAUUAAAUUUGUAGAAGACAAUAUAAAGCUAUUUUAGAGUUGCUUGAAAGCUUUGAAUCCUCCUGUGCGACCGUUUUUUUAAUAUAUAAUCUGAAAGUUUUCCAGUCAUCGGCUUCAGUCCCCUCGUAGGAAAUACGGGGGUGUUCGGAAAAGCAACUGAUCACUCUUAGCCCAACGUCUUGGUCCAUUAAGGAGGUGUCAAUGCGGUGAACUAGGCAAUCACACUAUAGGGCGUUAACACUUUCACUUAGCCAUAGGAGUUUUAUGGGGGGACUACGACAUAGCCCCUGGUAUGUACACGGCUUAUUCCAAUACGGUGCGUUACAUAUAUGACCUGAAGAGAAAGGUCCUUCGUAUAAUACGGAGGGAAUCGUGAAAGAUCCGAUAAGUCAUCGAGUGGUUGACCAACUCUCGCCGCAUCAUGACAGUCAGUUUUCGGCUUUCUCUACUGAGGUGCUUGACCAGGUGAACCGGAAGCACAAUCACAGUAGUUCUCCCUUUACUACCCUAGCCGAUAGAGCGGAACGUAAGGUAGGAAGCACAGGAGCCGGGCAACCCAACUAUUGACCCAAGACAUGAUUCGGAGCUGAUGCAUAUAAGGCCAAACUCGCGACGCCGAAGUACGCUAUAAAGCUGUUCGGACUUGUCGGCAACUCAUUUGUUCCCAUAUUGAGCCCCUGGCAAGUUAUGCCGAGGUGUAUGUGUGAAACAACCCCAAGGAGCCGAAUUCAAUUUUUUUAGGAAAAAGCGAAUGCUGGAUUAUGUUUACUGGGACCUGAGUGAUAUGCCAAUCGUUAUUUUAUAAAUAACAAAGCCGCAACCCCGGCUAUUUGACAUGUCCGGGGUCGAGGGCGGAGGAAAAAGGCACUUUACAGGCUCGAAAUAAAGAGUGCGGUCUACAAAAAGUUGUUUUGGACCUCCCGUCGCACGUCUGCGCCGCCUAUCCUAGGUGAUGGGACUCCUUGACGGAAAUAGCCCCUAGGUGAGUGUACGAACUCGAACUCCGAUAGAGUCCAUGGGAUGACCAGCCUUUGCGUCACCUGUGGUAAAGGAUAAUGAAAAAGAAAGAGUAGUUAGAAAAGAAACAGAAGUUAUGGUAGUACUUGCAGGCUUGUCCGUAUUGUGCUUCCGUCGAUGCCCAGGGUAUCUUAAGUGCAUAUUUAUAUAUGCGCGGUACAGAUUUCGCAGGUAUAUGAAGUGGUCGAACUCCGGAAUUGGUCGGUCCUGUUGAAUGGAGACCGGUGGCUUAAUGGCCGACAAGGUAUGCGGUUUAAUAAGACCGCUUUGUACUUCGGCUGAGGUUGCCGUAGUAUGAUCCUCAGUCUGGAGGGAGCGCUUCCCUGCUCCCCUAUAGAGUUCUGUGUCAUGUAUACCAUGUUUACUGUUGUUACUUUGGGGGGAAAUUGCAUCUGACCCCCGGUAUUUUGUUGGUGAGUCUCUUCAUCGUCGCUAUCACCGGGCGGCCUCCUCCCCUUAUGUUCAGCGUUGAGCUUGCCGGCCUGCUUGAAGACCCAAUAGCUUCUGUUGGUAUGAUUAGCUGGUUUAUUGGGGUGGCCAUGAAUCUGGCAGGGCCGAUCGAAUAUCUUGUCUAAAUUGGAUGGUCCGUCUCUGUUUGCCUUGAAUGGUUUUUUUCCAUUGACCGGGUUAGGGGCCGCUGAAUCCGGCAUUGACCGCUGUGUCGUUCGUUCUUUCAUUAUCAUUGCGACGUUUGUGUUUACUGCGUCAUGGUUUGCCAUUGCCGUCUUGGACUUCGGAAGUGCCCGGAUCGCUGGUGCUGCUGCUUCUACGAGCGAGCCAACUGUCUUCUCCCGCGUAAAAGCGGGUCAUUAGAGCGGUAAGGGCUGGCAUGGAUUUUGGCUUUUCUUGACGGAGGUGGCGGGCGAGCCAUUCGUCCCGGACGCUGUGUUUGAAGGCCGCUAGGGCUUCUGCGUCCGGACAAUCGACGAUUUGGUUAUUUUUAACUAAGAACCUAGUCUAGAGCUUCCUGGCUGACUCCGGGCUGCUGGACAACGUGACUUAAGUCAUCGGCAUCUGGUGGCCGGACAUAUGUACCUUGGAAGUUGUCGCGGAAGGCAUCUUCCAAGUCCUCCCAGCUGCCAAUAGAGUUUUCUACCAGACUGUUUAACCAGUACUGAGCUGGUCCUUUGAGUUUUAACGGGAGGUAUUUGAUGGCGUGGAGGUCAUCUCCGCGGGCCAUGUGGAUAUGGAGAAGAAAAUCCUCGAUCCAUACCGCGAGAUCCGUUGUUCCAUCGUAUGAUUCGAUAUUCACGGGUUUAAACCCGUCUGGGAAUUCAUGCUCCAUUACUUUGUCAGUGAAGCAGAGUGGGUGUGCAACGCCUCUAUGUUGAGCCACGUCGCGACGUAGCUCAAAUUGAGUCCGUCUGCGGUCUUCAGCCUGGGCAUGACUAGACUUGUCACGUCCGAAUAGGUAGCCGAUGUUGCAUGUCAAGGCACGUCCUCGCGAUCUGUAGAUGGAUCUGGUAUGUCCUGCUCUACUGUCCAGGUCCUGCCGAGGAUCGUAUGUAUGACCCUGAGCUGUUUUAUCUCUGUUUUUUUGUUGGGGUGAGGCGGGCUGUUGUUCGGCUUGAGCUGCCGCUUUAUCUCGACUGCGUUGUGGUCAGUCAGCCGCAUUGUCCCGACCGCGUGGUGCAAGUUCCGUCGCCUCCUCAUCGAACUGAGGUAGCGAUCUGCGCUUCGGGUAUCCCUUGGUUGGGCGCUUCAGGCCGUAUUCUUCGGCUGCUAGGAUAUCUGUCCAUCUAUCAUUGAGCAGGUUUUGGUCAGCUUGAAGCUACUGCUGCUUCUUUUUCAGGCUCCUUGCAGUGGCUAUUAGCCGGUGUUUAAAGCGCUCCUGCUCGAGAGGUUCCUCAGGUAUGAUGAAAUCCUCGUUGCCGAGGCUCUCCUCAUCCUCGGAGAGCGGAAGAUAAUUACUGUCCUCUGAGUCUUCGUAUAUGGCCUGUUCAUCCGGGCUAACGUGCCCGUCCUCCCGUCAUCUUGUUCGGAGGUUGCCACAACGGGGUCUUCAUUGUCUUCGGCAUCGUCCGGAGUAUUGUUUUCUCCAGUGCUGGCAAUGCUGUCUUUUGCACGACGUGACUUAGAGCAGCGCCGCUAACGCCGGCGUCUGGGCUGUGUCUCAGGAGGUUUGUCCUCAGCUGGAUCUUCUUUGUCAUCGUCGUUAGUUUCUUUAGGUGUGUUCACCAUGUACACGUCGUACGAAGAAGUGGCCGUCCAGCGUCCGGUAAACGGCGGGUUUUGGCCAUGCUCCUCAUCUGCAUCGUCGUCCAUACUGUCGAUGUCUUUGGAGCCGUAAUCGAGCAUGUCGGUUAAGUCCUCGAUAGUGGCUAUGUAGUGGGUGGCGGGUGGGAAGCGAAGUUCCCCGUCACCAGCCUCCAGUUCGAACAGGAUGUAGUUCGGCUGUGAGCCCUCCGUUAAGGAUAGAUUUUUUAAUGAGUUUAGCACGUCGCCUAAAGGCGAGUGUCGGAAGAUGUCCGCGACACUGAAUUCGAUAAUCGAUGACUGAUCUAGCUCGACGUGAGCGGACACGCGUGGUUUGGAACUUAUGGCCGGAAACGAGUCCGAGGUUCCGGAGACACAGAUAUCAUCCGAGGUUAGGUUUGUGUGCGGCUCCAACGUCGCGGAGUCUGCGGCUUCCGUGGCGGGGUUGAGCUUCCCGUCCUUGGAUGGCACGAUCUGCUCCGGAUCUAAGGCCGGAGCGGUUACAAGUGCAAUUUCCUGAGUAUGGUCCGAUGACAGAUUUAAGUCAUGUUCAUCGUAGGGACCGAGAGCGACUGCCGUGGUUUCGAAUCUGUCGAAGAUCAAGUCUCCGUGGAUGUUGGCAACAUAGUUCAAGCUCCCGAAUUUGACCUGAUGGCCAGGGGCGUAGCUGUCGAUCUGCUCUAGAUGGCCAAGCGAGUUGGCCCGCAGGGCGAAGCCGCUGAACACGAAAAUCUGUCCGGGGAGGAAGGUUUCCCCUCGGACAGCAUUGUUGUUGACGUUUGAAGGAGCCAUCAAACCCUUUGAGGACGGCACAGUGGAACUCUCAAUGAAAGCACCAAUGUCGAUGUCGAAACCGGCGGAUCUCGGGUAGGGGGUCCCGAACUGUGCGUCUAAGGUCGAUGGUAACAGGAGACAGGGGACACAAUGUUUACCCAGGUUCGGGCCCUCUCUAUGGAGGUAAUACCCUACUUCCUGCUUGAUUGAUCUUGAUGGAUAUGAGUAUUACAAGAGUUGAUCUACCAGGAGAUUGUCAUGGCUAAAACCCUAGAAGUCUAGCCUGUAUGACUAUAUAUCUUUCCGGACUAAGCCCUCCGGUUUAUAUAGACACCGGAGGGGACUAAGGUUGUACAAAGUCGGUUACAGAGAAAGGAAACUUCAUAUUUGAUCGCCAAGCUUGCCUUCCACGCCAAGGAGAGUCCCAUCCGGACACGGGAGAGAGUCUUCGGUCUUGUACCUUCACAGCCCAUUAGUCCGGCCCAUGUCCAACAGGCCGGACGCCCGACGACACCUUAGUCCAAGACUCCCUCAGUAGGCGUGCCCCCACCCUCGUGGGCCCCUCGUAGCUCCACUGACCUACUUCUUUCUCCUAUAUAUACUCUUAUACCCUAAAAACAUCCAGGAGAGCCACGGAACCACUUUCCACCACCGCAACCUUCUGUACUCGUGAGAUCUCAUCUUGGGGCCUUUUCCAGCGAUCUGCCGGAGGGGGAUUCGACCAUGGAGGGCUUCUACAUCAACACCAUAGACUCUCCGAUGAUGUGUGAGUAUUUUACCACAGACCUUCGGGUCCAUAGUUAUUAGCUAGAUGGCUUCUUCUCUCUCUUUGGUUCUCAAUACAAAGUUCUCCUCGAUGUUCUUGGAGAUCUAUUCGAUGUAAUACUUUUGGCGGUGUGUUUGCCGAGAUCUGAUGAAUUGUGGGUUUAUGAUCAAGAUUAUCUAUGAACAAUAUUUGAUUCUUCUCUGAAUUCUUAUAUGCAUGAUUUGAUAUCUUUGCAAGCCUCUUCGAAUUAUCGGUUUAAUUUGGCCUACUAGAUUGAUCUUUCUUGCAAUGGGAGAAGUGCUUAGCUUUGGGUUCAAUCUUGCGGUGCUUGAUCCCAGUGACAGAAAGGGAACCGACACGUAUUGUAUUGUUGCCAUCGAGGAUAAAAAGAUGGGUUUUAUAUCAUAUUGCUUGAGUUUAUCCCUCUACAUCAUGUCAUCUUGCUUAAUGCGUUACUCUGUUCUUAUGAACUUAAUACUCUAGAUGCAUGCUGGAUAGCGCUCGAUGUGUGGAGUAAUAGUAGUAGAUGCAGAAUCGUUUCGGUCUAUUUGACAUGGACGUGAUGCCUAUGUUCAUGAUCAUGCCUAGAUAUUCUCAUAACUAUGCGCUUUUCUAUCAAUUGCUCGACAGUAAUUUGUUCACCCACUGUAAUAUAUGCUAUCUUGAGAGAAGCCACUAGUGAAACCUAUGGCCCCAGGGUCUACUUUACAUCAUGUAAGUUUCCGAUCUAUAAUUCUAGUUUACUAUUUAUUUUGCAAUCUUUAUUUUCCCAUCAAUACAACAAAAAUACCAAAAAUAUUUAUCUUAUUAUCUUUAUCAGAUCUCACUUUUACAAGUGGCCGUGAAAGGAUUGCAACCCCUUUAUCGCGUUGGUUGCAAGGUUCUUUAUUGUUUGUGCAGGUACUAGGCGACUUGCGUGUAAUCUCCUACUGGAUUGAUACCUUGGUUCUCAAAAAUUGAGGGAAAUACUUACUCUACUUUGCUGCAUCACCCUUUCCUCUUCAAGGGAAAACCAACGCAUGCUCAAGAGGUAGCACCCUCCAUGAUCGAAUUCUCCUCCGGUACAGUGUUGUAAAAGGUCCCUAGAUGGGAUCUCACGGGUACAGAAGGUUGCGGCGGUGGAAAAGUGUUUUCGUGGAUGCCUCUGGUGGUUUGGGGAUAUAUGGGAAUAUAUAGGCGAAAGAAUUAGGUCAGUAGGUGCACGGGGGGCCCACAAGGGUGGGGGGCACGCCCUCCGUCCUUGUGGCCGCCUCGUGGCUCCUCCGACUUCAUCACGAAGUCUCCUGGUUGUCUUCUGGUCCAAGAAAAAUCAUCGCGAAGGAUUUAUUCCGUUUGGACUCCGUUUGGUAUUCCUUUUCUGUGAAACUCAAAAACAGGGAAAAAACAGGAACUCGCACUGGGCUCUAGGUUAAUAGGUUAGUCCCAAAAUAAUACAAAAUAGUGUAUUAAUGCAUAUAAAACAUCUAAAACAGAUAAUAUAAUAGCAUGGAAAAAUCAAAAAUUAUAGAUACAUUGGAGACGUAUCACUGUGCGUCGUGCCUGUAGCGGUCACCGCGCCGCUCGACGAGGCGCUCGCGGUGGUGAUAUGACCACAGGCUCUUGCGCCACUGGACGCGCCCCCCAUGGUGCUCACCAUGCUCCUGGACACAGCCUCGAUGCCGUUGCACGUGCACUGCCGGUGAACAUGGGGUUUGACCCUUGCUGGUGGCCGGCCCGAGCGCCCCAAUGGUGCACGCGGAUGCCGCCGUGCCUGCGCCAGACCCCUGGACUAAGCCUCCUCCCCCUUCGUCGCCGGUGGAGAGGCUUGGCUAUCGGCUGAAAGGCCACAUGGGCUAGGAUUUCACAGACUAUUUUAUUAACAGUAGUAUCAACGAUCUGAUUGCUAUUUUUUCAUGUACGCCUAUGCACACAAGCAAAUUGCACUCAUCCGAGUGCGUAAAGGAGGAGAAAAGAAAAUACCAUCAGCCUCGGUUCUCUCAUCUCGAGCGACGCCAUCACGCCACCGCGCCUACCAUCUCCGACCACCGCGGUCGUCGAGGUCGCCGCCAGCUAAGCACUGUCCUUCAUCUCGGUGCUGACCGACGCAUCCUGCUUCGUCUUCUUUUUGGGCAUGAGCGGAUCCUCCAACCAUGCGGUUGUUGACGUCGACGCUGUUGCACCGCGCCUACUGUCCGUGAGACCGGCCAAGCGGCCAGCCGUCUUUUUUGCCGCGCGCGGGGGUUCGUCGCCGCCCCUUGGCCCUCGGCAUCCUGCUGGCGAGUCCACCGUCGAGCGUCCGCUCCGGCCGCACUGGCACAUGCCCACCCCGUUUAUUUGCUUAUUUUCUUGGAAUAUUUCAGCUUUUAGGAAAUUAGAGUACCUUGUAUUCCAGAAUGUGAUGUAAUAUAUUUCCAUGUUUCUUACAUGUUGAGAUUCAUUACAUCUAUUAUUUGCAACUGAGAUUUUUUAUCUCUUGCAAAGCUAAAUUCAGUACCUCUGCAGUACUGUUUCUCCGUUGAGUAUGAGGUAUUCCGGAAUAUUUCUAUGAUGUAUCCAUUUCCAUGCUAACCACAUGUCCAGAUUAAUACGUCUACUUGCAAUUGAGGCUUUCAAUUUCUUGCAAAUGCGGAUGCAAAAUUCAAGGUGAUUUCGUCAAAUUGAUGUUUGAGAUCACAAGGUAGUCAUAUAUUUCUACCGCCAACGCAGAUUAUCGACGACUACUGAUAAAGCCUAUAUUUUGUCGUUUCGACACUAUAAUUGCUUUACAAAGUGCUCUCCCACACAUUUUACUAAGUCAUGACAUAAGGCAUUAGGAGUGAGUAUCUACUCCCUUUUGGAGAUAUACUCCGUUUUGGAGAUUAUCUUCAAGAUGUCAUACUUAGCAAUUUGAAGUUCACACAAAACAAAAGACACAUCCGUGACAUUUUGGCCCGAACAAUUUUUUUCUGUCAUGGUUAUGGCACUUCUAUGACGAUAAUUGUGACAAAACCACGUAUCAUCAUAGAUGUGGUGUGCUCCUACUUCUAUGACAAAAAAUCUUGACAGAAAAUGGGCUUUUCAUCCUGGGCGGGCUGGGGACGCACCUGCAUUACAUUCUUUGGGUCGUCCAUGACAUAAAAAAUCAUGGUGGAAGUGAGGGCGAGGAAAUUUUCGCGAAGUUCCCGAUUACGGUGGGUGGUCGGGCCGAGCGAUGCAGUGUGGUUUGCGCGUUUCUCCCUCGUACGCGCGUGUGGUGCGAGCCGUGUUUGUUAUAACUGAAUUCUGAACCCAAGCGAUUGAUCGAUCCCACUACAUACUGAAGUCGAUCGAUCGAUCCCUCCGCUGCUAACUGAACCCGAGCCAUUCUUUCGCUGGUGCUGCUAACUGAACCCGAGCGAUCGAUCGCUACUGCUGGCUUACUAAAGCUGAUCGAGCCCCCGUGCGAGACAUAGCCACCCGGUGUGUGUUGGGUUUCCUUUGGGUGAACAGUGACCAUUGCUGCCGCGCGCGCAAUACAUAGAAUGAGUCGAGACGUGGUGAGUCAACCUAGCCGAUUGGUUGGUUGUGGAUGAACAGUCCUGGUGUGGGUUGGAUAUGAACAUGACCCCGACCGUGUGUAGGCGGUUGCCGCUGGAUGAACAGGACCCCAUGGUGGUAGGCGGUUGCUGCUGGAUGAACAGGACCCUGAGGAGGCGGCCACACCCCAGCCGGUUGGCGGUGGAUGACCAGGACCCCGUGGAGGCUCUAUGAACAUUAGCCGGUGGAGUCUGGAGGACGAUAGUCGAUGAACAGUAGCCCAUGGAGUCCCGUUUUGAUGUACGCCACACCCAUCCCGAUAAACAGGACCCCGAGUCAACCCUAGGCGCUCCAACAGAAGUCUGUUUCCUCCGUUUCACGGUACGCCACACCCCAGGACCCCGUUUUGACCUUAGGCGGUUGAACAGAAGUCUGUUUUCUCUGUUUUGCGGUACGCCAGACCCCUCCCGAUGAAUAGGAUACUGUUUCGACCGUGGCCGGUCGAACAGAGGGACGUUUCCUACGUUCUGCGGUACGCUAGACCCCGUUUCGGCUGUUCCGUCCAAGCCGGUUGGCUCCCAUUGAACAGGACGUAUUCCGACCCAGUCGGUUGCCUCCCGAUGAAUAGGACGUUGUUUCUCCGUUCUGACCCAGUCGGUUGGCUGCCCGAUGAACAGGACGCCGUUACUGCUGUCCGUUGCCUCUCCAUGUACACGAGCCCUGGUCGUCCGUAUAUAUGCGUGAGUACGCGCUCGAGACCCCGCUUGUAUGUACGUACGUGGCCGUAUUUUUUGCCAUGUGGUUAUAUGUAUGUGUACAUGAUUUAGACGGGACUGCGUGAACUGCUACUUCGGGUGCUCUACAACGACACGUGCCGCUACUUACUCGACCACGGUUCAUACUUGUAGAGAGACCGAUCGACCAGUACGUACGUACACGUUUGCAACCAGACAGACAAAGCUACGUAUGCUUCGACCGGAUGGGUCCCAACUGUCAGGGGGGAUAAGGACACACUUCCUUGUGUGCGACGAUAUAGCUGUUGGGUCCCAGCUAUCAGGGGGAGGAAUCAUUUUUUCCGCGUAAUAAGAAGGCACUUCCUUGCGUGCCAAGAUGUAGCUGGUGGGUCCCAGCUGUCAGCGGGAGGAUUUUUUGAGCUUAAUAAGGAGGAACUUUCCUUGCGUGCGACCACGGACCUCGUGGGACCCAACUGUCAGCCUUUCCACGAACAGUCCUCUUCCGAUGACUCUCAUUUGUUGACCACGCCGCGCCGAGCGUAGCAAGGCGGUGGACGACGGCGAGGCCCCGGACGGGAACGACCCGGAGAUGGGAAGAUGCGGCAGUGGAGUUAUAGACGGAGAGGAGUACUAGGGUUAUAACUGGUUCUGGUGCGCCGUGGGGCUACAGUCGGUGGAGAAUAACAGGAGGUGUGGAGGGGCAAAGGGAUAUCCUAGCCGACGGCGGGGUAGCGCUUCACAUUGAUGCGUGCUAAGCAGAGACGCUAGCUGCCGUAGGCCGGAGCAGGGGGUCACGGCGGCGCUGGAGAAAGAAGAUGAGAGAUUGAAGGUGCAUGCCGGCCGUUGGAUAUAAAUUCAAUGGUUGUGGAUGUCAGAAUCGUUUGUUGACUAAGUUGACAACGCCUUGCGUAGUGUUCGACCUAUUGGCCCACAUGUCAGCUUGCAAAAAUGUGGCAUAUAUUUAACCCAUGUUUUCUAGAAUUUACAGUCUAUUUGCUGGGCUGGGUGAACAAAUAUUUUAGCGUCAAUGCGGCCCAUUUAAUUUUUUCUAAGAAAUCACAGCCCACUUGCACUUUCUUCAAAUACACGAAUUUGCUGGGUUGGGUGAACAAAUAAUGUAGCGUCCACGCGACCCAUGUAUUUUUUUCUAAAAAUUUACAACCCAUUUGCACUUUCUCGAAAGACACGAUUUUUCUAGGAUGGUUCUAAUUAUAAUGUCGGGGUUGUGAGCACCAAUGUUAUCAAAAAAUAAACAGGGGUUGAUCAUUUUGUUAUAAACAUAUUUAAAUAAUAAGUGUUUUAUUAUUACAUUGGUGCUUAAAUCAUAAAGCUUUUGUACACAAUCACAAGGAUUUCUGUUGCCUUAAAGUGAAAAAAACCAGGAUUUUAUUAAAAAUUUAUUUUUAUAAGACGUGGGAUAUUUUUCCUUAUAUAUGUAAGCAUCUGUUCAAUAUGAUGAUGAUGAUGAUGAUAAUAUAUAAUAACAUAUAAAAUAAUAUAAAUAUAUAUAAUAUAGUUAGAAGGGAAACAUAAGUUGGACCUGGCGUUCCUAUUCUCACAUAGAAAAAUAGAGCAAACCUCUGUGUUUUCUUCAAAAAAAUACAUAAGUUGGGUUGGGGAUGUAUAAGAAAAAAAUAAAACCUAGGAUGGAGGCACAUAGGCCGGUCGAUACAUGAUGGGUCUCACAAAAAUACAAAACGGAAUGUCGCGGGUUGCGCAUGUUAAAAAAGAAAGCCUAGACUGGGCAGCCCACAACCCAGCUGACGUCCAGGCCUCUGGACAAGAACGCACCGGAGCCGGGGAAGACGUGCUACAAUAGUUGUAGGAUCCAUGCCUAUUUUCUAACGUAAGUACUGAAGUAGCCCAGUGGCCAAGUUUCACUGCCCAAUAGUUGCUCCGCCUGGAUUCGAUUCCACCUGAUGCAGUGAAAAUAUCCCCAAAUUUUUUGCCUCUGCCAUUACUGACAUGUGGGUCCCCAAAUUUUUUUCUCUGUUUUUUGCACUCUCAACAUUGUGUGGGCAUGAUAACCCACAAGUAUGGGGGAUCACAAUAGUUUUCGAGGGUAGAGUAUUCAACCCAAAUUUAUAGAUUCGACACAAGGGGAGCCAAAGAAUAUUUGCAAGUAUUAGCAGCUGAGUUGUCAAUUCAACCACACCUGGAGAUUAAACAUCUGCAGCAAUAUGAUUAGUAGCACAGUAAUAUGAUAAUUUUGAUAGCAAUGGUAAUGGUAACAGUAACAGUGAUAGCAAUGAUUUUGUAGCAAUUGUGAUAGUAGCAAUAGCAAUAGUAACUUAGCAAGAACAAUAUAAGAGAAAUUCGUAGGCAUUGGAUCGAUGAAAUCAUUGGUUGAUAUUCAUCAUAUAACAGUCAUAACCUAGGGCGAUACGGCACUAGCUCAAGUUCAUAAAUAUAAUGUAGUCAUGUAUUCCGUAAAUAGUCAUACAUCCUUAUGGAAAGAACUUGCAUGACAUCUUUUGUCCUACCCUCCCGUGGCAGCGGGGUCCUAUUGGAAAUUAAGGGAUAUUAAGGCCUCCUUUGUAAUACAUAACCGGAACAAAGCAUUAACACAUAGUGAAUACAUGAACUCCUCAAACUACGGUCAUCACUGGUAUCCGGACUACUGUCACUCCGGGGUUUACGGAUCAUAACACGUAAUAGGUGAAUAUAACUUGCAAGAUAGGAUCUAGAACAUAGAUAUAAUGGUGAUAACAUAAAUGGUUCAGAUCUGAAAUAAUGGCACCCGGGCCCAAACUGACAAGCAUUAAGCAUGGCAAAGUCAUAUCAACAUCAAUCUUAGAACAUAGUGGAUACUAGGGAUCAAGCCUUAACAAAACUAACUUGAUUACGUGAUGAAUCUCAUCCAACUCCUCACCAACCAGCGAGCCUAUACGAAGGAAUUACUCACUCUCGGUGGGGAGCAUCAUGGAAUUGGAGAUGGAGAAGGGUUGGUGAUGAUGAAGAUCAAAGAUCCCCCUCUCUGGAGCCCCAAACGGACUCUAGAUCUGGCCUCCCGAUGAAGAACAGGAGGUGGCGGCGGCUCCAUAUUGUGAAACGCGAUAAUUCUUUCUCCCUAAUUUCUCUCUCCGAAAAUAGGUAUUUAUGGAGUUGGAAUUAGGGUCUUCGGGGCCACCAGGUGGGCACAACCCACCUGGGCGCGCCAAGAGGGGGGCGCGCCCUGGUGGGUUGUGCUCACCCAGGGGCCCCCUCCGGUGGUUCUUGGCUCCAGUAAUUUUUCUUUUAUUCCAUAAAAAAUCUCCAAAAAUUUUCAUUCCAUUCCGAGAACUUUUAUUUGUGCACAAAAACAACACCAUGGUAGUUUUGCUGAAAACAACAUCAGUCUGGGUUAGUUUCAUUCAAAUCAUGCAAACUAGAGUCCAAAAUAAGAGGAAAAUCGUUAGGAAAAGUAGAUACGACGAAGACAUAUCAACUCCCCUAAGAUUGAACCUUUGCUUGUCCUCAAGCAAUUCAGCUGAUAAACUGAAAGCGAAAAAGAAAAACUUUUACAAACUCUUUUGCUCUUGUUUACAUAAAUAAGCUUAAGUGGCACCCAGGUUUUCAGCAAAGAUUAUGACUAACCAUGUCAACAAUAACCCUUAAAAAUUAUAUUAACUCAUAUCAAUGGCAUAAGCAACUAGCAAGCAAUAAUAAAGCAUCUCAAAUAACAACACUUUGCCAAAACAAUCAUGAUAUAAUAUGACAAUAGUGGUAUCUCGCUAGUCCUUUCUGAGACCGCAAAACAUAAAUGUAGAGCACCUCCAAAGUUCAAGCAGCGACUAAAGAUUGUAAUUCAUGGUAGAAAAGAUACAGUCAUGAUGCAUCCAGCAUUAGCUACACACAAUGCAUGAGGAUGACAAUAGUGCUAUCAGAUCUGGCGCUUAUUUGAGAAGGUGAUGACACAACAUAAAAGUAAAUAGAUAGUCCCUUCGCAGAGGGAACCAGUGAUUUGCAGCGGUGCCAGAGCUCAUAUUUUAAAAUAGAGAUAAAUGAAAGUUUGAGAAAUGCACCCUUCAUGUUUACUUCGUGACCAUUGAUUAUCGAUAUCUUCCAUGCUAAACACAUUAGUGGUGGUUCCCAAGCGAUAAAAGUAAAGGUUUACUCCCCCUCCACCAACAAACACACUCCAUGGCUAGCCGAAUCCACGGGUAAUGUCCAUACCAACAUCAGUCUUGGGGGAGUUUUAUUUAAUUAUUUGCAAUUUUUUUGAAUUCGGGACUGGGAAUCCCUAUUACCGCCCCUCUAAAGCAAGGACGAGUGAAUAAACACUCAUAAUGAGAAUAACGGGCUUAGCACGGAAGAUAUUGACUACUUGUCACUCUAUGAACAAUCCAGGCACACAAAAACAGAUGUUUAUUUGAAGUUUUUAGAGGUGGCACAUGCAAAUUUACUUAGAACGGCAGGGUAAUACCGCAUAUAGGUAGGUAUGGUGGACUCAUAUGGAAUAACUCGGUUUUUGGGAUCUUGAUGCACAAGCAGUAUUCCCGCUUAGUAUAGGCGAAGGCUAGCAAAUAGGUUGAGAAGCGGCCAGCUAGAGAGCGAAAACGGUCAUGAACAUGCAUUAUGCAUAAGUAACAUUGGAUACUAGCAUGAGUAGGAUAUGAACACCAUGAUCAUAAAUAUCAUAGAGGCUAUGUUGGUUUUGAUUCAACUACAUGCAUGAACAUGUGCCAAGUCAAGCCACUCGAACAUUCAGAGGAGGAUACCAUAUCAUCAUAAUAUAUCACAAUCAUUUUAACGCAAUGUUGACAUCCAAGAUAAAUCAUUAUCCACUCCUCGCUACUUAAGCAUGGUAUGAGAAACUAUAAUCUCUAAUUGUCAUUGCAAACAUGUUUGAUCAUAAUAGGCUGAAUCAUGGACUAGGUUAAACAUAUUUACAAAAACAGAACAAGUUGAGUUCAUACCCGUUUCUCUCUGCCACGGCCAGUUCAUCAAAUAUCAUCAUUGUUGCCUUUCACUUGCACGGCCGAAUGAUAUGAAAAUAAUAACAGUGCAAGAGUAACAUGGACUAAGCUGGAAUCUGCAAACAUUUUAUUCAAGAGGAGACAAGGCAAUUUGAGCUCUUUGUUAGAUCAGCAAUAAUGCAUAUGAGAGCCACUCAACAUUUUCACUGUGGUCUUCUCCUUGGUAUGACUCAAUAAAAGGAAAAGAAUUUUAGAGAAACACACUGAAAUAUUUUUGGCAUUUUUAGUUUUUCUUGAGCAAGCAAAUGGAAGAGAAAACAAAACAAAAAAAGAGAAAAACUAUUUACACGGGAAAGCUCCCAACAAGCAAAAGAAGAACAAGGAAAUCGUUUUGGGUUUUCUUUUAAAUACUACAACUAACUAAACUAGAAAGAAAAACUGAAAAGAAGCAGGAAAUAUUUUUGUAUUUUCUCAAAGUUUUUCAAACACACAAGAAGAAAACGAGAAAAUAAAUCUAACAUGGAUAAUACAAUGAAAAAGUAUGAACACCGAGAACUGGAAUGAAAUGUGUGAACACGAAUAUGAUGCCCGUGGAAAUACGUACUCCCCCAAGCUUGGGCUUUUGGCCUCGCUUGGUAAUCACCAUCCGCGGCCUACGUAAAAAUCAGAGUGGUAGCUCACGAAGGCUCUUGGCGCAGCCUCCUUAGCCUGCCGAGCAGCCAGCACCUGCGUGUUGUGUGCGCGGGCCUCGCUCUCAAGAACAUAAUACCUUCCCUUGCUGUCAAAAUCAAAGAGAGCAGGCGCAUGCAAAAAAGGUGUCCACGACGGACUUUUUAUUAAACAGUAGGUUAUAUGUAUAAUUAUUAAUUUCACCACUAAGGAACUUAUGACGCUUCAUGGCCUCAAAGUCUAAGUACUGGGUAGGGAGAAUGGGAUCAUUGAGGGAGUCCUGGAUUAGGGGCUCCUCGGACUGCCGGACUAUAUACUUUGGCCAGACUGUUGGACUAUGAAGAUACAAGAUUGAAGACUUCAUCCCGUGUCCGGAUGGGACUCUCCUUUGCGUGGAAGGCAAGCUUGGCAAUUCAGAUAUGUAGAUCUCCUCCCUUGUAACCGACUCUAUGUAACCCUAGCCCCCUCCAGUGUCUAUAUAAAUCGGAGGGUUUAGUCCGUAGGAUGACAACAAUCAUAAUCAUAGGCUAGCUUCUAGGGUUUAGCCUCUACGAUCUCGUGGUAGAUCAACUCUUGUAAUACUCAUAUCAUCAAGAUCAAUCAAGCAGGAAGUAGGGUAUUACCUCCAUCGAGAGGGCCCGAACCUGGGUAAACAUUGUGUCCCCCGCCUCCUGUUACCAUCCGCCUUAGACGUACAGUUCGGGACCCCCUACCCGAGAUCCACCGGUUUUGACACCGACAUUGGUGCUUUCAUUGAGAGUUCCACUGUGCCGCCACCAUAAGGCUUGAUCGCUCCUUCGAUCAUCGACAACGAUGCGAUCCAGGGUGAGGUUUUUCUCCCCGGACAGAUCUUCGUAUUCGGCGGCUUCAUACUGCGGUCCAGCUCGCUUGGCCAUCUGGAGCAGAUCGAGAGCUACGCCCCUGGCCAUCAGGUCAGGUUCGAAAGCUUGAACUAUACUGCCGACAUCCGCGGAGACUUGAUCUUCGAUGGAUUCGAACCCAUGACAGGUGCGCCGCACAGUCACGAUGAGCAUGAUUUAGCUCUGUCGUCAGACGGUGUUCGGGAGAUCACACCUGUAGCUACUCCGGCCCUCAAUCCGGAGCAGAUUGCGUCGUCCGAGGACGGGUGGAUGGACCCUGCCACGGAGGCCGCACACUCAGCGGCGAUAGAGCCGAAUACUGACUUCACCUCCUACGAGACCUGUGUUGCCGGAUCCUUGGAUUCGUCCCCGGCCACGGGCUCCGAACCACCUGCGUCCGUGCCUAUCGAAUCUGAUUGGGCGCCGAUCAUGGAUUUUUCCUCCACGGAUAUCUUUCAGCACUCGCCCCUGGGCGACCUACUAAAUUCAUUAAGGUCUCCUUGUUAGGAGACCCUUGGCCGAACUAUGUCCGGCUUGAGUGGGAAGCGGACGACGAAGAAAUUCGUUCCCCACCCACCACCCACUUGAUAGCCACUGUCGACGACUUAACCGACAUGCUCGAUUUCGGCUCCGAAGAAAUCGACGAUAUGGACGACGAUGCAGGAGACGAACAGGAGCCACCGCCCACAGGACGGUGGACUGCCACCUCAUCAUAUGAUAUAUACAUGGUGGACAGCCCCAAGGAAAGCGAUGGCAACAAGGCAACGGAGGAUAAUCCCCUUGAGAAGCAAUCUAAGCACCGGCAUCAUCGGCGCCGCUCUAAGCCCCGCCACAGCAAAAGCAGCGAUACCGGCACAAGAGACAAUAACGCUCCGGAUAGUGCCGAAGGAGAAGACAAUCCCCUCCAGCCAGGCCUCAAGCGGGAGGAUGGGCAAGCUAGCCCUCAGGAACAGGCAGCAGACGGAGAAUCAGAGGAUGACAAUUACAUGCCUCUCUCCGAAGACGAGGUGAGCCUCGGCGACAAAGAAUUUAUCGUGCCUAAGGACCCCGUCCAACAGGAGCGCUUCAAGCGCCGGCUUACAGCCACAGCAAAAAGCCUGAAGAAAAAGCAACAACAGCUUCGAGCUAAUCAAGAUCUGCUAGCGGAUAGAUGGACUGAGGUCCUGGCGGCCGAGGAAUACGAACUCGAGCGCCCAACCAAGAGUUACCCAAAGCGCAGGUUGCUACCCCAACUCGAGGAGGAAGCAUUAAACCCCACACUACCAGCGUAUGAUGCGGCUGAUCGGCCACCCCGUGGCCGAGACGGAAUGGCAUAUCAACCCGAAGUCCAGCCUGCACCCAGUCGCCAGUCAAACAAAAACACCAAGGCCCGGGGCAACACGCAGGACCUGCGAAACGUAUUGGAAAACACAGCAGGACAUACAAGAUCGAUCUAUGGAUCACGGGGGCGCGCCCUAACGCGUGACGAUGAUCGUCAUGCCGGAUAUACUAAAAGCAAAUCCGGCCAGGCUGAAUACAGCAGACAAGACUCGUAUGAACUGCGUCGUGACAUAGCCUGGCACAGAGGUGCCGCACACCCCCUAUGCUUCACUGAUGAAGUAAUGGAUCACGAAUUCCCAGAGGGAUUUAAACCCGUGAACAUUGAAUCAUAUGAUGGUACAACAGACCCCCGCGGUAUGGAUUAAAGAUUUCCUCCUCCACAUCCACAUGGCCCGCGGUGAUGAUCUACAUGCCAUCAAGUACCUCCCACUAAAACUCAAAGGACCGGCUCGGCAUUGGCUGAAUAGCUUGCCAGCAAACUCCAUUGGCAGUUGGGAGAAUCUGGAAGACGCAUUCCUUGACAACUUCUAGGGCACUUAUGUGCGACCACCGGAUGCUGAUGACUUGAGUCACAUAACCCAGCAGCCAGGGGAAUCGGCCAGGAAAUUCUGGACCCGGUUCCUAACUAAAAAGAACCAAAUUUUCGACUGUCCGGAUGCAGAGGCCUUAGCGGCAUUCAAGCAUAACAUCCGUGACGAGUGGCUCGCCCGACACCUCGGCCAAGAGAAGCCGAAGUCUAUGGCAGCCCUCACGACACUCAUGACCCGCUUUUGCGCGGGCGAGGACAGCUGGCUGGCUCGCAGCAACAACACAUGAAGAAAUCCUGGCGAUUCAGAUGCCAAAGAUAGCAAUGGUAGACCAUGUCGCAACAGACACAAGCGCCGCAACAACGGUGACAACGCCGAAGACACGACAGUCAAUGCCGGAUUCAGGGGCUCUAAAUCCAGUCAGCGGAAAAAGCCGUUCAAAAGAAGCAAUCCGGGCCCGUCCAGUUUGGACCGCAUACUCGAUCGCUCGUGUCAAAUUCAUGGCACCCCCGAUAAGCCAGCCAACCACACCAACAGAGAAUGAUGGGUGUUCAAAUAGGCCGGCAAGUUGAACGCCAAAAACAAGGAAAAGGGGCUGCAUAGCGACGACGAGGAGGAGCCCCGGCCGCCGAACACAGGAGGACAGAAGAAAUUUCCUCCCCAAGUGAAAAUGGUGAACAUGAUAUAUGCAACCCAUAUUUCCAAGCGGGAACGGAAGCGUGCACUAAGGGACGUCUAUGCGAUGGAGUCCAAUCACUUUCGAUCGCAGGGACCACCCCACUAGUAUCCGUCAUGGCGGUUCUGCCGCAUUGGUCCUUGACCCCCAUCAUUGACGGAUUUCACCUCACUCGGGUCCUUAUGGACGGUGGCAACAGCCCGAACCUGCUCUAUCAGGAUACAGUGCGCAAAAUGGGUAUAGACCCCUCAAGGAUCAAACCCACAAAAACCACCUUCAAAGGUGUCAUACCAGGUGUAGAGGCCUGUUGCACGGGCUCAAUCACAUUGGAAGUCGUCUUCGGAUCUUCGGACAACUUCCGAAGCGAGGAAUUAAUCUUCGAUAUCGUUCCCUUCAGCAGUGGCUAUCACGCACUACUCGGACGAACCGCAUUUGCUAGAUUCAAUGCAGUACCGCAUUAUGCAUACCUCAAGCUCAAAAUGCCAGGACCUCGCGGGGUUAUAACAGUUAAUGGAAACACAGAACGCUCGCUCCGUACGGAGGAGGACACUGCGGCCCUCGCAGCAGAAGUGCAAAGCAGCCUUCUGAGACAAGCCGCCAAUUCGGCGACAAAACCCCCGGACACCUUCAAGCGAGUCCGGAGUACCCUGCAACAGGAUCGCCCGGCACGUUCAGAGCUCGCCUAGCAAUUUGGCCUCUGUCAUAGUCCCAGUAAAGCGGCGAAAUUUGCGCCGUGCGUACAUAAUUACGCACUCAAGAUACCAUGGGCGCAGGCGGAGGCACGACUAUGGCACGGCCCACAAUGCGGCUCAACCACCUCAGGGCCCGUAUAUCUUUAUCAUUUUUUCUCUUUCAGGACCCUACUCUCUGGAAGCUCUUUCCGACAGCCUGAUUAUCGGACCCAUUACGGGAAGGAAAUACCAAGGAAGCAAGAAGCUCUGACGUACAAGGGAAUCCCCAGGUGGUCUCUGAUAACGAUCAAUAUACCUGUUUUACAUACCCAUACAUAGCUUGCCCUUGGAUAGGACAUGUCAAAUAGUCCUAUUUUUUGCUUAUUGCACUACUUGUAUACAUACGCUUUGACGUAUCAUUUAAAUAGGUAUAGCGUUAGCUUAUUAUUGCAUUUCAUUUUUUUCCUUGUCUGCUUAUUUAUGACAAAUUGCACCCAUACAUUCUGGUACGUCCAGUGCGCCAGGGGCUUCAGUGUACCCCAUAAUACGGCAUGAAAAGUCCGAACACUUUUGACAGUGCGGCACCCGAACUUAUAGCAUUAUAUGCAUUAGCUCCGAAUCAUGUCUUGGGUCAAUAGUUGGGUUUGCCCGGCUACCAUGUUUUGGUACCUUACGUUCCGCUAUAUUGGCUAAGGUAGAGCUAGGAGAACUACUGCGAUUGUGUCCCGGUUCUUCCGGACGAACACCUCAAUAGAGAAAGCCGAAAACUGACUGUCAUGAUGAGGCGAGAGUUGGUCGCUGUUCGAGAGGUCUCAAAUCCUUAAAGAUUUUUUCCGCUUCGGGCGAGGAGUCGGCCUUGUCCGAUUUAGGCGUACAUAGCGCCCCAAGUUCGGCCUUCCGAAUACUAGGGGCUUUGCCAAAAUUUAAAAUUGUAGACUUCUAUGGCUAAGUGAGAGUGAUAAAGCUUUAUAGUCCGAUUGCCUGGUUCGUUGUGCUGAACACCUCCUUCGAAGGACCCAAAACAAGGAUAAAGAGUGAUCAGGUUUAUCUCGAACACCUCAGUACUAGUUACAUGGGGGCAGAAGCCGACGACUCGCCAACUCUCAAAUUUUAUAAACGGCCGCACAUAAGGUAAUUUUUUAAAUUAACAAGCGUUACAUAGCGCACAUGAACUCGUUUCAUAUUACAUGAUCACAUGAGUACAUUCAUUCAAAUAUUACAUCCUUAGCACAUUCCUCUGCCACAAGGUGAGCACCCUUCAGGACACUAUCAUAAUACUUUUCGGGGUGGCCAUGCUCCUUGCCCUCCGGCGACCCCUCCUUCACCAGCUUUUCGGCGUCCAUCUUCGCCCAGUGCACUUUCGCCCGGGCAAAGGCCCUGCGCGCACCCUCAAUGCAGAUGGACCGCUUUAUGACUUCAAACCGUGGGCAGGCAUUCACAAGCCGCCUUACCAGACCGAAGUAGCUGCCAGGCAGGGGCUCGCCAGGCCACAUCUAGACUAUGAGACCCUUCAUGACCUGUUCGGCCGCCUUGUGAAGGGCAUCGGAUGUUCAGUCCUAGUAUACUGAGACCAGAACAACUUCUCCGUCGAGCUCCCUUCCUCGACCCGGUAGAACUCCGCUUCAUCCGACACACUGCUGGGUAGAUCUGCGAACGCUCCUGGAGAGCUCCGAACUCGAGUAAGUAAAAGGAAAGUUUCCUUCACAUGCUUGCUUUGCAUAAUGAAUGCCUUACCCGCCACUAUCUUCUUGACCGCCUGAAUCUCCUGGAGGGCCUUUUGGGCUUCGGCCUUGGCAUUUUGUGCGUUCUCGACGGCCUUCGCAAACUCGGACCCUUGCAUCUUAGAGUCACGCUCCAAGGACUCGUAUUUUUUGACGAAAUGCUGGAGCUCUUGCUGAACCUCGCUGACUCGGGCCUCUUGUUUCUCGCGCUCGGCUCGCUCCUUGGCCGCUUUGUCUUCGGCCUCGGACAGCACCUUCUUCAGGGCCGCCACUUCGGUCGUGGCCCCUAGCAAAAUUCAUGACGAUCCUAUGAACAACCACCUUCUUUUUUCUUUAUCAAUAUAUAGACGGGGUAUAACUUACCUUUGUUCUCUUCGAGCUGCCUCUUGGUAAGGCCGAGCUCUUCCUUGGACCGCUCAAGGUCCCGCUUCAGUGCGGAGACCUCCGCAGUACGAGCGGCAGCGGCCAGUAGCGAAGCCUGCUUAUUCACAUAGACAUAUUUUGAUUAGACUCCUGUGAUUAUUAUUUGAUCCCCUGUUCGGCCUUUCUUUGGGAACACCAAACAGAGCAUCAGGGGCUACUGUCCAUGCUGUAACAUUUUCUCAUAAUUUGAUUGCUUACCUCAAAGCCUGUUAGGAGGCUCGCACAGGCUUCAGUCAGCCGGCUUUUGGCGGACCGAACCUUCUUGACCACCACACUCAUGAUAGUGCGGUGCUCUUCGUCAAUGGAAGCGCUGCGAAGCGCUUCCAGCAAGUUGUCCGAUGCCUCUGGAUGGACAGAGGCCAUCGGCACAGACGGCUUGCCCCCCUUAGCGAGGGGUUGCCUGAUAGAGUCCGCAACCACUGGAGGUUCCAGCGCAGUAUUCGGCUGGGGGACAAACUUGCUGCCCCCAGCGUCUGGGACGUCGCCUUGGGGCGCCUCCAGAACCACCUCCCCUUGGUUCAGUGCCCUUUGAGACAACACCUCAGCGUCGUCCGUAGGGAGAGGGGAGGAGGCGGUCGGGAGUGAAUUGUUGUUCAUCUCCAACUGGCCCAUGGACUCAUUCGAAGAGGAUACGUCGAUAUGGGCUCUGGAUGGACUGCAUGAUCAUGUUUGGCAUGAUAAGAGGCAAUAAGACGAAAUAUACCAGAACUAUUAUGGUAUCCGGAUACUCACGACUUCGCCAGGGGCUUGCCCCUGGGUAACCACUCCUCGUCGCUGAAAGCGGCCGUUGUGGAGCAGUCCGGAAGGAGAGUCCUUCCCUUCUUGGACCCUACAGCCUCCCCAGACGGGGCGCCCUUCCUUUCUUGUCUCCGCCGGCUGGGGGGAGAACUUUCCUCUUCCUCCUCCUCGUUUUCAUGGGAGGAGGGCGCCUCAGCAUUAUUGGACGAUGAGUCCGACACAACCUUGCGCCGGAGACCUUUCCUGGUCCCCGUGGCCUUCUUCUUGGCCUUCUUCUCCGGCGCCUCAUAGGGCCCCGGAACCAGCACCUCCGUUAAGAGAGCCCUUGCUGGAUCUUCGGGCAGUGGGGCCGGACAAUCAAUCCGCUCCACUGUUGCGACCCAGUCCUGUUAAAUGGCGUGGAGGCUUAGAUCCCACGCAUGAUUAUACGGGGGAAAGAAACAACUUAUGAGAUAUAAGGAUCUUACUGGAUUGGCGAGGCGCUUAGCGCUGAGUCCGCAAUCCUCGAUGAGGGGAGGAGGCACCUCGACAGACUUAAACAGCACCUUCCAGAUGUCCUGGUGCGUUGUGUCAAAUAGCUCUCGCAGCGUCUGGUGCUUAGCCGGGUCGAACUCCCACAUAUUGAACGCCCGUCUUUGACACGGGAGGAUCCGGUGGAAGAGCAUGACUUGGACCACGUUGACAAGCUUGAUUUUCUUGCUUAUCAUGUUUUUGACGCAGUUCUGGAUUCCGGUCAGCUCCACCGAUGAACCCCAGGAUAGGCCCUUCUCUUUCCAGGAGGUGAGCCGCAUGGGGAUGCCGGAUUGAAAUUCGAGGGCCGCCACCCAGUUGGUGUCGCGCGGCUCGGUGAUGUAGAACCACCCUGUUUUCCACCCCUUCACGGUCUCCACAUAGGAGCCUUCGAGCCAGGUGACGUUGGGCAUUUUGCCCAUCAUGGCGCCUCCGCACUCCGCUUGCUAGCCGACCACCACCUUCGGUUUAACGUUGAAGGUCUUCAGCCACAGGCCAAAGUGGGGCUUGAUGCGGAGGGGCCUCGCACACGACGAUAAACGCCGAGAUGUUGAGGAUGAAAUUGGGGGCCAGAUCAUGGAAAUCCAGCCCGUAGUAGAACAUGAGCCCGCGAACAAAUGGGUGGAGGGGAAAUCCCAGCCCACGGACGAAAUGGGUAAGAAAUACAACCCUUUCGUGGGGUUCGGGGGUGGGGACGAUCUGCCCCGUGUCUGGGAGCCGGUGCGCGAUAUCUGCGGCCAGGUAUCCGGCCUCCCGGAGCUUCGUAAUGUUCUCCUCCGUAACGGAGGAGACCAUCCACUUGCCUCCCGCUCCGUACAUGUUUGGAGUGGUUUUGCGGAGAAAAUGCGAACUUGGGCGUUGGGGCUCGAGCGCACGAGAAUGGAUGGGCAGGGAAGAAGGCGUGGGUAAAAAGGAUUAGUCCUUGUCCCUUUAUAAGGGCAGAGGAAACUGUGCGCCUCCUCACCUGCCUGGUAAACUCGCUUAUUCCCCAAGCGCCAUGAUUAAUGGCGCGGUUGGGUUACCCACACCCGUAUUGAUGAGAAUCCCGUGAUAAGGGGACACAAUCUCUGCUUCGACAAGACGUGCCAAGAAAACCGCCUCGCAAUAUGUGCAGUAGCUGGUUGAGAAAAAGGUUCAAAUAAUGACCAGGCCACGGCGUGAUGUCACGUUAUGAAAGGUUGUCAACAGAUUAGAUUUGUGGAAAUAUUAUACUCUCUACGGUGGUAUGUGGAAUUCGUUAUGCAGAGCCGGACACGAUCCUUGUGUUCAAAAUCUUCUAUGGAGUGUUCGGAGGAAGAACCCGCCUUGCAAUGUCGAAGACAAUCUGCACGCCGGACUCAUCGUCAUUGAAGCUUGAUUCAGGGGCUACUGAGGGAGUCCUGGAUUAGGGGGUCCUCGGACUGCCGGACUAUAUACUUUGGCCGGACUGUUGGACUAUGAAGAUACAAGAUUGAAGACUUCGUCCCGUGUCCGAAUGGGACUCUCCUUUGCGUGGAAGGCAAGCUUGGCAAUUCGGGUAUGUAGAUCUCCUCCCUUGUAACCGACUCUGUGUAACCCUAGCCCCCUCCGGUGUCUAUAUAAACCGGAGGGUUUAGUCCGUAGGACGACAACAAUCAUAAUCAUAGGCUAGCUUCUAGGUUUUAGCCUCUACGAUCUCGUGGUAGAUCAACUCUUGUAAUACUCAUAUCAUCAAGAUCAAUCAAGCAGGAAGUAGGGUAUUACCUCCAUCGAGAGGGCCCGAACCUGGGUAAACAUUAUGUCCCCCACCUCCUGUUACCAUCCGCCUUAGACGCACAGUUCGGGACCCCCUACCCGAGAUCCGCCGGUUUUGACACCGACAAUCAUCAGGCCAAGGUCAUACAUGGAACUCCUCUGCUAAACGUGAAGCAUAAAUCCCACCAUAAAAAUAUCCACUACCGGCGUUGGUUGCAAUCUGCGUGCAACAAUCGCUCGAAGGUUAUAACAUUUAACACCGGUGAGAGCAGUAUGUAGGAGGCUCAAAUCAAGAGCACAUAGUGUACUACAGUCUUGUUUACGUAUGAUUCAUUUUCCUUUAAACAGUGCAAAGUACUGAAUUGAUGGGAAAUGAAUGCUUCUUAUUCUACCCUGUGUCACUCCUCUAGUUUCACCAUAGCAAAGGCUAGUCAAAAUGUCUCAUACUCAAAUCUUGGUGGUUCAUCCAACAAACCCCAAAAUGGAAUUUUACACACACCACUAAACGCAUCUAGAGGCAUGGUAAGUGAACGGUCAUAAAGUUUAAACGAGACUCUAGACUCACGAGGAUGAAAUUUAAACUCUUUAGUAAAUGAUUCUAUGAGACUGAGGUACUGGUUGCACUUAUCUUGAAUGUAGGGACCGAGCUCGGCAUUGUGAACAUAUUGCUCAAAUUCUUAUUUAAUACCUGCACUCAACAUCAAAUUGUCGAACAGACAUAAGCAUGAUUUGGUAGCAGCAUCCCUUAUUGAACUGGCACUUGGUUCAACAUAAGACCGACAGGUUGAGCUACUACUAGAAGAUGCCUCCGAGGACUUCCGCCUCGAAGAACUCCUUCAAAAGAGGUUCAUCAUAUUUGCGUACAAUUUUCUGAAAAAUUUCUGGGUCACAAAAUUUUUGUCAAUAAAACUUUACAAGAUUGAUAGCAACUACUCAUAAGGAUGCAUAGAGGCCAUUUCAAGCAUUCAAACUACUUAGAACUCUAAGAAUUCAACAUGCAAGCUCAUCUACAGCAGCACCAAGAGUAGCUAAUUAUUCAAAAUAUAAUCCACUAAAGCAAAAACUAAUUGGACCAAUGGAGGAGUCACAUACCAAGUGGCAAUGCCCCAAAACAGUUUCAGAAACGGAGCUUCGAGCAAAGAGAUCAAAAUCCGCGGGUUUGAGAGCAAGAACAUGAGAGAGAGAGCAACGGUGAUUUUUUGGAGGUAGGUGAUGACAUGGACUAAAGAGAUAACUGAGGGGGCCCACGAUGGGACCACAACCCACCAGGGCGUGCCUGGGGCUGCUGCCGCGCCCAGAUGGGUUGUGCCCACCUGGAGCACCCCCCCUCUAAUGUUAUUUGCACUAAAAAAAUUAAGUAUUCAGAAAAAAUUCGUAUUAAAUUUUCAGGGCAUUCUGAGAGCUUCUAUUUUUUGGACAUUUUUUUAUUACACGAAAAAUUCAGAAAACAGACAAAACAUGACAUUUUAUUUUAUUAACUAAGAAAAACAGAAUACAAGAGUGGGAAACGGAAGGUUGUGUCUACUAGGUCCAUCAACUUCAUACCUUUCAAAAAUGAUCCAUUAAUAAGGUUGAUCAAGUCUUAUUAACAACCACCUUCGAUUAGCAUGAAACCGAAGAACUUUCGUAAAAACGCUAAGUGACCUCAACGGGGAUAUGUAUGUCCCCAACAAUAAGCAUUUCAUAUUUCUUUUCGGCGGUAGGUAAAGGUAGAUGAAAACUUCCAAUAGUGAGUGUUGGAGAUUUUUCAAUAACAUUAAUACCAUUCACUUGGAAUUGUUUCUUCGGAAAGUGCACCAUAUGCUCAUUACCAUUGAUAUGAAACAUGACCUUGCUUUUAUUGCAAUCAAUAACAGCCCAUGCAGUAUUCAAGAAGGGUCUACCUGUCAGGACCCCGAUUCUAAGUCACACCGAUCUAGCCUGUAACACCUCAUAUCACUUUGCGGCCUCACGCACGGUAUUCCCACGGGUGUCACCUUACCAUGGCCCGGGACCGUUUGCGCCUUUUGGCUCACGUAUAUGAUAGUGUCGCUAGCAUCCAUAUGACAGAGAACCCGGGCCGACAUGGCUAGUCGUGAACCCAAAGCGGCACUAACGUAUGGGGACAGGCAUACAUGAAUCAACAUCGAACGUGUCGGUCAGCAGCGUGUGAAUCCGGGCUGUAGCACUGGGCUAACAGGACUCCGGGAACCCGGGCUGUAGCAGGCUAGGCAGGACUCCGGAUGUCACGCGUGACAUUUCCCUGAAGGGAGAAACAUAGGAACGAAGUGAAUCACAUGCCGGCCAGUCAGGAGUCCGGAGCAGUAGUGCUGGGCUAGCAGGACUCCGGUGAACCGGGCUGUAGCGGACUACUAUGGCUCAUGGAAGCACAAGACUACAUUUCCCCAUAAGAGAGGCUACCAAGGAUAAACAACUAGGUUGUCGGAUCCCACACAUACCAAGCAUUUCAAUCAUACACGCAAUAUGCUCGAUAUGUGUAAAUACAACAUGGCAUCACAACAUAACUCUACGACUCAAGUACUUAUUCAUUAGGCUCCGAAGAGCCAGAUAUUACAAACAUGGGUCUCUCGACCCAGCAUUCAGAGCAUACAAGUCAAACACAUGCGGAAGCUUAACAUGUCUGAGUACAGACAACUAUAAAUGAAAAAGGCUGAGAAGCCUGACUAUCUACUAGAUCCUGCCGAGGGCACAAGAUCGUAGCUGAGGUAACAAGCUAAACGUCGAAGUCCACGCGGAACUACUAGCGAGACUGAAGUCUCUCUGCAAAAACAUAAAUUAAGCAAACGUGAGUACAAAUGUACCCAGCAAGACUUACAUCAGAACUAGCUACAUAUGCAUCGGUAUCAACAAAGGGGGUGGUGGAGUUUAACUGCAGCAAGCCAGCUUUGACUCGGUGGCUAUCCUAGCUACGACUGCAAGUAACUCUUUUGAGGUGGCGCACACGAGUCCACAUAUUCACCAUAUCAAUACUCCACUAUGGAUCCGCUCCCGUCUCCCUACGAGAACGCCAUCCAUAGCACUCACGCUUAUCUUGCGCAUUUUAGAGUAUCCACUUUCACUUGUCUAUGAACUGUUAUAGGCAACCCAGAAGUCCUUUACCGCGAACACGGCUAUUCGAAUAGAUCAUAUUAACCCUGCAGGGGUGUACUUCGUCACACACGCUCUCACCACUUACCGCCGUUUACACGACAUGUACUCGGCAACCUUCAAGCGGAAGCCCGCACCUCGCGCCUUGACCGCGCCCCGCCACGCCUAACACGCCCGCCUCCGCGUGCCUUUGCAUCCAGCCACGCCUGCGCCUCGCCACUGCUUGUCGUGGCUCGCCCGCCGUCGCCCGCCGCUGCCACUAGCUCAGGCACCGCUGCCCCGUCGCCGUCCCUGGCCUCGCCNNNNNNNNNNNNNNNNNNNNNNNNNNNNNNNNNNNNNNNNNNNNNNNNNNNNNNNNNNNNNNNNNNNNNNNNNNNNNNNNNNNNNNNNNNNNNNNNNNNNNNNNNNNNNNNNNNNNNNNNNNNNNNNNNNNNNNNNNNNNNNNNNNNNNNNNNNNNNNNNNNNNNNNNNNNNNNNNNNNNNNNNNNNNNNNNNNNNNNNNNNNNNNNNNNNNNNNNNNNNNNNNNNNNNNNGGCGUUCUGGCUGCCGGUGCCCACGCCGCGGGCUGCGUCCGGGGCCAGCCCCGUUCGGCCUCGGGCACGGGCACCACGCCCGCACCCAACGCCCGCACACGCUAUGGCCCCUGUGCCAAUGACAUGGGGGGCCCACGCCCCAGAACGUCAAUUAAAAAAAAGAAUAAAUAAAUUAAUAAAUAAAAAGAAAAAUGAAUUAAUAAAAUUAAUUAUUAAUUAAUUAAGUUAAUUAAUCCUGUUUAAUUAAUCUAAUUAACUAGUUAGUUUAAUUAAACAGUAAUUAGUUUAGCUAAUUCCUAAUUAAUCUAAACAAAGAAUGAUAGGUGGGUCCCACUGGACCUACAUGUGAGUUUGACCAGUCAACACCUCUGUUGACUAUUGACAUCAUGCUGACAUCAUGAUGAUGUCAGCGUGCACUAUUCUGGAUAAUGUUGAAUUAAAUUAAUUAAAUAAAUUCUAAAAUGAUUUAAAACUUUAGAAAAUCAUAUAAAAUAAACCGUAGCUCAGAUGAAAAUACUUUCUACAUGAAAGUUGCUCAGAACGACGAGACGAAUCCAAAUACGCAGUCCGUUCGUCUGCCACACAUCCCUAGCAUAGCAAACAUGCAACUUCCCCCCUCUGGUUCAUUUGUCCAAAAACGCAAAACACCGGGAAUACUUUCCCGGAUGUUUCCCCACUUCGCGGGUAUCACCUACUACUGCGUUAGGUCACCUCUUGCACCGCGUAUUGCCAUGCUACGCUUUGUGAUGCUUUGAUUGCUUUGUUAUUUAUUGUGUUCCCCAUUCGUUACUUCUUUCCGGUAGACCCCGAGACUGCCGGCGAGCCCCAGUUCGACUACGGUGUUGACGAUCCCUCCUUCAUGCCAGAGCAACCAGGCAAGCCCCCCCUUGAUCACCAGAUAUCGCCUAUUCUUCUCUAUACUGCUUGCAUUAGAGUAGUGUAGCAUGUUACUGCUUUCCGUUAAUCCUAUCCUGAUGCAUAGCCUAUCAUUGUUGCUACAGUUGUUACCCUUACCUGCUAUCCUACUGCUUAGUAUAGGAUGCUAGUGUUCCAUCAGUGGCCCUACACUCUUGUCCGUCUGCCAUGCUAUACUACUGGGCCGUGAUCACUUCGGGAGGUGAUCACGGGUAUAUACUAUAUACAUUAUAUACAUGACACAUGUGGUGACUAAAGUUGGGUCGGCUCGUUGAGUACCCGCAAGUGAUUCUGAUGAGGGGGCUGAAAGGACAGGUGGCUCCAUCCCGGUAGAGGUGGGCCUGGGUUCCUGACGGCCCCCGACUGUUACUUUAUGGCGGAGCGACAGGGCAGGUUGAGACCACCUAGGAGAGAGGUGGGCCUGGCCCUGGUCGGCGUUCGCGGAUACUUAACACGCUUAACGAGAUCUUGUAUUUGAUCUGAGUCUGGCCAUUUGGUCUAUACGCACUAACCAACUACGCGGGAACAGUUAUGGGCAAUCGACGUCGUGGUAUCAGCCGAAGCUCUUUUUGACGUCAGCGACUGAGUGGCGCGCGCCGCAUUGGACCGUAAGCUCGCACUUGUAUUAAGGGGGCUAGGUCUGCUUCCGGCCGCGUACGCAACGUGCAGGUGUGCAAUGGGCGAUGGGCCCAGACCCCUGUGCGCAUAGGUUUUAGACCGGCGUGCUGACCUCUCUGUUGAGCCUAGGUGGGGCUGCGACGUGUUGAUCUUUCGAGGCCGGGCAUGACCCAGAAAAGUGUGUCCGGCCAAAUGGGAUCGAGCGUGUUGGGUUAUGUGGUGCACCCCUGCAAGGAAGUUUAUCUAUUCGAAUAGCCGUGUCCCUCGGUAAAAGGACGACCCGGAGUUGUACCUUGACCUUAUGACAACUAGAACUGGAUACUUAAUAAAACACACCCUUCCAAGUGCCAGAUACAACCCGGUGAUCGCUCUCUAACAGGGCGACGAGGAGGGGAUCGCCGGGUAGGAUUAUGCUAUGCGAUGCUACUUGGUGAACUUACCAUCUACUCUCUUCUACAUGCUGCAAGAUGGAGGUGGCCAGAAGCGUAUUCUUCGACAGGACUAGCUAUCCCCCCUUAUUCUGGCAUUCUGUAGUUCAGUCCAUCGAUAUGGUCCUUUACACAUAUACCCAUGCAUAUGUAGUGUAGCUCCUUGCUUGCGAGUACUUUGGAUGAGUACUCACGGUUGCUUUUCUCCCUCUUUUCCCCUUUCUAUACCUGGUUGUCGCAACCAGAUGCUGGAGUCCAGGAGCUAGAGAUCCCGAGGAUGAUUCUACAUGGAGUUCGGCUUCGAGGAGUAGUUAGGAGGUCCCAGGCAGGAGGCCUUGCCUUUUCGAUCGUUGCUACUUUUGUGCUAGCCUUCUUAAGGCAAACUUGUUUAACUUAUGUCUGUACUCAGAUAAUGUUGCUUCCGCUGACUCGUCUAUGAUCGAGCAAUUGUAUUCGAGCCCUCGAGGCCCCUGGCUUGUAUUAUGAUGCUUGUAUGACUUAUUUAUGUUGUAGAGUUGUGUUGUGAUAUCUUCCCGUGAGUCCCUGAUCUUGAUCGUAUACAUUUGCGUGCAUGAUUAGUGUACGGUCAAAUCGGGGGCGUCACAAACUCCUGGACAGAGGACAAGGGUGAUUAAGAAGCCGAGAGGGUCCAUUGGUUUCGGGCCCAAUGCGUGGUAGUAACUGUUUCAUGGAUCACAAACACAGAACUCAGUUCCUGAGGACGGCUUCAAUGAGACAACCCACCAUGUACUCCUACAUGGCCUCUCACCGCUACCUUUACCAAAUCGUGUUCACACACUUAGCUCACACACAGUAGGACAUGUUCAUCACUGCUCCAAUUCAUCCCCGAUGAAUCAGACCCGACUCAACUCUAAGCAGUAGCAGGCAUGACAAACAAGCAUGAAUGAGUAGGCACAUCAGGGCUCAAACAACUCCUACUCAUGCUAGUGGGUUUCAUCUAUUUACUGUGGCAAUGACAGGUCAUGCAGAGGAUAAGGGGUUCAACUACCGCAGCAAGUAACAGAUGAAUCGUUGUUGUCCUAAUGCAGUAAAAGAGAGCAGGAGCGAGAGAGUGGGAUUGUAUCGGAAUGAACAAGGGGGUUUGCUUGCCUAGCACUUCCGAAGAUCAUAUAGCUCUUCAUCAGUGUCAUCGAACUCAUCGUCGGAACCACGUCUAUCGAGAGGGGACAACCACCGGCAAACAAGGAAGAACACAAUCAAUGCAAUGCAACAAUUAUGAUGCAUGCUAAGACAUGGCAAUAUGAAUGUGUUUUGGCUAAUGCAACUACAAACAAAUGGGUUUGGGUCAUUUUGAACCAAAGGUUCAAUCCCAAACUCAAAUUAUGAAUUAAAAUAGUGCCUUAUCAUGUUUUGAACUAAACAGCAAGGUUAAGUUGUUUAGACAUGCAUGAAACCAGUACAGAUGGAUAGAUUUGAUUUUUCUGAUCAUUUUUCAUAUAUAAAUCUUUACAAUCUGAGUUAUAGAUUAUUUUCUAUGAUUUUUAGAAGUUUGCUACAUUUUCUGGAGUUUCCUAUAUAAAAAAUAAAUCCAGAAAUGAGUUAUUGCGUCAGCACUGCGUCACUAUGACGUCAGCUGGUCAACAGUGCAUAACCAGAGUCAAACCUGACAGUGGGACCCAUAUGUCAUCGACUCAGCUAAUUAAUAUAGUUAAUUAGCCUUAAGUUAAACCUAACCAAAAUGUCAGUGGGGCCGGUGCCCACAUGUGAAUGACCCAGGGGGGUCAAAUCCCUGGUCAACCGGGGCUAAACCACCGGCGUUUAGCCGCCGGCGGCAGCAGACACGGCAGAAGGGCUCGGGAUUGCUUCUUCGGCGCCCAAUCGAGCAGAGGAGGGCACGCGCGGGGAGCUGGGGCUCGCCCGCAUCCAGAGCGGAAUGCGGUAGUAGCGGGGACAGACGGAGCUCGCCGGAAACGAGCUCAGGGCGGCGCUGGCGUUCGGGUGUUUGUGGCUACGGGGCUGCAGUGGCUGUGGCAGCGCGUUCAUGGCACCUACAGCAACUACGCGAGGCGGCGAGCAUGUUGGACACGACGCCCGGGCUGUUUGGUUGCCGGGGCCGCGUCGGUGGCGGGCGCAAGCGGCGGUGGGUGCGGUCGAGCUUGGUGCGGUCGCUACGGCAUGCGAGGAAGAGAACGAAGAGGGGGGAAACGGCCAGCAGCUCACCACGGUCACGACGAGCGGGUCAGCAAGGUCGGGGAGGAGCUGAUGAAGACGGGAGGUCACCGGCGAUCUCGGCGGCCGAACGACGAAGACGAGGUCGGGGGCGGCGCUUCGGGGCGUUUGGCGUCGCGUGAGUCGACAGAGAGACGUAGGCGACGGUGGCGGAGCUCCUGGGCAUGUCGGAGAGGCGAGGGGGAGGCGAUGGCCGCGGUGGUGGCGAGCGGCGGCGACGAACCCGUUCGGGUGGGUGAGAGAGAGAGGUCCAGGGGAGGGAAUGAGCACGGGGGAGAGCGAGAGGGGUCGAGGGGAGCGCAUGGCGUCUCCGGGGACGUCUAGGGAGAAGCGGCAAGCAGGAGGUGGCCGGGGCACGUGGGCGCGCACGGCGGCCACACGCCUCUCGUCCUACUGGCGAGAGGUGGGAGAUGACUGGCAGCGGCGCUGGGCUGGGCCGGCCAGGUGGGCGGGCCAGCUGGGCUGCGACAGGUGAGGCCAGGUAGGUUUCCUUUCUCUCUCUUUUUUUAUUUGUUUCUAUUUUCUAAUAUUUUAUAGUCUUUAGGGAUUUAUUAAAAAUACUUAGACACUUCCAAAAAUCAUGAAACCACUCAUGGUCACUGUUGGGAAUAUAUCCUACAGUAAACAUUUUAGUUUAUGAUUAUUUGAGCAUUUAAAAUAUUUAAUAGCAUUUAAAUGCCCAAAUGCAAAUAGAGUAUGAUUUAAUCCAGAGCCCAAAUAUGUCAUGGAAAAAUGUGCAUCACCUCUGGUUACUGUUUCCAGCAUUUUCCAAGAAUGAUGAACAUUUUUGAAAGCCAUUUGGAUUUACUGGAAAUAUUUUGGUUGAACCUAGUGAAUUCCUUUAAUGCUAGGGCUUAGGCAAUCCCCAUUUCAAGUUUCUUUCAAAGUUUAAACAUGAUGCACACAUGAAGUUAGCCUAGUGCAAUGUCAGAAGCUAGGGAUGUGACAACUCACCCCCACUAAACAAGAAUCUCGUCCCGAGAUUCAAGUCGUUAGGUAAGAAGACAGAGGGACACAAGCUAACACAAUCUUCACGAUCCAGAUGUCUUUCUCGAGGAUGUUGAUUCAUUGCAUCCCCUUGAUCUCAACGUCUUGCUUUGAGAACUACAUCCAACAUGACAACGAGUAGAAAUGGAGAAUUUUUAAAAGAAUCAAUCUUCCUGAGGUUCGAGCAACUUAGGAUCAUCUUAAUGAUCACAAGAUCAACUCACGGAAUGGGACAUAGAAACAUCUCUGGAGCUGAGAGGCAAAACAUGUAUCAGGAGGGACGGAAGAAACAAUUUGACGAGGGUUUCAAAGUAGCGAGGAAAAUUGCCAUGAUUCGAUAACGGGGCACCUUGGGGAAGGUGACUCGUAGAAUUAUUACCUUAAGUGGCAAAAAGAAUUACUUUUGAUAUAGAGAUCAUUGAAACUCUUUAUACCAGCUUAAGGCAAAUCACAGCAAUCGUUUGGCGGAGUUCGAAGGAAUGGCAUACUCGGACUAGAAUGGAUGAUGUGAACUACCUUGCUGAAGACAAUGCAAGGGAUGAUUUGCUUGCGCGUGCUCUCAAGAACUUGAGCAUUUCCAUAUUCAUCAAGGUUUUACCAAUAUCCGUGUCGAGGAUCCUGGCAACACAACAUACUACCAUGAUGAAUAGUGAUGGAUGAUGCAGAUGCAAAGGAAGAUAACACCUUCUAGGAUUUCACCUUAGCGAGGCCAAGGGGACGAAAUCUGAACGAUCGACCGAGAGACAUUUAGCACUCCGCUUCUAAUGUUCUCCUUGAUGUGCUAGUGCAACCCAUUUAUUAAAAUGGUUUGGUACAUAGAACAUCAAGUAAAAGGUCGGACUUCGGGAGCACAAGAAUCCAUAAGGAAUAUCUACGGAAGUAGAUUCUUACGAAAUCCUUAUGGAGAGGUGGCCAACUUCCUCAAUCAAGAUACUAUAAUAAUAGGUCUUCCGGUUGGGUGUGUUGGCCACGACAUCCACUCUACCGGUUACCGAGAGACAAAUAUUAUAGCUCUUGGGAAACGUUCCAACCAUCACAUCUGCCCGAGAUUCAGAUCUGGUUGGUGGCAGGAUAUUCCAAACUCAUCGAGUCUAGGAAGAAAAAUGAAGGUUUGCAACACAAAUCGAUGAGAUGACGUUGCGAGAUUCUCAGGGGAUGAACUACGAUAGCAAGCUCCAAAACAUGAGCUGGUUCUGCUACAACAUGUGAACACGCUGUCCCAGACAAGCAUGACCACAUAGUAGUCUUAGAAUAAAACACUACCGAGUUCUGAUUAGGAACCAUCAUUGCGGAGAGCGAAGUCAUGCGCAUGUACCUUUGGGUCCUUAAGGAAUAGCACUUAAGAACUUCUUUUCCUUGAACAAAUCAAUCAGUGGCUUGGUGUGCUAGGGAUUCAUAUAGAAUGAAGGUUGCAAGUCUCCAGACCAAAGAAUACUUCGCACGUAUGCAUGACUGACUUGGGAUGAUUCCAGAGGAAGCGAAACAAACUUUCUCAAGUUCACGGCGGCAACUUGCAUCAUAUGCACGUGAACUAGAGGAAGUCACUUCUUCCAUCAAAACAUUAACUUCAUGAGCUAACACGAGGAAGAUGCUUUCAAAAGUUUCCAACGCUAACUUAGAUGUUCAACCAAAUCAUGGAGGAGAUAAGGAUGUUGUCGAUGGGCUCAACAACAACCCAUCUAGGCUUCCAUAUAGAUGGAAUUCCACAAUUAAGUGAACACGGUCAUAGCAUUGGUCAGACCAAAAGAUGUAAUGGUGUAUGCUCGAGGAAUCAACCACGGGUAAGACAACAUUACGAACAUCAUUGGUUCUGAUUUGAUUUGAUGAUAGCCCAUACUCAAAUCAAAGUUUGGUUAAGAUGAUAGGUCCAUUAAUUGAUCACGAGGACCAAUCGAUGAAGAAAUCAUCUUUCUACAACACACAACACAAGAUAUCCCUUUGGAAAUGAACUAAGGUAGACAAGUUUUUAUCUUCCAACUCUCCAAGUUGUUGUUUAGCUUGACCAACUAGCUCAGGGGUAUCCAACACAGAUUCUUGGAGAAUGGGUGGUUUGGAGGAAAACCAACAUGAUCACGAACUCAACAUAGCGGUCAGGUGACAACCUAGUAAUACAUCCGAGAAGAUAUUCGGAACAUCACGAACCACCGAUAUGUUACUAAGCUCGAGAACGAUCUUGCUUUUCAGAGCAAGACGAUAUGACCGAAUAAGCAAGGACUGACACUAUCCAAACUCAUUGAUCGAAAAGUGCACCGGGAAUAAGGACUGGGUAGCACGAUCAACCUUAGGAUGUGAUUCAGUAACCAACACGCAAGGAUGAAAUUAUUGUCCUUUAACUACCAAGCAACGGAGUUGCUAGGGGUAUAGAUUUCACACAUCAUAGUUCACCUGUCGGCAUUCCGGUUGUGACAACACGGAACCGAGGAAUGAGCAAUGAUGGCGAGAAGUAUCACUGCGUUAAGAAUUCGUGAGAGAUGGUGCAAUUCUCAUGACAAUUCUGACAUAAAGGGGGUAAUACUCCGAGGUAGAACAGAACAAAAGCUGGAUUGGCAUUUUGAUCUGCGGAAUACAACUACUUUGACCAAUCCAAGAAAUGGAUAAGGUACUGGAGUUUGUUUCUCCUAGUCAUUCCGGAAUAGAAUGGCUUGACGGACCACAAGAAUAAUAGGCAUUGAUAACACGAAUGCACAACUAGUCCUGACUAUCAAUUGAUAGACGAAGGUCGGAAUACGACUGAAGAGGGACAACUCAAAGGAACAUAUAACUUUUUGAGUUGUGGAUGCAUAGAUUAGUAUGUCGAACCAAGUUCAACAAGUUUCUUCUAGAUAACCCAUGCAGAAAGGUAGGACUGGCAGAGUCACAAUAUGAAUGGAGUACUCCUCAAGGGCGCCCUGGUUGUGAUCCUUUGGUUCAAAAGAACUCCUGCCAAGAAUGGUUCAUGGUAUUUGGAAGAACGAUAUACCACGGACCUCGAAGACUAUCACAAAGGUUACUAAUAUCCUAAAGGAACGAGCAAACACUAGCUACACGAAUUAAGUAGAGUGAAUCUUGGGUUCAAGAAGCCAGAAAUAGAAUGCCUACUAACUAAAUGGCAUCACGGGAUGCUUUCGAGAAUAAUGGCCAGAAUCCGCACACUGGGAAUGCAAAGCAUUGCUAGAUUACUAAGUGGUUCUCUAAGACGACUGGGGUCAUAAUAAUAGCUCCAACAUAUAUGACGAGGUAACGGAGUACCUCAACACACUGGUUAGUGUGAUUAAUCUGGCCCAAGGAACAUCGGGAACGGAAAGAAGGGAUUUGCAAAUGCAUCAGACUAUUUAGAGACCCGGGAUGACUCGGAGAGCAUAACGGCUGUAAAUGCUCAAAAAGAUUUAAGACAUCCUGCAAAAUGGUGGCGUAACCACUCGAUCAUCACAAUAUCAAGAAUUUGAGGCCAGCUAUGGAUACACGGAAGUAGUAGGAACUGAAAUGAAGCUUAAAUCCAACAGUCCUAUGAGUCUACGGAUUAGUAACACAUGAUCCUGAUAGAAAGAUGAGAAGCCUAGUUCUUAAUCCCCAUAGAAGAGAAGAGGGUGACUCAGAUUAGAAGGGCAUAAGGUAAAGGAGUAAAAAGAGGCUUAUGUUCCCUCCCACAAUCAAUUCCCUUAUAUAAAUAAAGCAUUUCUAGACUCAACUUCGACCAGUUUGGCUUCGUAAACCUACAGGCAGUCAGGCUUUGAUACCAAAGCUGUCAGGACCCCGAUUCUAAAUCACACCGAUCUAGCCUGUAACACCUCAUAUCACUUUGCGGCCUCACGCACGGUAUUCCCACGGGUGUCGCCUUACCAUGGCCCGGGACCGUUUGCGCCUUUUGGCUCACAUAUAUGAUAGUGUCGCUAGCAUCCAUAUGACAGAGAACCCGGGCCGACAUGGCUAGUCGUGAACCCAAAGCGGCACUAACGUAUGGGGACAGGCAUACAUGAAUCAACAUCGAACGUGUCGGUCAGCAGCGUGUGAAUCCGGGCUGUAGCACUGGGCUAACAGGACUCCGGGAACCCGGGCUGUAGCAGGCUAGGCAGGACUCCGGAUGUCACCCAGUGACAUUUCCCCGAAGGGACAGACACAGGAACGAAGUGAAUCACAUGCCGGCCAGUCAGGUGUCCGGAGCAGUAGUGCUGGGCUAGCAGGACUCCGGUGAACCGGGCUGUAGCGGACUACUAUGGCUCAUGGAAGCACAAGACUACAUUUCCCCAUAAGAGAGGCUACCAAGGAUAAACAACUAGGUUGUCGGAUCCCACACAUACCAAGCAUUUCAAUCAUACACGCAAUAUGCUCGAUAUGUGUAAAUACAACAUGGCAUCACAACAUAACUCUACGACUCAAGUACUUAUUCAUUAGGCUCCGAAGAGCCAGAUAUUACAAACAUGGGUCUCUUGACCCAGCAUUCAGAGCAUACAAGUCAAACACAUGCGGAAGCUUAACAUGUCUGAGUACAGACAACUAUAAAUGAAAAAGGCUGAGAAGCCUGACUAUCUACUAGAUCCUGCCGAGGGCACAAGAUCGUAGCUGAGGUAACAAGCUAAACGUCGAAGUCCACGCGGAACUACUAGCGAGACUGAAGUCUCUCUGCAAAAACAUAAAUUAAGCAAACGUGAGUACAAAUGUACCCAGCAAGACUUACAUCAGAACUAGCUACAUAUGCAUCGGUAUCAACAAAGGGGGUGGUGGAGUUUAACUGCAGCAAGCCAGCUUUGACUCGAUGGCUAUCCUAGCUACGACUGCAAGUAACUCUUUUGAGGUGGCGCACACGAGUCCACAUAUUCACCAUAUCAAUACUCCACUAUGGAUCCGCUCCCGUCUCCCUACGAGAACGCCAUCCAUAGCACUCACGCUUAUCUUGCGCAUUUUAGAGUAUCCACUUUCACUUGUCUAUGAACUGUUAUAGGCAACCCAGAAGUCCUUUACCGCGGACACGGCUAUUCGAAUAGAUCAUAUUAACCCUGCAGGGGUGUACUUCGUCACACAUGCUCUCACCACUUACCGCCGUUUACACGACAUGUACUCGGCAACCUUCAAGCGGAAGCCCAACGUGGGUGUCGGCCACAGCCUACCUAAACACUCAAGUCUCUAGUCCAGGUUUAUCGCCUAUUCAGGUUCCAUCCGUAGGGAGUCCGGCCGAGAUUUCCACAUACGCCCCCGAACGAUGUGUACAGGGUUCCGCGACACCAAACGGGCGCCCGGCAUACCCGGCCACGUGCCUACCGUAUCAUAGCCCACCCCUCGGGUCAGCGCUGUCCACGGCCUCUACCAUACUACAAACACCAGAAACUACUUGCAACUCCUGGACAGAGGACAAGGGUGAUUAAGAAGCCGAGAGGGUCCAUUGGUUUCGGGCCCAAUGCGUGGUAGUAACUGUUUCAUGGAUCACAAACACAGAACUCAAUUCCUGAGGACGGCUUCAAUGAGACAACCCACCAUGUACUCCUACAUGGCCUCUCACCGCUACCUUUACCAAAUCGUGUUCACACACUUAGCUCACACACAGUAGGACAUGUUCAUCACUGCUCCAAUUCAUCCCCGAUGAAUCAGACCCGACUCAACUCUAAGCAGUAGCAGGCAUGACAAACAAGCAUGAAUGAGUAGGCACAUUAGGGCUCAAACAACUCCUACUCAUGCUAGUGGGUUUCAUCUAUUUACUGUGGCAAUGACAGGUCAUGCAGAGGAUAAGGGGUUCAACUACCGCAGCAAGUAACAGAUGAAUCAUUGUUGUCCUAAUGCAGUAAAAGAGAGCAGGAGCGAGAGAGUGGGAUUGUAUCGGAAUGAACAAGGGGGUUUGCUUGCCUGGCACUUCCGAAGAUCAUAUAGCUCUUCAUCAGUGUCAUCGAACUCAUCGUUGGAACCACGUCUAUCGAGAGGGGACAACCAUCGUCAAACAAGGAAGAACACAAUCAAUGCAAUGCAACAAUUAUGAUGCAUGCUAAGACAUGGCAAUAUGAAUGUGUUUUGGCUAAUGCAACUACAAACAGAUGGGUUUGGGUCAUUUUGAACCAAAGGUUCAAUCCCAAACUCAAAUUAUGAAUUUAAAUAGUGCCUUAUCAUGUUUUGAACUAAACAGCAAAGUUAAGUUGUCUAGACAUGCAUGAAACUAGUUCAGAUGGAUAGAUUGGAUUUUUCUGAUCAUUUUUCAUAUAUAAAUCUUUUCAAUCUGAGUUAUAGAUUAUUUUCUAUGAUUUUUAGAAGUUUGCUACAUUUUCUGGAAUUUCCUAUAUAAAAUAUAAAUCCAGAAAUGAGUUAUUGCAUCAGCACUGCAUCACUGUGACGUCAGCUGGUCAACAGCGCCUAACCAGAGUCAAACCUGACAGUGGGACCCAUAUGUCAUCGACUCAGCUAAUUAAUAUAGUUAAUUAGCCUUAAGUUAAACCUAACCAAAAUGUCAGUGGGGCCGGGGCCCACAUGUGAAUGACCCAGGGGGUCAAAUCCCUGGUCAACCGGGGCUAAACCACCGGCGUUUAGCCACCGGCAGCAGCAGACACGGCGGAAGGGCUCGGGAUUGCUUCUCUGGUGCCCAAUCGAGCAGAGGAGGGCACGCGCGGGGAGCUGGGGCUCGCCCGCAUCCAGAGCGGAAUGCGGCAGCAGCGGGGACGGACGGAGCUCGCCGGAAACGAGCUCGGGGCGAUGCUGGCGUUCGGGUGUUUGUGGCUACGGGGCUGCAGUGGCCGUAGCAGCGCGUUCAUGGCACCUACAGCAACUACGCGAGGCGGCGAGCAUGUUGGACACGACGCCCGGGCUGUUUGGUUGCCGGGGCCGCGUCGGCGGCGGGUGCGGUCGAGCUUGGUGCAUUCGCUACGGCAUGCGAGGAAGAGAACGGAGAGGGGGGUAACGGCCAGCAGCUCACCACGGUCACGACGAGCGGGUCGGCGAGGUCGGGGAGGAGCUGAUGAAGACGGGAGGUCGCCGGCGAUCUCGGCGGCCGAACGACAAAGACGAGGUCGGGGGCGGCGUUUCGGGGCGUUUGGCGUCGCGUGAGUCGAUAGAGAGACGUAGGCGACGGUGGCGGAGCUCCUAGGCAUGUCGGAGAGGCGAGGGGGAGGCGAUGGCCGCGGUGGUGGCGAGCGGCGGCGACGAACCCGUUUGGGUGGGUGAGAGAGAGAGGUCUAGGGGAGGGAAUGAGCACGGGGGAGAGCGGGAGGGGUCGAGGGGAGCGCGUGGCGUCUCCGGGGACGUCCAGGGAGAAGCGGCAAGCAGGAGGUGGCCGGGGCGUGUGGGCGCGCACGGCGGCCACACGCCUCUCGUCCUACUUGCGAGAGGUGGGAGAUGACUGGCAGCGGCGCUGGGCUAGGCCGGCCAGGUGGGCUGGCCAGCUGGGCUGCGACAGGUGAGGCCAGGUAGGUUUCCUUUCUCUCUCUUUUUUAUUUGUUUCUGUUUUCUAAUAUUCUGUGGUCUUUUGGGCUUCAUUAAAAAUACUUAGACACUUCCAAAAAUCAUGAAACUACUCAUGAUCACUAUUGGGAAUAUAUCCUACAGUAAACAUUUUUGUUUAUGAUUAUUUGAGCAUUUAAAAUAUUUAAUAGCAUUUAAAUGCCCAAAUGCAAAUAGAGUAUGAUUUAAUCCAGAGCCCAAAUAUGUCAUGGAAAAAUGUGCAUCACCUCUGGUUACUGUUUCCAGCAUUUUCCAAGAAUGAUGAACAUUUUUGAAAGCCAUUUGGAUUUACUGGAAAUAUUUUGGUUGAACCUAGUGAAUUCCUUUAAUGCUAGGGUUUAGGCAAUCCCCAUUUCAAGUUUCUUUCAAAGUUUAAACAUGAUGCACACAUGAAGUUAGCCUAGUGCAAUGUCAGAAGCUAGGGAUGUGACACUACCAAGGAUAAUUGACAUGUUGUCGUCCUCGGGCAUCUCAAGUAUAACAAAGUCAGUCAAGGUAGUAACAUUUGCAACAACAACGGGCACAUCCUCACAAAUACCGAUAGGUAUGGCAGUUGAUCUGUCAGCCAUUUGCAAAGAUAUUUCAGUAGGUGUGAGUUUAUUCAAAUCAAGUCUUUUAUAUAAGGAUAAAGGCAUAACACUAACACCAACUCCUAAAUCACACAAAGCAGUUUUGACAUAAUUUCUUUUUAUGCAGCAAGGUAUAGUUGGUAUUCUCGGAUCUCCAAGUUUUUUAGGUACUCCAUCCUUAAAAGAAUAAUUAGCAAGCAUAGUGGAGAUUUCAGCUUCCGGUAUCUUUAUCUUGUUAGUAAUGAUGUCUUUCAUCUAUUUUGCAUAAGGGCCAUCUUUAGUAAAUCAGUCAAACGAGUACACAAAAAGACUGGCCUAAGCAUUUCAGCAAAGCGUUCAAAUUCUUCAUCAUCCUUUUUCUUAGUGGAUUUAGGUGGAAAGGGCAUGGGUUGUUGGACCCGUGGUUCUCUUUCUCUUCCAUGUUUUCUAGCAACAAGGUCUCUUUUGUCAUAUCUUUUAUUUUUAGAUUGUGGCUUAUCAAGAUCAACAGCUAGUUCUAUCUCAACAUCAUUAUGUGGUUUUUUAUCAUUGUCUGGUUCAGUAUCUUAAUGAACAUUAUCAUUAUCUUUUUCAUUAUCACUAGGUGAAUGUUCAUUACCAGAUUGAGUUUCAGCAUCAGAAAUAGAAACAUCAUUGUUAGCUUCAGAAGGUUUUUCUACUUCAGUAAACUAGAGGCAUGCAAAGUCCUAUCAUUUUUCUUUUUCUUUUUCUUUUUCUUUUUAGACGGACUAGGUGCAUCAGUGUUAAUUCUUUGAGAGUCUUGUUCAAUUCUUUUAGCAUGUCCCUCAGGAUAAAGUGGUUCCUGAGUUAUUCUACCUCCUCUAGUCAUUACUCUUAACUACAUGAUCAUUUUUAUUAUUAUUCAUUUCAUCAAGCAAUUCUCUUUGAGAUUUGGCAACUUGUUCUAGUUGAGUUUGAACCAUAGAGGCAUGUUUUCCUACACCUCUAACAUCAUUUGAGAUUCUAAAUAACAAGUCACUCAAGCGAGUAAUCAUAUCCGAGUUGUAUUUCAAUUGUUUCAUAACAUUGGCAUUGAAGUGAUCUUGUUUUCUAAUAUAGUUGUCAAACUAAUAAAGGCAAUGACUAGGAUGUUUAUUAUAAGGUUAUCAUUUCAUUGAAUUUCAUUAAAGAAUUUACCUCUACCACCUUAUGUGGUGGUGGUGUAUCAAGCCCAUGUAUUUCUUCAAUGGGAGGUAUAUUUUUUACAUCCUCGGCUUUAAUACCUUUUUCCUUCAUACAUUUCUUUGCCUCUUGCAUAUCUCCAGGACUGGGAUAUAAGAUACCCCUCUUCUUCGGAGUGGGUUUAGGUGGUGAUUCGGGAAGAGUCCAAACAUCAUAAUUUUUGAAUAUGUAUCUAAUAGUUCUUCGGCUUGUUCAACAGUUCAUUCCCUGAAAACACAACCAGCACAACUAUCUAGGAAGUCCCUAGAAGCAUCGGUUAGUCCAUUAUAGAAGAUAUCAAGUAUUUCAUUUUUCUUGAGAGAAUGAUCAGGCACGGCACAAAGUUAAAUAUUUCCUGUAAGGCAGCUUGUUUCUUAUGAGCAGGAAAAUAUUUUUCAGAGAAGUAAUAAAUCAUAUCCUGGGGACUACGCACACAAACAGGAGCAAGAGUAUUGUACCAAGUCUUAGCAUCACCCUUUAAUGAGAACGGAAAUAACUUGAGGAUAUAAUAAUAGCGAAUUUUCUCAUCAUGAGAAAAAAGGGUGGCUAUGUCAUUCAACUUAGUAAGGUGUGCCACAACAGUUUCAGUUUCAUAACCAUGGAAAGGAUUAGAUUCAACCAAAGUAAUUACCUCUGUGUCGACAGAGAAUACAUAAUCCUUAUCAUCGACAAAGACAGGAGAAGUAGCAAACUGGGGAUCACACUUCGUUCUAGCAUUCAAAGAUUUCUCUUUCAGUUUGCAUAAUAAUUUCUUAAUAUCAUCUCUAUCAUUGCAAGCAAAAAAGUUUCUAGCUGUCUCCUCAUCCAUAACAUAACCUUCAGGUACUUUAGGCAAUUCAUAUCUAUGAGAGCUAGGUCUAAUAGUUGUUUCAAGAUUUUCAGUUUCAGGUAUUUCAUCAGUUUCAGUAAUUUCAUUCUCUCUAACUCUAGCAAUUUGUUCAUCAAGGAAUUCACCUAGUGGCAUAUCAUCAUCAAGCAAGGUACUAGCAUCAUCAUGAGUAGCAUUCAUAGAAGUAGCAUCAUCAAUAACCUGCGACAUAUCAGGAUUAAUAGCGUGUGGGGGUGUUGCAGGUCUACUCAUAACAGAAGGUGAAUUAAGUGUAGAGCUAGAUGGCAGAUCCUUACCUCCCCUCAUCUUAGAGGGAAAAAUCUUAGUUUUGGUAUCCUUCAAAUUCUUCAUAGUGAUAAAUUGAUAAAAAUCCCAAGUGACUCAACAAAUAUAGCUAUGCUCCCCGGCAACGGCGUAGAAAAAGGUCUUGAUAACCCACAAGUAUAGGGGACCGCAAUAGUUUUCGAGGGUAGAGUAUUCAAUCCAAAUUUAUAUAUUCGACACAAGGGAGCCAAAGAAUAUUUGCAAGUAUUAGCAGCUGAGUUGUCAAUUCAACCACACCUAGAGAUUAAUUAUGUGCAGCAAUAUGAUUAGUAGCACAAUAAUAUGAUAAUUUUGAUAGCAGUGGUAAUAGUAACAGUGAUAGCAAUGAUUUUGUAGCAGUUGUGACAGUAGCAAUAGCAAUACUAACUUAGCAAGAACAACAUAAGAGAAAUUCGUAGGCAUUGGAUCAGUGAAAUCAAUGGAUGAUAUUCAUCAUAUAACAGUCAUAACCUAGGGCGAUACGGCACUAGCUCCAGUUCAUAAAUGUAAUGUAUAGUCAUACGUGCUUAUGGAAAGAACUUGCAUGACAUCUUUUGUCCUACCCUCCCGUGGCAGCGGGGUCCUAUAGGAAACUAAGGGAUAUUAAGGCCUCCUUUUAAUAGAGAACCGAAACAAAGCAUUAACACAUAGUGAAUACAUGAACUCCUUAAACUACGAUCAUCACUGGAAAGUAUCCCGACUACUGUCACUCUGGGGUUUACGGAUCAUAACACGUAAUAGGUGAAUAUAACUUGCAAGAUAGGAUCUAGAACAUAGAUAUAAAGGUGAUAACAUAAAUGGUUCAGAUCUGAAAUCAUGGCACCCGGGCCCAAAGUGACAAGCAUUAAGCAUGGCAAAGUCAUAUCAACAUCAAUCUCAGAACAUAGUGGAUACUAGGGAUCAAGCCAACUCGAUUACAUGAUGAAUCUCAUCCAACUCCUCACCGACCAGCGAUCCUACGAAGGAAUUACUCACUCCCGGUUGGGAGCGUCAUGGAAUUGGCGAUGGAGAAGGGUUGGUGAUGAUGAAGAUCGAAGACCCCCUCUUCGGAGCCCCAAACGGACUCCAGAUUUGGCCUCCUGAUGAAGAACAGGAGGUGGCGGCGGCUCCGUCUUGUGAAACGCGAUAAUCUUUCUCCCUAAAUUUUUUCUCCAAAAAUAGGUAUUUAAGGAGUUGGAAUUAGGGUCUGUGGGGCCACCAGGUGGGCACAACCCACCUGGGUGCGCUAGGAGGGGGCGCGCCCUGGUGGGUUGUGCUCACCCAGGGCCCCCCAGUGGUCCUUGGCUCCAGUAUUUUUCUCUUAUUCCAAAAAAAAUCUCCAAAAAGUUUCGUUCCAUUCUGAGAACUUUUAUUUCUGCACAAAAACAACACCAUGGUAGUUCUGUUGUAUACAGCGUCAGUCCGGGUUAGUUUCAUUCAAAUCAUGCAAAUUAGAGUCCAAAACAAGAGGAAAAGCGUUAGAAAAGUAGAUACGACGAAGACGUAUCAGGGCAUUUUGAAAAUAGCAUAUCUUUUUGACUAUGCAUCGUAUGAAGAUGUUCUAUGCAUGAAUGUUGAUCAGCAUGAUGUUAACUCGCUGGUAGUUCCAUUUUUGACCAUGAAUAAAACUCCCAACAUGAUGUUAUCCCUGUUUGAAAAGGGCGUGUUAAUAUAAAUGCUCUGCCUUCGAAACUUGCAGUUUCUUAUCUGAAACUGAAACUUGCAGUUUCCUCUCUGAGAAUCACAUUGUGUGCACUUUUAUAUGAAACUACAUUUUUUGAAGUGCUAAAAUAGAUAUCUAGAAUUCAUAAAAUACUUCAUAUGCUCAAUACUGCAAAUCUGAAAUUCAAAAGACAUUCAUAUCUGAAAGUACUCUUAAAAUACACAACACAAAACACAAUUCACAACCUGCAAAUAUUGACAAUCCUAAGCUCCUCCUCAGACUAUUUGGGGGGGGGCAGUUCCCUCCUAUUCCUCGGUAGUAGACAGCCGCCCCAUGAGACAUGGUGAAUGGCGAGGGAGAUGAUGGAAGGGAGGAGUCGUCGCGCCAACUAUUUUUCUCCUCUUGCAGUUGGGUGCGGUCGAUGAAGACUCCACCGGCUCGCUCUGCCACGACACCCUCACAAACGGGACCGUGUAGAUGCUCGAUACUUCGAUCUCUGGUGGAUGCUCCAUCUUUGAUCGAUACUCCCACCACCGCUGCCUCACGAUCGGAUUCGGUGAAUCUGUUUGCUCCAUGGCCGAGAGGGGCGGCUCUAUGUACUCCCGUGCGACUCCCUCCGAGAGUAUCACCGCCUUUUUGCUCUGUUCUAGAUAUUUGGCCAUCGCUCUCGCCAUCGCCGCUAAUUGCUCCGGGUUGUCAAACCAAGACUGUAUCUCCAAGAUUCUGGCUAGCUUCACAGGGUCAUCGUCUGUGAUCCUCACGUAUUUGUUGUACUCCUCCAUCGAUCUACUUCUCCACAGCACCUUCACUCGCUGGCGGUGGUUUUUGAAUGGAAAGGGAGCGGCGGUGGUUUUGGAUUGGAACAGGAGAGGAGCGGCAGUUUUUUUGCAAUGGAAGAUGAGAGGAGCGGCGCUGGUUUUGGAUUGGAACAGAAGAGGAGCGGCGGUGGUCUUGGAAGUUUUUUUUGUUUUGCAUAUUUUGGGUCAAAGUUUGACCACGUACUGUAUUUGACAAGCAAAAUGUGAAUGCAUGUCAUAAAAAAUUAUAUAGUUGGAUUCGUAUCUGAAUGUACUUUCCAAUUAUAUCAAUUUUGCAAUGUAUAACAUAUUUUUUAUUUGUUAAAAUCAUGGUCAAAAUAUGACCAGGAUACAAGGGAGACUAGUUAAUAUGGGCUCUCUUAAUUGAAGGGUAAAUUGAUUUUUAUUUUGAUCCAGUCACAGUGCGCCACCCCUCUCGUCCAAUCCUAAAUCACAGCUGCACGCUCCUCUCCCUCUUCUCCAUUGCAAAACCACCCCCUCUCCUCUCCAUUUCCCCAUUCCAAAACAACCGUCUCACCUCUCCAUCUUCUCCAUUGCAAAAUCACCGCCUCGCCUCUCCCUCUUCACCAUUGCUAGACCAUCGUCUCUCCUCUCAUCUUCCAAAGCCAGCACCGCACCUCUCAGAAGCACAUCGAUGGAGAAGAUGCAUAAGAGAAUCAUGGAGAUCGCCGGCGGCGACCGGGAAAAGUUAGCCAGGUUAAAGGAGAUCCUUACUUGGUUUGAGAACGAGUGGGAGAUUGCGGGGACGGUGAGGGCCAUGUGGGAAUGUAUGAGAAAGAGCGAGACGGAGGCGAUGAGGGCGGCGAUGUACUCCCCGGUGGCGGUCAUGACGCAGUCCUUCAAGUUCAUCGAGUAUCUCCUCUGGGCGAUAGAGCAGACAGAUUCGCCCGAGAGAAAAGCCAGGUGGAGAUGGUGGGCGUACAGAUCGAGGGUCGAGCAUCCGAAGGAUGACAAAUCGAUCAAGUACAGUGUGCCAUUCUGGAGGGUGCAGCACAAGCGGGAGCCACAGGAGUAUUCGCUCUCCCACCGCAAGAGGAGGUUGGUUGGCGCGAUGUCGCUUCCCCGCCAUUCCCUAAGGUUCCGUCACCGCUUGCCUCGCCUCAAUGGCGGUGGUAAGGUUUAAGGUAAGCUUUGCACUAGACCUAAUCUUCCAUCUGCUCAUUCUUACAAUCAGUGUGCCAGCUGCUGGGUAUAACUUCGAGUACUACGCCAAUCACCCUGAAAGAGCUCUUGAACUAAACCAAAGUUGUGAAAAUGUCCACAAAUAAAGAUAAGUCGAUUGGUUCUUCUUUCAGAAAAGAAUACUCCCUAGAAAAGUGCCAAUAUAAGCUACUACUAUUUGAUUAGAGGAUUUGCUGCAACACUGAAACAAGUAAAGUGUCCCCUAAAAAAAGUGCAAGCCAAACACCGGCAGAUUAAAAUAUUCUCCAGCAGGUCGGUAAGAACUUGAGGAACCAUCCGAGCAUCUGUGCUUUUCCAAGCCACGUUUAUGUUAGAUAUUGGCACCUAGCACUGUACAUAUAUGCUGGUUCCAUCCGUAAAUUUGUGCAGUUUCACCAAAAUGUAGCUGAAUAACCCUGUUUGCAUAGAUAAUGAAAAAGUGUGAUUACAUUAUAUUGGCACUAGUUGAUGAAACACACACUAAUAAAUAGAAGAAACUUCAUUUUCUUAAUGGGAAAAGAUUGCGGUACAAUACAUUUAAUAGAAAAUACACCUUCUGCAAGUGAUGAACAUCAGUGUACAACGGUAGUACAAGGAGGGGCCUUGAGACAUUCCAACCUCUCUUUUUGUGCAGUUCAACAAAAAUUAAGCACCCCAGUUUGCAGAAACACUUAAACAUUAACAAUGGGACUAGCUGAUGAAACAUACACUAACAAAGAGAAGCACUUUCUUUAUCUACAUUGGAAAUGAAAUGAUAGAGAGGAAAUUAGCUUUAUUUUAACUGUAUUAUUACUUCAUUUUAUCAGUGGCACUAGGGUCGAGCAGGUGGCAAGUGAGGUGUAUCAUGCGUCGCAAGGAUGGAGGACAGGGGUGCUUAGACUGGGAUGCUAAAGCUGGCUCUUUCAGUCCCUAUCUCCCCCCAGAUGUUUCUGUGGUAGCUUUUGGGUUGUAAUUCAAACUUGGUCGAGCUGGGGCUGUGUCCCCUGCCCUGCCUAGCUUAUAUGAUAUUACUUCAAUGGUGUCAUUGCUUCAUUUUACCAACAACAUUACGUUAACAGCUGCUAAAGAGUUGGUAUUUGGGCACGGGAGAGUAGGCAGACCAGGACAGUUGCAUUUCUAACGAAAAUAAGCCACUUAUCUUAAUGGGAAAUUUAGCAGGACAUGAAAAAUAGUGCCAUUGAUUCAUAUUACUGGAGGCAUUACAUUGAAAACACAUUCCUUUAACAUGUCUUACUUUAACAGUGGACUACUACAUUUUACCGGUGGCAUUACAUAAGAGGGGCUCCGAGCAACAAACAUCCAAACAUUUCCGUUCGGUAUGGCCACCUUUUACUGUGUUAGGCUAGCAAAUCUAGUGAUGGACAUACUCUGUUGACUUGUCCUCCUGUCCCCACUUUCUUUCCAUUUUCAACCAAAAGAUCGGUUUAUAUCGAGUUUGUGAUGUGUUUCCCUUUAUUUCCCUAUUAGACCAAGAGACCAGUUGGAUAGCCAGUCUCUGCUAUUCACCCCCAUUAUUUCCUCUUUCGACCAAGUCCUAGAUUCAGGUAACAAAUCUUCCCCCACCCCCACCCCCUUUCUUCCCUGUUUGAACCAAGUAGUACUAGAUUCGACUACAUGAAGUAGUUUUACCUCUUAACAACAAAAAUUUAGGUGGCUUUCGAAUAGCCGAUUGAUCCUAUCUACGAGGGGGCCUGAGAAGUAGUAACAGAUACAAAUGCAGCGACAUGAGGAGCUGGGGCAGUAGAGCAAGGCCGGUUUCGAAGGAAGUUAUACCUGAGGGUAGCUGGGAUGUCGCCAGCUGGGCGGCGGGAGGCCGGAUCUGCCCACACUACGGCAGCGAGGAAGAAGGGGUCGGAGGCCCUCCCUAGCCGGUGCUGCGUGGGAGAGAACGGCAAGGCAUGCUGAUCAGGACGCGCCGGCAGUGGGUCAGAGCCGUCGCCGAGGACGACCGCGUGAAUGUUGCAUCUUCUCACCUUCCCCGACGGAGGGGAUCUGGUCGGAUCUGUGACCAGUGGUGAGCACAGAGAGUGUGGCCACCACUGUCAUGUUUACAUCUGGAGAGGACGAGAGAGUGUGAAGAGAGCAACUCAAGCAAGCAAGCGCGGAGGCUGAAGCGUAUAUAGUGGAGUAGUUUUCUUUUUUCUACCAGAGCCAGCUUGACCUCGUCAAUGACUGUCGAGAAGUCUACAUGCACGUGCCCCGGAUGCGCAGUUGUCGUCAUUUUGAUAUGAAGCACCGUAUUAACAUAUAACAUGAAAAAAUGCCACAUGACAAGAAACCAUAACCUCACUGCCCCAAGGAGACAACAUGAAUCCCGACGGACAAUGCCUCUGGACUUUGCGAGCACGCGGGUGAUACGGGAGCGAGCGGAAGAUCUCGGGAGCGCGAGGCUCGCCGGCCAUGGCGAUGGCCGGAGCUCGAUGCUGACGGGGCAAUGUCUAAAGGACGCGAGGAACAGCGAAGAAAGGGGGAAAUGCAGCAACAGCUCACAUUGCAUCGGACAGAGGGCUCGGUGGCUCGUGGACGACCGGUAGGUGGUGAAUGAAUGGUGGAGAUCUCCUCGGGCCAUCCAGGCUUGUUCUUGUUGGUGAGGAGUUGCAGCAUAGGACGGUGAAGCUGUUGGACAACUCAGGGAGGCAAGAAGAUGGUGUUGUGCACGUUGGUAGGCGGCAGCGCUCUCGGACGCAUACGGGGACGAGUGGGUAGAGAGGCAGAGGAUAGGAUGAGGACGAGGGGGAGGCCAAGGGGUCGAGUGGGCUGUGUGGCGUCGUCUAGGGAGAACAAGGCGUCAAGGGGGUAGGCAAGAAGGGUGGAGGUGGCGAGCGCGCGUCGGGCACACGCCCGGUGUCCUUCUGGCGCUGGGUUGAAGAUGACUGGCAUGUUGGGCCAGAUGGGCCGCUUCGGUGUUGGGCCGGCUGGACUGGCAGGUAAGUAUAGUCUUCUUUAGUUUCUUUUUUUUUUCUAUUUUCUGUAGUGGUUUUGAUUUGAUUAAAAUAUCAAACCAUUUUAAAUUAUUCUGGAAUUAAAUAUGUGGACUAAAUGGAUAAACCCAGAGCCACAUAGAAAAUUGUAGAAUUAUUGGAUUUAAAUUUAUUUAAUAGAAAAUAUAAAUACAAUUCAAAUAGUUAUGUAUUAAUUCAAAGGCCCAAAAAUAAAUACUUUUGGUUUGAACAUUACCUCUUGCCAAUAUUUUCAAAGUUUAGGAGGAACAUUUUCUUGGGCUGAUUUGAAGAGAUUUUUGAUUUGAUCAUUUGAAUGAUUUCUGAGGCUUUGAAAUAUUUCUCAAUUCAAAUUCCUUUGAAAUUAACAUGAUGCUCACUCAUGUAACUAAUUACAAGAAAAUUCUAGGGCUGUAACAACUCACCCCCACUAAACAAGAAUCUCGUUCGGAGAUAUGUGAGGUAAGAGGAAAAGGCGAUCACGAAACUGACACGGUCUUCAUGAUGCAUUUGCCCUUCUCGAAGAUGUCGAUUCAUUGCAUCAUAUUGAUCUUUACAUCCUUGCUCUGAGAACUUCAUCCAACACGACAACGAGAAGAAAGGAAAACUCUAAGGAUCGAUCUUCUCGAAGAUCGAGCAACCCACGAUCAACUCAUGGAAUGAGACGUAAAAACUUCUCUUCAGCUGAGACAUAAGACACACAUCAAGAGGGAUGGAAAGAAACAAAUGAUGAAGUUUCAAUUUGGUAGGUAAAAAUUCCACGCUUAAGACAAUAGUGAAUAAAUGUCAAAGUAGCAAGGAGAUAUAUUGUCAUAAUACCAUAACGGGGCACCUUAGGGGAGGUGACUCGUAGGAUUAUUCCCUCAAGUGGCAAAAGGACUUACUUUUGAUACAAGGAUCACUGAAACUCUUCAUACCAGGCUAAGCCAAUUCACAAACGAUUGUUUGAUGGAAUUUGAAGAAAUGGCAUACUUAGUUUGGACAAGAAUCUAUGGUUAUUGAACAACUCAACAAAUGGAAGGCACAUUCUAGUUGAUAUCAAGGAUAUAACCUUGUGUGUGGGCGUGCUUUCAAGAACCUGAGCAUUUUUCAUAUUCAUCAGGGUUUUACUAGCAUCCAUGCCAAAGAUCUUGGUGACACCUCAUAUUACCAUGAUGAAUAACGAUGGAGGAUGCAGAUGCAAAGGAAGACACCACUUUCUCAGAUUUUUACCUUAGCUAUGCCAAGGAGACAAAAACUGACCUCGCAAAAAAAGGAGCCGAUAUCUGGAUGAUCGCCCGAGAGACAUUUAACACUCCACUUCUAGUUCUCCUUGAUGUACUAGAUACUACGAUCAUGUUUAGAAGAAUCAUCAAUAUGGUCAUCAAGUAAAGGUGGUACUUCUGGAGCAAAAAUGAUCCAUAAGGAACAACUUCUAGAAUAAGUCGCACGAGAUCCUCAUGGAGAAGAUGAUCAAAUUGCUCAAUCAAGAUACUACAAUAAUAGAUCUUCCGGCUAGGUGUGUCGGCCAAAACAUCAACCUUGCCGAAACCUACAUCAUAGAUCUCGGAAAAUUUCCAACCAUCAUAUUAGCCUGAGAUUCAGAUCUGGUUGGUAACAUCAUAGUUCAGACUCAACAUGUCUGAAAAGGAAAGUUUGCAACACAAAUAAAUGAGAUGAUGUUGCGAGAUUCUCGGGAAAUGAAAUAUGAUAGCAAGCUCCAAAACAUGAGCUGGAUUGUAAGAUACACGUGAACACAUUAUCCAAGACAAGCGUGACCACAUAGAAGUCUUACAGCAAACACCACCUAGUUCUGGUUGGGAGCCAUCAUCGAGGAUAUCGAAGUCCUUGCAUAAGGCAUGCUCUUAAGAAGGAACUUCUUCUCCUUGAACAAAUCAAUCAGUGGCUUGGUGUUCUAGUGAUACAUAUAGAAUGAAGGUUGCAAGUCUCCAAACCACAGAAUACUUUGCACAUAUGCAUGACUGACUUGGGAUGAUUCCAGAGGAAGCAAAACUAACUUUCUUGAAUUCACAUCGGCAACUUGCACCAAAUGCAUGUGUAUUAGAGGAAGUCACUUCUUUCAUCAAACAUAUACUUCAUGAGCUAGCACAAACAAAACGUUUUCAAAUAUUUCCAACACUAGCUUAUUGUUCAACACAAAUUAUGGAGAAGAUAAGGGUGUUGCCGAUGGGCUCAACAACAAUUCAUCAAAAUUCCAAUAAAGACGAAAUUCCACAACUAUGUGAACAAGGUGAUAGUAUUGGUCAGACCAAAACAUAUAAUGGGGUAUGCUCGAGGAACAUCCACGAGUAAGAUGACAUUACGAACAUCAUUGGUUCUGAUUUGAUUUGAUGAUAGGCCGCACUCAAAUCAAAGAUUGUAUAAGACAACAGCUCCAACAAUUGAUCACGAGGAUCAGUUGAUGAAGAUAUCAUCUUUGUUCAACACAUAAUACAUAUCCCUUUGGAAUGAACUAAGUCGGGCAAGCUUUUAUCUUCCAACUCUCCAAGUUAUUGUUUAGCUUAACCAACUAGUUCAGGGGUAUCCAACACAGAUUCUUGGAGGAGGGGUGGUUUACAAGAAACCAACUUGAUCACAAACUCAACAUAACGGUCAGGGGACAACCUGGUAAUACUUCUGAGAAGAUAUCAAAAAAAUCACAAACCACCAAUAUGUUACUAAGCUCGAGAACAAUCUUGCUUUUUAGGGCAAGAUGAUAUGAUCAAAAGAGCGAGGGAUUGACACAAUCCCAACUCAUUGAUAGAACAGUGCACCAGGAAAAAUGGACUAGGUAGCACGAUCAAUCUUAGAAUGGUGAUUCAAUAACCAGCACGCUAAGAAUGAGAUGAUCUUCCUUUAAUUACAAAGCAACGGGGUUGCUAGGAGUAUUGAUUCACACAUCACAGUUUACUUGCCAGCAUUCCGGUUUCAACAACACGGGCCGAGGAAAGAACAAUGAUGGCGAGAAGUAUCACUAUGUUAAGAAUUCAUAAGACAGUACUGCAGGAUGCUGCUAACGCGACACUACGAUCAGAGACCCUUUGACGAAACUGUGUGCAAUGCAUUAAUCACAAACGGGGUUGUAAAAAACUGUCAAAAAAGGUGCAAAACAUUUGCGAUGAAUGAUACAUCAAACACGGUUCAGAUUUUAGUUGCGUGUGUGUCGGCGUCCUGGGAACGGGGUCCCAGGCUUGCCUGCCUGCGGCCCAUGGCGUGGCUCCACCAGUAGCCCUGUACGGCCCAUCUUCCUGAGCAAACACUCAAGACCCUCGUGAGGGGCCAAGCCUCGCGAGGCGGACGACGCAAGACCUCCUCAGGGGCGGCCUCACCAGGCUGGCUCACGAGGGGCGGAGAGAUCAAGGCAAUGGGCACCUCGCGAGGUUCCUGUGACGCAAGCCAUGAUGACCGGGGUCAGGCGGGCGCCAGCGCACGCAGUGUCCUCGUUCCUCUUUGGUGCUAAAGAGGCAAAUGCAGGCGAGGAAUCCCAAGGCAUCAGGCAAAGGUUUCCAUAUCGGUGCAACGAGACCAAGACCAGCAGGACGGCAGGACGGAGUUCACCGUGGAGCCCAAGACGGCGUCACCACCAGAGCCUUUGGCAGUCGAAGACCACCUUUUGUCAGGAUAGCUUGUACUAGUUGUCCCCCUUCAAAUUGGCCGUUGUAGGAUCCCUUCCCGCCUAAUAUUUGGGAAGAGGACCAGGGCCUCUAUAAAAUAGGACUAGCCACCACCGUAGCAAGGGGGAGAUCCCGACCAUUCUCUACUACGCAAACUUGCCAAGCACAAGAGCACCUCUCCUCAGGAGGUUGUUCUUCCCCUGUACUAGUUCUUCCUCAGCCCAAGAGGCAAUCCACCACACCACACUGGAGUAGGGUAUUACACCACAUCGAUGGCCCGAACCAGUAUAAACCUUGUGUCCCUUUGCUCUGUGAGUUCAACGCGCUGAAGCUUUGAGAUCGCGGUGAGGGCGUGAGCUAGAGGGGGAGAGAUCUUCGUGCGCACCCCAGUGUUCGAACCUUAAGGGUUUUGCCGGAACCCGAAAUCCGACAUUUGGCACGCCAGGUAGGGGUGCGCCGAAGCCUUCCUUCCGUCAAUCCGCGCUCCGCCAUCACCGCGCUUUGCCCCCAUGGCCGGCGUUGCUCUUCCGGCUGCGAUGACGGAUGCCCAUGGUGGGGCCAGGGGCUCCGAGCCUUAGCCCCCGCCUUGCGGCGGGUGCAGUGGCCACCCAGGUUUAAGCCAGAGAUGCCUCCGCGUUACGACGGCGCGGCGGACCCGUCGGCCUUCCUGCUGGCGUAUGAAGAGGCCGUCCUGAACGCUGGGGCGACGACAAGUUCAUGGCCAAUUGGCUUCCCAUGGCCCUCACUGGUGCACCGCGCACCUGGCUGCUCAACCUCCUGGGAUCUACGGUGGCAUCUUGGGAGGAGCUAUGCAGCCUCUUCGCUGCGCGCUUUGCAGCACCAGCACCCCUCGCCGUCGCGGCCAUCCUCAGCGGCUCGCAAGCGCCGCCCUCGGGCCGUCACACCAAGCCGUUCCUUCGCCAGAUCGGCGCUGCUUCCGCGCGGCACGGAGCUCGCCCGGGUUGGGCGGCGCCCAAGGCCGACCUGACCUUCGACUUGGGGAUCACCCAGUCACCACCGUCGGCUCAGGCGUGCUCCCAAUGCUUUGCACGCCCACCAUCUGCAGCGUAGCUAUCAUCAAGACCCUCAUCGACGCUGGCGCCGGCCUCAAUGUGCUCUCUGUGGAGGCUUUUAGCCUUCUUCACGUGUCGCUCGAGUGGCUCCGCCCUAGCAAGCCCUUCUCUGGGGUUGGCGCUGGCUCCGCCAGCCCCCUGGGGUAGAUCCGUCUUUCGGUGACCUUCGGCACCCGCGACAACUAUCACACUGAGAUGAUCGACUUCGACAUCGCCCGUAUUGGCCUCCAGUAUAACGCCAUCCUCGGGUACCCGGCUCUGGCUCAGUUAAUGGCGGCAACCCAUCCGGCCUACAACCUCAUGAAGAUGCCCGGGAGCAAGGACGUCCUCAUCAUAGUCGGAGAUACCAAAGAAGCUCUGGCAGCGCUCUGGCUUGCCCUCAAAAUCGUCGCGGCAGCACGACCGGCUGACGAGGUCACCGCAGGAGUCAAGGAGGUCGCACCAGCUAAGAAGAAGCAAGUGUUCACUCAAGAUCAGGCAGAAACCAAGCAGGUGCCGGUCGAGGAAGAUGGGUCCUCUGGAUCCACCUUCAUUAUAGGUGCCAACCUCGACCCGAAUCAAGAGGAGGCGUUGGUGAAGUUCUUGCGCGCAAACAAGGAAGUAUUCGCAUGGGAACCCAAACAGCUGGUAGGGGUCCCAAGAGGGGUGAUCGAGCAUCAUUUGAGGGUGUGCCCCCAUGUACGCCCCGUGAAGCAGAAAGCGCGGCGACGGUCCACGGCGAAGCAGUCCUUCAUCGUCCAGGAAACCCGCAAGCUGGAGGCAGCAGGUGUCAUUCACGAGGUUCGGUACCCCGAGUGGCUGGCGAAACCCGUUGUCGUGCCAAAGAAAGGUGGGAAGGAGCGCAUGUGUGUCGACUUCACCAACCUCAACAAGGCCUGUCCCCAAGAUCCGUUCCCACUUCCACGCAUUGACCAGAUCAUUGACUCCACUGCCGAGUGCAACCUGCUAUGCUUCCUGGAUGCGUUCUCAGGCUAUCAUCAGAUCAAGAUGGCGGUAGAGGAUGUGGAGAAGACGGCCUUCCUAACCCCGUGCGGGGUGUGCUGCUACACUUGCAUGUCGUUCGGGCUGUGCAACGCAGGCGCGGCCUUCCAAUGGCUGAUGCACAUCGCCCUGGGUUAGCAGCUCAGGAGGAACACUGAAGCCUACGUCGACAACAUUGUGGUAAAGUCUCGGGAGGCGAGAACUUUGAUUCAGGGCCUGGAGGAGACCUUCGCGAGCCUCUGCCAAGUGGACCUGCGGCUCAACCCGGAGAAGUGCGUGUUUGGCAUCCCUUCCGGCAAGCUGCUGGGCUUCCUCGUGUCCCACAGGGGGAUCGAGGCCAACCCGGAGAAGGUCAAGGCGAUCGAAGACAUGAGCCCACCGCAAACCCUCAAGGAGAUGCGGAAGCUUGCCGGUUGCGUAACUUCGUUAGGUCGCUUCAUCUCCAAGAUGGGAGAGCACGCCCUACCAUUCUUCAAGCUGAUGAAGAAGAAGGGCCCAUUUGAGUAGACCCCAGAGGCUGACCAAGCGUUCCAAGACCUCAAGACAUACCUACCAGCCCUCCGGUGAUGGUGGCGCCCCGCCCUCUUGAGCCCCUGGUGCUCUACCUUGCCGCUACUCCUUACUCUGCCAGCGCAACUCUGGUGGCGGUUUGGGAAGAACGCUAGGCCAAGGAUACAUCCCGCCGAGUCACGCCCCCAGCCGGGGCGAUACAAGACCCGGAGGGUGCCGCAAGAGCUGCGGCGGCGCCAACGGAUGACCAGGCCCAGCAAGACGGCGUCCUUGGGCCUGCAGAGGCCCCAAUGAGCGACGGGGCUCCGGGGGUUCCAUCGCUUCCAGAGGCGCCUCAGCCUCUGACAGGCGCUGGCUCCGUCGACGCGCCCGCCCACGUCAAGCACCCAGUGUAUUUCGUCAGCACGGUACUGCGGGAUGCAAGGGCACGGUACCCCAUGCCUCAAAAGCUCUUGCUCGCGCUCUUGGUGGCCUCGCAUAAACUGUGGCACUACUUCCAAGGCCACCCAAUCAAGGUCGUCUCUAUAGUCAAAAAAAAUUAUUUUAUUUUUAUAGUCAAAAAAAGGUCGUCUCGGCCUACCCACUAGAGAGGGUACUCAGGAGCCCCAAUGCUGCGGGAAGAGUCGCCGAAUGGAACAUCGAGCUGCAAGCAUUCCAGUUGGAGUUCAGCACAACUAGGGUCAUCAAGGGAGCCGCGCUCGCCGACUUCGUAGAAGAAUGGACUGACACCCCAGGGUUUGAAGCAGGCGAGGACCGAUCCCUCUCGCCAGGAAGUGAAGCACCAGAUGGCUGGGUCGUGUAUUUCGAUGGCGCGUUCGCACACUAGGGCGCGGGAGCUGGAGCAGUGCUCAUCUCGCCUACUCAGGACAAGCUUUACUACGCCGUGCAGCUCUGCUUCCAGCAGGGCGAGAAGGUCUCCAACAACAUCGCGGAGUACGAAGGCCUCAUCGCUGGCGUUAAGGCUGUAGUGGCUCUGGGGGUGAAGUGCCUCACCAUCAGGGGCGACUCGCAGCUCCUUGUCAACUUCUCCAACAAGGUAUACGAGUCAAGGGAUGAGCACAUGGAGGCAUACCUCGCGGAGGAACACAAAAUGGAAAAGCAUUUCUUGGGUCUAGAAUUGCAGCACGUGCCCCGUGGCACCAACAAGGAGGCCGACGACAUCGCCAAGAGAGCAUCCAAGUGACUACCCCAAGAACCUGGCGUCUUCGAGGAGCGGCUCUUCAAGCUGUCAGCAGCACCUACUCUUUCGAGGCCGGUGCCGCCUCGGGAGGAGCUCCCCCAACCGCCUGCUUCAGGAGUCCCGGCCUACAGCCCAACCUCGGGAGCGCGCCUACUCCUGGCGCUCGAGCCUCUGGAGGGGUGUUGGACCAAGGAGUUCAAGGAGUACCUGACACAAGGGACGCCGCCGGAGAAGGAGGGCACGGAGCGCGUGGCCCGACAGGCUACGGCGUACUGCAUCCAGGACAGUGAGUUAUACAGGAAGCGGCCAAAUGACGUUUCCUUGCGUUGUAUCUCUAGGGAACAGGGGAACGAGUUGCUAGCUGACAUACACGGCGGAGACUGCGGACACCACUCCUCGUCACGAACCCUCGUCGGCAAGGCAUUCCGCAGCGGGUUCUACUGGCCUACGGCGCUCAACGACGCAACUGAGCUGGUGAAGUCCUGCGAGGCCUGCCAAUUCCACGCCAAGCAGAUCCAUCAGCCGGCUCAGGGCCUCCAGACCAUCCCGCUCUCGUGGCCAUUCGCAGUCUGGGGGCUGGAUAUCUUAGGCCCGUUCCCCCGAGCGCUUGGGGGCUACCGCUACCUCUGUGUCUCCAUCGACAAGUUCACCAAGUGGGCGGAGGUAGAAGCUGUCCGCACCAUCCCGGCCGGAUCCGCAGUCAAGUUCAUCAAGGGUCUCGUGAGCCGGUUCGGGGUCCCCAAUCGUAUCAUCACCGACAACGGCUCGCAGUUCACUAGCAAUCUAUUCAAGACAUAUUGUGCUAACCUUGGAACGCAGAUCUGCUAUGCUUCGGUGGCACACCCCAGGAGCAAUGGUCAAGCCAAACGCGCCAACGCGGAGGUCCUGAGAGGCCUCAAGACCAGGACCUUCAAGAAGAAGCUCGAGGCCUGCGGCAGGGGCUGGCAUGACGAGCUCCAGUCUGUGCUAUGGUCCAUCCGCACCACCGCCACCUAGCCAAUGGGCGAGACCCCGUUCUUCCUCGUCUGCGAAGCAGAAGCGGUUCUCCCUCACGAGGUCAAGCAUCGCUCCGCGCAGGUCUUGGCGUUUGAUGAGACGCAGCAGGACACCAUGCGGGGGAUGGACCUUGUGCUGGGGGAGGAACGCCGCCGCGAAGCCACGCUUCGAGCGGCAAGAUACCAGCAGGCGCUGCGGCGGUAUCACUGCCGCAACGUCCGUUCUAGGACGCUCGAGAUGGGUGACCUCGUCCUAAGGCGAGUGCUCUCCAGGGAAGGGCUGCAUAAGCUUUCACCCAUGUGGGAGGGCCCGUUUAGGGUCGCCCACGUCUCCAGGCCGGGUGCCGCGCACCUGGAGAUGCCGGACGGGGUCCCCAUCCAGAACGCUUGGAACAUCCAGCACCUCCGGAAGUUCUACCCAUUAAGCAAGGCCCGACGCCUGUGAAGCAAGGCCCAGUGCCUGUGAAGGUCUCCGCUCGUGACACUCUCACGUAAUAAUGAGUGGGGCUGUACAUGCCCCGGAGUCUCAGGAGUGCCGCCCUCGGGCCUAGGGGGCUCCCUCCCACAUCCUAGUGACAGCACUUAGCUCCGCGCUGGUGAGAAGACUAGACUAGGUGUCGGACGCGGCUUUUCAUUUGUUUUCCGCAGUUGGCUUGCCCCUCUUUAAUGAGAAUUUGCUUUCUGAUGUUCCUUGCCGGCUUGGUUCCAUCGCCUUUUGCCUCCUUUUCUGCCCUCGGUUCCUCGUUUUGACCCGUACUCUCCCUCGCAUGCCUCGCGAGGGGGCUGGACAGGUGCCCUCGUGAGCGUUUUUUCUUGUUCUUCGUGAGACACCCUCGCUCGAGCUGGCAAGCUGGCGCACCUCUCUUAAUCCGUGCCCCUCGGGUACCACGAUGCGAAGCGGUGGGUCGUGGCCGGCUGCGCCUGCGGCCAGGGCUCGGAAGAAUAAGAGUUUUCUAACGAAUUUUUGCAGUUCCUAGACGCCUCCCAAGCCAAGGAAGCCUCACCAGGCACUGGUAAAUGCGCGCCUCACGAGGCGGAAACAACUUCGAGCGCGUCAAGCUAAGUUAUUUCUACACGCCUACAUAAAACGUUGAUGCUGCAACAUGACACAGGAACGAUAAACAUAGCAUAGCAACUUGGAAAUCAUGGUUCAUUGCACGCCCCUGCGGGGCCCCAUACUUGUCUCUCUCUUAAUGCAGGAAGAAAAGGAAGAACGAAACAAAAGUGGCUCGUGCCCCCGCAGCAGCUCACGAGGACGGGCCCAUGGUGCUCUCCUAGGCUCAGCCAGACUCCUCCUCGCGCUUCACUGGGGCGCGGCGACGAGAUGACCCUCUGCCACCCUCGAAGUGGGCGCGGCGGCUGGUCGUAGCCACCGCUGCUGGAGCUGUCGCCGAAAGAAGAGUCGCCAUAGCUGGACGAGCCAUGGCCGGCGCCGAGGACAAGCCCGCCUUCACCCCCGUCGUGUCCGUCGCCGAGGCUGAGCACCUCGCCACCGUUGUUGUCCUCAGGGCAGCACCCGACGCGGCGACCAUAUUCCCCGAACACCCUCACAUAGAGGGCCGCGUUGCCAUCGUACUUGAAGUGGAGGGUGCACCGCCGGCCCAGACCACGCGCGCGGGCAAACGUCUGCCAGCCGCGGGCCAGGGCCGCAUUGCCCGCAACAGAGACCUCGACCGUGACCAAUGAAGCCUUGCUGCAGCAGCCGUCCGCCUGCAGCUAGAGACCGCCUGGGCCCGUGGCUGGCAGCUCGCCGGCAAAGAAGUGCGGGAGCUGAAGCCAGGUGCCAGCCGGGUUCUCUGACCACACGACAAACUUCGGCAGCACCUCCGCCGAGUGGAAGCACGGCCGGUGAGGCCACGCGACCAUGGCGCGCCUUCCCUCAUCGACGGGGCUGCCACGACCUGGACGAGUCCCACCACAUGAAGGGGCGCCGCCACGGCCGCGAAGGGCCACGGCGGGGGCGGCGGUGUGCUUGCGGGGAUGGCCGUGCCCCCUCUUAGGCGGCGGCGGGUCGGGCCCCUCCUGGCGGGCCUUCCCCUUUUCUGCGGCCGAGAACCUCUUCGCGGGCGCCAUGGGUGUCGCUGCUAGCAAUGAAGCAAGGGAGAAUAAGCGAGCGAAGCAGGAAGAGAUGAGCGAUGGGGGCUCUGCCCCCCCCCCCUCCUCAUUUAUAGCGGGAGAAGGCCAACCGGCGAUCCCCAUGAUCACAGGUAAUGAUGAUUUUUCUCUGCAUGCAGCAGGGACUCGUCAAGUCGGGUAGUUGCCGAGGCAACGUGGGGAAGCGGAGACGCCCACGUCCAAUCAAUCGCCACGCGUCAACCAAGGCCGCAGACUGUUGGGGCCCGCGGCGCUUCGUACUUGCCCCUUGGCUUCGCCUCGAAGCCAAGUCCGAGCGUGCCUUGGGCCCGGGGGCUACUAUCGGCGUCCUGGGAACGGGGGUCCCCAGACUUGCCUGCCUGCGGCCCACGGCGUGGCUCCACCAGCAGCCCUGUACGACCCAUCUUCCUCAGCAAAAACUCAAGACCCUUGCGAGGGGCCAAGCCUCGCGAGGCGGACGACGCAAGACCUCCUCAGGGGCGGCCUCACCAGGCUGGCUCAUGAGGGGCGGAGAGAUCAAGGCAAGGGGCACCUCGCGAGGUUCCUGUGACACAAGCCAUGAUGACCAGGGUCAGGUGGGCGCCAGCGCACGCAGUGUCCUCGGUUUCUUUUUGGUGCUAAAGAGGCAAGCGCAGGCGAGGAGUCCCAAGGCAUCAGGCAAAGGUUCCCAUAUCGGUGCAACGAGACCAAGACCAGCAGGACGGCAGGACGGAGGUCACCGUGGAGCCCAAGACGGCGUCACCACCAGAGCCUUUGGCAGUCGAAGACCACCUUUUGUUAGGAUAGCUUGUACUAGCUGUCCCCCUUCAAAUUGGCCGUUGUGGGAUCCCUUCCUACCUAAUAUUUGGGAAGAGGACCAGUGCCUCUGUAAAUAGGACUAGCCACCACCGUAGCAAGGGGAGAUCCCGACCAUUCUCUACUACGCAAACUCGCCAAGCACAAGAGCACCUCUCCUCAGGAGGAUGUUCUUCCCCUGUACUAGUUCUUCCUCAGCCCAAGAGGCAAUCCACCACACCACACUGGAGUUGGGUAUUACACCACAUCGUGGCCCGAACCAGUAUAAACCUUGUGUCCCUUUGCUCUGUGAGUUCAGCGCGCUGAAGCUUUGAGAUCGCGGUGAGGGUGUGAGCUAGAGGGGGAGAGAUCUUCGUGCGCACCCCAGAGUUCGAACCUCAAGGGUUUUGCCGGAACCCAAAAUCUGACAGUGUGCGAUCCAGGGCACACGGUUGACCCGUUCGAACUGUUUGCGAUGAGGCAAAACAACAGAAACGGGCAGCCAGAUCAAUGUGUGCGAUAUACAGCAUACAGUAUGCUCCGAUGAACUGUUUGCUAUUAGGGAGUGCAACAGAAACGGUUGGCAAGAUCAAGGUGUGUGUGAUAUAGGGCAUACGGUUCACUCGGACAAACUGUUUUCGAUUAUCGAACAAAACAGAAAUGGUUCAACUUAACAAGAUGUUUGUGAUACAUGGCAAAUAGCCGACUCAACCGCGAGCAACCACGUGGUCAACCUUCUGCCAUCAAUAAAUUUUGACCUUGUUUCUCGUCACAUUCAAACUAAUAUGUGUUCGCACUUAGCACCGGGCUAUAAAAACUACCCACUCGAAAAUUACUUCACAGUUCCUCUCCUGAUCACCCACAAAACUGGUCUUUCCUGUCAAGUCGUUCCACCAUGACCGGUAGGAGGAGUUUAGGGUGGACAUAUAACUAGGCAGCAAAGACCAAGGCCGCGGAAGCACUAGAGAGGUCCCGCCGUGAAGCCGAAGCCGCAGCAGAGAUGUCCCGGCGCAGCGCGGAGCCCACGAACGAGCUCUCACGGGCACGGGAGGGCUAUCACAAGCGGAUUUGCGGCGUCGGCCAUCGCGACAAGCCGGCGUUCCUGAAGUCCUUCGCCAGCGACGACGACAUUCUUGCUAGCGUCACUAUGCAGCAGGAGCUGGUCAACAGCUUGAUGAAGCUGCUCAAGAUCGGUGAUGCCUCGGUUGACAAGGCGACCGGCCUCGUCGAGCAACUCAUGGGUGACAAUGCGAAGCUCCUCAAGGCACUCGCCGAGAAGGAGGAGGAGGCCGCCGGCUGGAAGAUGCUUGAUACGUCUCCAACGUAUCUAUAAUUUUUGAUUGCUCCAUGCUAUAUUAUCUUCUGUUUUGGACAUUAUUGAGCUUUAUUAUACACUUUUAUAUUAUUUUUGGGACUAACAUACUAACCGGAGGCCCAGCCCAGAAUUGCUGUUUUUGCCUAUUUCAGAGUUUCGCAGAAAAAGAAUAUCAAACGGAGUCCAAACGGAAUGAAACCUUCGGGAACGUGAUUUUCGGAACGAACAUGAUCCAGAGGACUUGGACCCUACGUCAAGAAAGCUACCAGGAAGCCACGAGGUAGGGGGCGUGCCUACCCCCCUGGGCGCGCCCUCCACCCUCGUGGGCCCCAUGUUGCUCCACCGACGUACUCCUUCCUCCUAUAUAUACCAACGUACCCCCAAACUACCAGAUACGGAGCCAAAAACCUAAUUCCACCGCCGCAACCUUCUGUACCCGUGAGAUCCCAUCUUGGGGCCUGUUCCGGAGCUCCGCCGGAGGGGGCAUCGAUCACGGAGGACUUCUACAUCAACACCAUAGCCUCUCUGAUGAAGUGUGAGUAGUUUACUUCAGACCUUCGGGUCCGUAGUUAUUAGCUAGAUGGCUUCCUCUCUCUUUUUGGAUCUCAAUACAAUGUUCUCCCCCUCUCUUGUGGAGAUCUGUUCGAUGUAAUCUUCUUUUGCGGUGUGUUUGUUGAGACCGAUGAAUUGUGGGUUUAUGAUCAAGUUUAUCUAUGAACAAUAUUUGAAUCUUCUGAAUUCUUUUAUGUAUGAUUGGUUAUCUUUGCAAGUCUCUUCGAAUUAUCAGUUUGGUUUGGCCUACUAGAUUGAUAUUUCUUGCAAUGGGAGAAGUGCUUAGCUUUGGGUUCAAUCUUGUGGUGUCCUUUCCCAGUGACAGUAGGGGCAGCAAGGCACGUAUAGUAUUGUUGCCAUCGAGGAUAACAAGAUGGGGUUUUUAUCAUAUUGCAUGAGUUUAUCCCUCUACAUCAUGUCAUCUUGCUUAAGGCGUUACUCUGUUCUUAUGAACUUAAUACUCUAGACGCAUGCUGGAUAGCAGUCGAUGUGUGGAGUAAUAGUAGUAGAUGCAGGCAGGAGUCGGUCUACUUGUCUCGGACGUGAUGCCUAUAUACAUGAUCAUGCCUAGAUAUUCUCAUAACUAUGCUCAAUUCUAUCAAUUGCUCAACAGUAAUUUGUUCACCCACCGUAAAUACUUAUGCUCUCGAGAGAAGCCAGUAGUGAAACCUAUGCCCCCGGGGUCUAUUUUCCAUCAUGUUAAUCUUCCAAAACUUAGCUAUUUUCGUUGCCUUUUAUUUUACUUUGCAUCUUUAUCACAAAAAUACCAAAAAUAUUAUCUUAUCAUAUCUAUCAGAUCUCACUCUCGUAAGUGACCGUGUAGGGAUUGACAACCCCUUAUCGCGUUGGUUGCGAUGAUUUAUUUGUUUGUGUAGGUGCGAGGGACUCGUGUGUAGCCUCCUACUGGAUUGAUACCUUGGUUCUAAAAAACUGAGGGAAAUACUUACGCUACUUUGCUGCAUCACCCUUUCCUCUUCAAGGGAAAACCAACGCAGUGAUCAAGAGGUAGCAAGAAGGAUUUCUGGCGCCGUUGCCGGGGAGGUCUACGCAAAAGUCAACAUACCAAGUACCCAUCACAAACCCUUAUCUCCCGCAUUACAUUAUUCGCCAUUUGCCUCUCGUUUUCCUCUCCCCCACUUCACCCUUGCCGUUCUAUUCGCCCUCUCUCUUUCGUUCGCCUCUUUUUCGCUUGCUUCUUGUUUGCUCGUGUGUUGGAUUGCUUGCUUGUCAUGAUGGCUCAAGAUAAUACCAAAUUAUGUGACUUUACCAAUACCAACAAUAAUGAUUUCCUUAGCACUCCGAUUGCUCCUCUUACCGAUACUGAAUCUUGUGAAAUCAAUGCUGCUUUGUUGAAUCUUGUCAUGAAAGAUCAAUUCGCCGGCCUUCCUAGUGAAGAUGCCGCUACUCAUCUAAAUAGCUUCAUUGAUUUGUGUGAUAUGCAAAAGAAGAAAGAUGUUGACAAUGAUAUUGUUAAAUUGAAGCUAUUUCCUUUUUCGCUUAGAGGUCAUGCUAAAGCUUGGUUUUCAUCUUUACCUAAAAAUAGUAUUGAUUCUUGGAAUAAGUGCAAAGAUGCUUUUAUCUCUAAGUAUUUUCCUCCCGCUAAGAUUAUCUCUCUUAGAAACGAUAUUAUGAAUUUUAAGCAACUUGAUCAUGAACAUGUUGCACAAACUUGGGAGAGGAUGAAAUUAAUGAUACGUAAUUGCCCCACGCAUGGUUUGAAUUUGUGGAUGAUACAAAUUUUGUAUGCCGGAUUGAAUUUUGCUUCUAGAAAUCUAUUAGAUUCGGCCGCGGGAGACACUUUUAUGGAAAUCACUUUAGGAGAAGCUAAUAAACUCCUAGAUAAUAUUAUGGUUAAUUAUUCUCAAUGGCACACUGAAAGAUCUACUAAUAAAAAAGUGCAUGCGAUAGAAGAAAUUAAUGUUUUGAGUGGAAAGAUGGAUGAACUUAUGAAAUUAUUUGCUACUAAGAGUGUUUCUUCUGAUCCUAAUGAUAUGCCUUUGUCUACCUUGAUUGAGAAUAAUAAUGAAUCUAUGGAUGUGAAUUUUGUUGGUAGGAAUAAUUUUGGUAACAACGCGAAUAGAGGAAACUUUAAUCCUAGGCCUUAUCCUAGUAAUUCCUCUAAUAAUUAUGGUAAUUCCUACAACAAUUCUUAUGGAAAUUUUAAUAAGAUGCCCUCUGAAUUUGAGUCUAGUGUGAAGGAAUUUAUGAAUUUGCAAAAGAAUUUCAAUGCUUUGCUUGAAGAAAAAUUGCUUAAAGUUGAUGAAUUUUCUAGGAACAUUGAUAGAAUUUCUCUUGAUGUUGAUUCCUUGAAACUUAGAUCUAUUCCACCUAAGCAUGAUAUCAAUGAGUCUCUCGAAGCCAUGAGAAUUUCCAUUGACGAGUGCAAAGAAAGAACCGCUAGGAUGCGUGCUAAGAAAGAUUGCUUUAUAAAAUCAUGUUCUUCUAAUUUUUAUGAAAACAAAGAUGAAGAUCUAAAAUUUAUUGAUGUGCCCCCUAUUAAAUCUUUGUUUUGCAAUAUGAAUCUUGAUAAUGAUGGGACUGAAUAUGAUCCACCUUUACCUAGAAGGCGUUCCAGAAAUUCGGAGUUUUUAGAUCUUGAUGCCAAAAUUGAUAAAAGUGGGAUUGAAGAGAUCAAAACAUUAGAUAUUAAUGAACCCACUAUUUUGGAUUUAAAGGAAUUUAAUUAUUAUAGCUGCCCUUUGAUAGAUUGUAUUUCCUUGUUGCAAUCCGUGCUAAAUUCUCCUCAUGCUUAUAGUCAAAAUAAAGCCUUUACCAAACAUAUCGUUGAUGCUUUGAUGCAAUCUUACAAAGAAAAACUUGAGUUGGAAGUUUCUAUCCCUAGAAAACUUUAUGAUGAGUGGGAACCUACUAUAAAAAUUAAGAUUAAUGAUCAUGAAUGCUAUGCUUUGUGUGAUUUCGGUGCUAGUGCUUCCACGAUUCCAAAAACUUUGUGUGAUUUGGUAGGUUUCCGUGAUUUUGAUGAUUGCUCUUUAAACUUGCACCUUGCGGAUUCCACUAUUAACAAACCUAUGGGAAGAAUUAAUGAUGUUUUUAUUGUUGCAAAUAGGAACUAUGUGCCCGUAGAUUUUAUCGUUCUUGACAUAGAUUGCAAUCCUUCAUGUCCUAUUAUUCUUGGUAGACCUUUCCUUAGAACGAUUGGUGCAAUCAUUGAUAUGAAGGAAUGGAAUAUUAGAUUCCAAUUUCCAUUAAAGAAAGGCAUGGAACACUUCCCUAGGAAGAAAAUAAAAUUACCAUAUGAAUCUAUUAUGAGAGCCACUUAUGGAUUGCCUACCAAAGAUGGCAAUACCUAGAUCUAUCCUUGCUAUUAUGCCUAGCUAGGGGCGUUAAACGAUAGCGCUUGUUGGGAGGCAACCCAAUUUUCUUUUUAGUUUUUUUUUUUGAUUUUUUCUUCUGUUUAGGAAGAAAUAUUUCUUCUAGCCUCUGGUUAGAUGUGUUUUUAUAUUUUAAUUAGUGUUUGUUCCAAGUUAAACCUAUAGGAUCUUCUUGGAUGAUAGUUAUUUGAUCUUGCAGAAAAUUCCAGAAACAUUCUGUUCACGAGAAUAAUUGUUAAAAAUCACCAGAACAUGAUAAAAUGUUGAUUCCAAUUGCUGCUGAUAAAUAAACAAAUUUUCUAGGUCUUCCUAUUUUGGAUGAUUUUUUGGAGUUCCAGAAGUUUGCGUUAGUUACAGAUUACUACAGACUGUUCUGUUUUUGACAGAUUCUGUUUUUCAUGUGUUGUUUGAUUAUUUGAUGAAUCUAUGGCUAGUAAAAGAGUUUAAAAACCAUAGAGAAGUUGGAAUACAGUAUGUUUAACACCAAUAUAAAUAAAUAAUGAGUUCAUUACAGUACCUUGAAGUGGUCUUUUGUUUUCUUUCGCUAACGGAGCUCACGAGAUUUUCUUCUGAGUUUUGUGUUGUGAAGUUUUCAAGUUUUGGGUGAAAGAUUUGAUGGAUUAUGGAACAAGGAGAGGCAAGAGCCUAAACUUGGGCAUGCCCAUGGCACCCCCAAGAUAAUCUAAGGACACCUAAAAGCCAAAGCUUGGGGAUGCCCCGGAAGGCAUCCCCUCUUUCGUCUACUUCCAUCGGUAACUUUACUUGGAGCUAUAUUUUUAUUCACCACAUGAUAUGUGUUUUGCUUGGAGCGUCUUGUAUGAUUUGAGUCUUUGCCUUUUAGUUUACCACAAUCAUAUUUGCUGUACACACCUUUUGAGAGAGACACACAUGAUUCGGAAAUUGUUAGAAUACUCUAUGUGCUUCACUUAUAUCUUUUGAGUUUUUGCUCUAGUACUUCACUUAUAUCUUUUAGAGCACGGUGGUGGAUUUGUUUUAUAGAAACUAUUGAUCUCUCAUACUUCACUUAGAUUAUUUUGAGAGUCUUAAAUAGCAUGGUAAUUUGCUUAAAAAAUCCUAAUAUGCUAGGUAUUCAAGAUUAGUAAAAACUUUCUUAUGAGUGUGUUGAAUACUAAGAGAAGUUUGAUGCUUGAUGAUUGUUUUGAGACAUGGAGGUAGUGAUAUUAAAGUUGUGCUAGUUGAGUAUUUGUGAAUUUGAGAAAUACUUGUGUUGAACUUUGCAAGUCCCGUAGCGUGCACGUAUGGUAAACGUUAUGUAACAAAUUUGAAACAUGAGGUGUUCUUUCAUUGUCCUCCUUAUGAGUGGCAGUCGGGGACGAGCGAUGGUCUUUUCCUACCAAUCUAUCCCCCUAGGAGCAUGCGCGUAGUGCUUGGUUUUUGAUGACUUGUAGAUUUUUGCAAUAAGUAUGUGAGUUCUUUAUGACUAAUGUUGAGUCCAUGGAUUAUACGCACUCUCACCUUUCCACCAUUGCUAGCCUCUUCAGUACCGUGCAUUGCCCUUUCUCACAUUGAGAGUUGGUGCAAACUUCGCCGGUGCAUCCAAUCCCCGUGAUAUGAUACACUCUUUCACACAUAAACCUCCUUAUAUAUUCCUCAAAACAGCCACCAUACCUACCUAUUAUGGCAUUUCCAUAGCCAUUCCGAGAUAUAUUGCCAUGCAACUUUCCACCAUUCUGUUUAUAAUGACACAUUCAUCAUUGUCAUAUUGCUUUGCAUGAUCAUGUAGUUGACAGAGUAUUUGUGGCAAAGCCACCGUUCAUAAUUCUUUCAUACAUGUCACUCUUGGUUCAUUGCAUAUCCCGGUACACCGCCGAAGGCAUUCAUAUAGAGUCAUACUUUGUUCUAGUAUCGAGUUGUAAUCAUUGAGUUGUAAAUAAAUAGAAGUGUGAUGAUCAUCAUUUUCUAGAGCAUUGUCCCAAGUGAGGAAUAAAAAAAAGAGAGAAAGGCCAAAAAAAAGAGAAGGCCCAAAAAAAUGAGAGAAAAAGAGAGAAGGGACAAUGUUACUAUCCUUUUACCACACUUGUGCUUCAAAGUAGCACCAUGAUCUUCAUAAUAGAGAGUCUCUUGUUUUGUCACUUUCAUAUACUAGUGGCAAUUUUUCAUUAUAGAACUUGGCUUGUAUAUUCCAACAAUGGGCCUCCUCAAGUGCCCUAGGUCUUCGUGAGCAAGCAAGUUGGAUGCACACCCACUUAGUUUCUUUUGUUGAGCUUUCAUAUAUUUAUAGCUCUAGUGCAUCCGUUGCAUGGCAAUCCCUAUUCCCUGCAUUAACAUCAAUCGAUGGGCAUCUCCAUAGCUCAUUGAUUAGCCUCGUUGAUGUGAGACUUUCUCCCUUUUUGUCUUCUCCACAUAACCCCCAUCAUCAUAUUCUAUUCCACCCAUAGUGCUAUAUCCAUGGCUCACGCUCAUGUAUUGCGUGAAGGUUGAAAAGGUUUGAGAUUACUAAAGUAUGAAACAAUUGCUUGGCUUGUCAUCGGGGUUGUGCAUGAUGAGAGCAUUCUUGUGUGACGAAAAUGGAGCGUGACUAAACUAUAUGAUUUUGUAGGGAUGAACUUUCUUUGGCCAUGUUAUUUUGAGAGGACAUAAUUGCUUAGUUAGUAUGCUUGAAGUAUUAUUAUUUUUAUGUCAAUAUUGAACUUUUAUCUUGAAUCUUUCGGAUAUGAAUAUUCAUACCACAAUUAAGAAGAAUUACAUUGAAAUUAUGCCAAAUAGCAUUCCACAUCAAAAAUUCUGUUUUCGUUAUUUACCUACUCGAGGACGAGCAGGAAUUAAGCUUGGGGAUGCUUGAUACGUCUCCAACGUAUGUAUAAUUUUUGAUUGCUCCAUGCUAUAUUAUCUUCUGUUUUGGACAUUAUUGGGCUUUAUUAUACAGUUUUAUAUUAUUUUUGGGACUAACCUAUUAACCGGAGGCCCAGCCCAGAAUUGCUGUUUUUUUCCUAUUUUAGAGUUUCGCAGAAAAAGAAUAUCAGACGGAGUCCAAACGGAACGAACCUUCGGGAACGUGAUUUUCGGAAUGAACGUGAUCUAGAGGACUUGGACCCUACGUCAAGAAAGCUACCAGGAAGCCACGAGGUAGGGGGCGCGCCUACCCCCUGGGCGCGCCCUCCACCCUCGUGGGCCCCACAUUGCUCCACCGACGUACUCCUUCCUCCUAUAUCACUACAAGGAUCUGGGUCUAUUCCAACAAAAUUGGUCGUCGCAAUACAUGUCGAUUUGUGGCGAUAAGUACCUAUUGCCACGAAACAACAUUCGUUGGCAGCCGUUCCGACUGGACGCAUGGUAAUAGGUUAUUGCCACAAAAAAGCAAUUGUGGCAAUAAAGUCUGCUAUAGCAACAACCAUGUGGGAAGUUGCCACAUGUUUUCCCGUGGCAACACUCACCUGAUGCCACAAUUUGCUUUGUGGAGAUAUCUUUAAUGCAACAUGUAACAAAUCAUGGCAACUAAUAGCUCGUGGCGAUAGACAUUUGUGGCAACAGCCUAUGCCAACGACGCUCAUUUUGUGGCGCAUACUCUUCCGUGGCAAUAGUCAAUUGUGGCAAUAAACUAUGGCAACAAUUCUUGUUUUCAUGGUAUUAGGUAUUUUGCCACGAACCACUACGCUUGUGGCCUUAGCUUAUGGCAACAAAUAUUCUGAUCGUCGUAACAGGAAAUUGUAACAUACUAGUUUUGAUGGUGAUAAAUAGGUAUCACAACUGGUGAAAUGUUUGUUGCAAGAUACUAUUGCGACAGUUUAUACUUUUCGUGGUGCUAACAUGUGGCAACCAAAAGUGGGUUGUGGUAAUAGCCUAUUGCAACCGUAAAAAAAAUACAGGCAUUCAAUUACAAUAUUCAAAACCAUACAUAUAAUAUGUAGAUUCAUAAAAUUCAUAAUUCUCAUAGCAAAUAUCCAUCAAAUGAUACUCAAAUGUAAUUUAGCCAUCCUAAUUAAGGGCCAAGACUAAAUUGUCCGUGAUCUACAGUCCAGUCGAGCUAGAUCUUUGUAUCCUGCAAUCAAGAAAUAAAAAAAUAGUUCUAGUUAAUGAGUCCAACAUAACAUGUCAGUGCACUACAAACAAUAUAACAUGGACCCAUGCUUGUAAAAGAUACAGAAGUUGUGAUUAUUGACCACUGAUUUGUUCUGCUGUGUACCAAUUCAUGGCAUCACCUUUGUAGAUAAUGUUCAGUUUUAAACAUAUAAAAAUGUGUAGAAAUCGCACGUACGAUUAUGAAUGGUCAUUUACCUCAACAGCAAUGGAGAAAUCAUCUUUGUUACAGAUGAGUAGAAGGUAAACAAAAAUGGAGCCAUUUAUGAGAGUGCCCAAGCCUAAAAAUAUCAAACAAAUUACCACAUGAGAAUUAGAAGAGGGAGAAGUGGAAGUGCGGUUAUAUGUAAAUCCCAAGUUCAGUGAACCCAUGUAUUCAUGAUACUGCAUAUUUGUAGGCAAAACUUAAUACCUUUGUGUAAGUAACUGCCUAGCUGCUCCUUCGUACCUACAUCCUCAUACCUGCACAUAGAAAUUAGCUCAAAUAACAUUUAUAAGGUCAACCUAGGCCUAGCAGUUUUACUGACAGAGUUUUGUUAAACUUAGAAAGCAUAACAGUGUUCAUAUUUUGAGCUUAAUUACUCCAACAUCAGUUCUAUUUAACACACGCGUCACCUUAAAUCAGUGAGGCCAUCGGCUAACUGGGGCUCCAAGCGUCCAACACAUGAACACGAGCAAAGUGGUUGUGACAAAACAAAUCGCUUGACAACAAUAAUCACAUAUAUAGAUCAACCUCUGAUUCUUAGGCUAUGGUACAGAACUAUGCAUCAAGAAAAGCUUCGCAUAUGCGAUUUGGCCGGGUAAAUAGACGCUAAAAUUGACACCUUGUACGGGGAGGCGAUGCACCAUUUUUACCUCGAAUCAAAGGCUGGACAGUGAGAUAUAAAAGAGUAAUUAUUCCAUAGCGAGGGUCCUGUAUUGCACUUCAUUAUCCAAUUUUGUAAAAUCUGGGCAGAAGGCCAAUUACAUUAUCAGCCUGCGAUGUUCAUAGUCUAUAUCUCAAUCUCGUUUUCCCCCAAAUAAAAGAAAUACACAAAGGCCAAUGGCACAUGGAGGCAAAGGCCAUGGCAUAUCUGCCUUUCCCUGUUGCAAUAUGAGUCAAUCGGAUGACGUGAUUCGCCGCUAAAUUGAUGGAAAGAAUCAGGGAUAUAUGCUGGGAAACAGAUAAAUUAUAAGAACCAAUAAAAAAACUGCAUGCUAAUAUAGGCCAGCACUGUUUGCAUCUUACCCGUACAAAUCCUUCUGAUCACCAUGUUUUUUUAUGCCUCUGCAGACACAUCUAAGCUCUUAAUUAGUCAAUCUUCUUUGUAAAAUCCAUAGAUUGGCAAUGGACAUACAUUAUGGGAUUCUGUCGUCGGCAUCAUAGGAAAACAAUCUACGAUCAAAGAAGAACCUGAGGCAAUCGAUGGACAUAUCUCCCAUGCAGCCCUUCAUGACGUGCCUAUCCCAUUGCUUCGCCUCCUCCGAGAGCCCUAGGUGGGCGUAGGAGGGGAGGAGGACGUCCUGCAGCAGCAGUUUCUCCUCAUUAGAGCAACACCUGCAAAAAACAGAGCCUUCAGCAUGUCUAGAUCGGGAAGAGAAACAAAAAAAUUUAAAAGAACAGAACUAGGACAAACUUCCAUGGCGUCCUAUACUAGGAGCAGCUCCUCUCUCUCCGGCCAUGGCCUUGAAUUCCUUUCAUUGCCACAAUACAUGCACACAUCAAGAGGAGAAGAAGGGAAGUUGUAGAAGAAAGGAGACAGCGGGAGGAGGCUCCAUGCCCGGCGAUGUGCUGGCCCAAACCCUAGCUGCUGGGCAGGGUCGCGCUUGGCCGCUGGAGGACGCGCGCGCCGGAUCUGGCCCGAUGGGAGGAAGGCGCGUUGGGAGGGGGGCACGGUGGUGUGCUGGGCGCCGCCAGAGGACGCCGGAAUCAGACGGGAUCGGGCGCCGUAGGUGGUGGCGGCGGUGAGGAGUGAUGCGGGGAAGAGGGAGAGACGAGCGAGAGAUUAGCUCAGGGGGGUGGGUGGGUGGGAUUUCGCGUUCACGGCCUGGGUCUUCUUGAUUUAUUAUUCGCGGGCUAUCAGAUUGAAAACCAAACGAAAUCGUUCGCGGGCUUACACAAAACUCUGGGCGCCAAAAUGUGAGUCUGACUUCACCUAACACCAAACGAUCCUCAUGGAAAUUCAGUUUAGUAGAAAUUUAUUUCAUUCUGUUACUUUCCGUUUCGAAUUUAGGGAGAAUAAUUUUGAGGCCCACUCGCUAGCUAAAGGAGUUGCGUCUCUUGCGGUGGGUCGCCAUGUGUGGCUAGGGGUUUUGCUCGACAUUGCUUGUAUUCCUCAGAUUUUGAAUCAUGAAUAAAGCCCCUAGUUUACCCUAAAAAAAGCCCUCACCUAACACUUGUCUAAAAAAAGACUUGACCUCACACUUUUUUUCUUUCUUAUUAUUUCUUUCUUUAUUUUUUCCUUAAAAGAAAGGAAAACUGUUAGAAUCAACCGACUGAUUUCUAGGAAGAAAUAUGCCGGCUCGUUCGGCUGCCACGUAUCCUGGCGUGUCUCUUCCAUCUCCCUUAUGCUCUAAUCCAUACGUCUGCCUUCUAACGUGUCUUUGUCGUCUCGUCUCAUCUCUCCUUCCUCUCCCAGCGCGUGGCCUCCAUCUCGUCUCAUCUCUCCUCGGCUCUGCGCACUCCCUCAUUCUGCUGCAGCAAGUUGUUGUCUCUAAUACAUCCUUUGGACCGCCACCGCUACGACCGAUGGCCACCGCCGGCGGGCACAAAUGACCACCACACAGUGAGCCGGGGUGCUACAAUGGCAUGACCACCACCAAGCGAGAUACGGUGCUGCAAUGGAGUUUCGCCGGGCCGCGGGUCGCGACGACCCAUGGCCACCGCCGCCGGGCACACAUGACCACCACGCAAAGAGCUGAGGUGCUGCCAUAGAGUUUCGUCGGGCCGCCGGCCGCUACGACCCAUGGCCGCCGCCGCCGGGCACGCAUGACCACCGCGCAAUGAGUCGAGGUGCUGCCAUGAAGCUUCGUCGGAUCGCUCGAGCUGCCGCUAUGACCCAUGGCCACCGCUGCCGGGCACGCAUGACCACCACGCAGCGAGCCGGGGUGCUACAAUGGAGCUUCGUCGGGCCGCCAGAGCUGCAAUGGAGCAUCAUCGGUGCUGCGAUGGAGUAUCGUCGGGCCACCAAAACCUCGUAGGUGCUGCAAUGGCGCAUCACCGGCCUCCGAAACCUCGCGAGUGCUACAACGGAGCAUCUUUUUUGUUGUUAUGGAGCAUCGCUGGUCGGCGAAACCUCGCGGGUGCUGCAACGGAGCAUCGCCGGCCACCGGAUGAAAAGCGAUGGCGUGGUCCAGGAAUCGUGUGGCCAAAAUGAACGCUAAUCAAUGACUGGCUAGGCGGCUGAUCUUUUCCUAAGAUCAGCCGGCUGAUUCCUAGAAAAGAAACUACUAUAAAAGGAAAAGAAACUUAAUUCUUGUCUCCAUACAAAAAUUUCCUUCCCGGCAAUUUGUUCAGGUGACCCAAUAUUGUGCACAUUUUUGUAUAUUAGGAUGACAAACAAUGUUGGUAUUGGGAGUUUCUAUUUUCUUUGCAAAAAAAACCAUUUUUCUAUUUUCGGAGUGCCCAAAAUAGGAUUUUGGUGAAGAACCUACCAAAUAAUGGUUGCAAAAUGGCACCACUUCAUUUUUUCAAAACUAUUAGACCAUAUUUUAUGUACAAUCGACCAAAUUUUUGUAUGUCAAAUGCUUUCGAUCCACUUAUCAAAAAGAAAAAAAAUUCGCCGAUCCAAUAAGAUCCGAGUCAAAUUUGAACUACACUUGCGUCAUAGUUUGCUAUUUAUUUUUGAAAAACCAUUUCCAGGUACAUGAAUAGUCAUUUCAUCAGAGAUUCGACAAAAUUUUCACAAGAUUCCAUCCCUAAUUACGAACGGUCAUGCCUGCCAUUUUGAAAACGACAUAAGACAUUUUAAAAUAUAUAUAAAAAUAGAAAACCUUCAACAUCGUGUCAUUAUAUGUGACCUUCCAGGAAAAAUAACAAUAUUGAAAUACUUCAAAUAUCUUAAAAACAGUGCUCUCAGAAAUGAACACUCUUCGAACUCAUGAACAUUUUUGGAAUCAGUGAUUUUUUUAAAGCGAUAUGUUUUCCCGGAAUUUCGGACCAAUUUUCGAAUUUGUGAACAAUUUUGAAUUUUCUGAACAUAUUUUAGAAAUUCAUGACUUUUAUUUUGAAUUCAAUGACAUUUUGUUCGAAUUCAUGAACAUUUUUUGGAUAUGCGAACUAUUUUCAAAAUCAUGAAAAAAAAUCCCAAAUUGUUUUCUCAGAUCGUGAAGAUUUAUUCAAUAAGCGAUUUGUUGUAAAAAUCAUGAACAUUUUUUAUGAUUACUCAAACGAAACCAUGUACAUUUUGAAUUCUUGUACACUUUUUUGGACUUGGAAUUUAUUUAUAUUAAGAACUUUUUGAAAUCCAGAAUUAUUGUAAAGAAGAAGAAAAGAAAUAAAAAAGGGGUUGUCCGAACCGGCAUGUGCCAGCCGAAAAGGCCGCGCUGGGAAAUGAGGUCCCUUACCCUCUCCACCCAGGCCAAGCUCACUCGGCACCUCACGUUAAAUAGGAUAGACACGUUUAAGCAGCAGUAAGUUGGUAUUGGUGCCGUGGUUUCACAAGCUAGUGGAGACCGGCAACAUUGUUUAUUUUUUCUGCUUUAAUGGCCAUUCGGUGCGUGGCCUAGUUGUCAGCAAGGCAAGUCCAACUUGUCUGAAUGUCAAGGUCCACCGCGCCAGAAUUUUGUUGUUUUAAGGGCGGCACUACGCGUCCGCUGCUGGAAAUUAAGAAACAUCGGCCGCCUAACCAGCCGUGUGAUCUGUAGGUGCCCAACGGUUUGGAUUGUUUUUAUUUAUUACCUCGGGUGCAGAGGCUUAAAUGCUCUAAUCGGAUCAGCCCAAUGCGCACUAAUCGAAUCGGCCGGCUGGCUGCAGAAAUGAUUAAUGAAUUUCCUGCGGAACACCUAGAGCAGUUUGUUAGCUCAGACGGGAAGAAAGGUCGUCUUUCACCUUUUUGCAACAUCAACGAUGGUGCGGAAGGAUUUUUACAACAGAGGUUGUGUUGCAGAAUUAUUUUUGUCUUCACCAUUUUCAACAUUGGUGAAGUUAUGAUUUUUUUUGCAACAUAGGUAAUGCUUUGGAAAUUUUUGCAACAAAGGUCAUGUGGCAGAUUUUUUUGCAAUAGAGAUUGUGUUGCAGAAAAAAAAAAUCUUCUUUCACCUUUUUGCAACAUAGACGAUGUUGCGGAAUGUUUUUUGCAACAAAGGUUGUGUUGCAAAUUUUUUUUUUGUCUGCACCAUUUUCAACAUUGGUGAUGUUACGGAUAUUUUAUUUUUGCAAUAUAGGUAAUAUUGCGGAAAUAUUUGCAACAAAGGUCAUGCUGCGGAUUUUUUGCAACAGAGAUUGUGUUGCGGAAAAUAAGAUCGCCUCCCAGCUUUUUGCAACAUAGACGAUCUUGCGGAAGGAUUUUUGCAAUAGAAAUUGUGUUGCAGAAUUAUUAUUUUUGUCUUCACCAUUUUCAAUAUCGGUGAUGUUAUGGUUUUUUUUUGCAAAAUAGGUAAUGUUGCUGAAACUUUUGCAAUGAAGAUGAUGUGCCGAAACUUCAGGGCAUAGUUGUCGCUUGCCACCGUUUGCAAGACCGUCGAGGUUAGCCUCCGCCACUGGGCCCCUUUACUAUGGCCCUUAGCAACGACAUGUCGCAUCAUAUCAUCAGCAUUACGGUUGCAACAUGACCGGCGUUGUUGUCACAACAUCAACGGAAUUGCGAUUGCAGGAGCGUCCUCAACAUCGCCUCGUCGUCGUUGCAGCAUCACGGGCUGGCUCGCCGAACAACCAUCCACGCGCUCGCAACAUCAAUGACUCUUACCGGCCAUGGCAGCAGCAACGUGUGGUCGGCCAUGGGGAAGGAGCAGGAGCUACGUCUGUCCUCAAGUUCACUUGGUGUCCUACUAGCUUACUAGUAUUAGCUGGCUAGUAUCAUGCGAAGCGCUGAAAUUCAAAGACACAGUGGCGUAAACGCUGCGUGCAGGGCCAUGUAACUGAAAAGGCAGUAUCCCCGUGUGAACACACGCCCAACAUAAAUGUUGUGAUUAGUGUCAUGGGACGGUGUAGCGCGUGACGGACAGAUGCGUAAAAUCGGCCGGCUGUUUGAAAGCUUUUCCCUUGUUUUAAUGGCCAUUCGGUGCGUGGCCCCGUUGUCAGCAAGGCAAGUCCCACUAGUCUGGACAGUAUGGCGUCAGGGUCCACCGCGCUAGAGUAGGUCCAACAUAAUCAUGUUGCUUUUUCUUAAACAAAAAGCAUAGAGAUUCAACUACGUAAAUUAUCAACCAAACCAAUUUAGUUUUGAGAUUUACUUAUUGGCAUAUCACAGAUUUGUUAAAAACAACCUAUUCUUUAAUUUGCUAUAAGAAUACAAGUAAAAUUUGACAAAUACAUGCACAGCCCAGUGGUCUGAACCUUGAUCUGCAACAUGGUGGAUGGGCAUUCGAAUUCCUGCCCAAGCGAAAGCCUGCAAUUUUUUUUGGGUUUACUAUGCUCUGGCCGGCCCCACUUGUCAUCGCCCCUGGAGGUUGCCGUGGAUGUCACCCACGCCUGUCAGCCCCAGUGAGUCCCCGGGCCCGCAGUUCAGUGGCUGCGGCUAAAGAAGUCCCCGGGCCCGCAGUUCAGUGGCUGCGGCUAAAGAAGUCCUCGGUCAGAUUCAGCUCCAGAUCUGGAUCUGGCAAUUUUCAAACCAGGGACCCUCUAUUUUCGAGUUCCAUCUGGAAGGUCCAUGUUUUUGGCAGAAAACACUGUAGUUUUAAAAUGACAACAACUUGCCUAUUUUCAAAUCCAAAUUUAACAAAUUAAAUAUGUAUUCCUAUCAAGAAAGUGUGUUCUAUCCAUUUAUAAACUUUUCCACUGUUUUGGUUAAUUCAAAUUGGUACGAUUAAAAAUGUUUAAUUACUCCUAAAAGCUUGCAAAAUCAUAACUUAAUAUCUAUAAAUUCAAAUAAUAUAUUUUCCCACUAUUUAACUUGUAACUAAUGCAAAGUCACACCGGUAUUGCAAUAUAUUGCGAAUAUUACCACAAAUAGUUAUUCUGUUGAAACACCUAGUCUCUAUUACAACAAAAUGACUGUCUCGCGCAAUGGAAUUUGUUUGUCGCAAUAUCGCUACCAUAUUGCAACGCCGAUGCAGUUUGUUGCAAUAGGUAGCCACUUUUUUGCAACAAUAUGUGCAACUAAUGCAACAUCACGCUGACAUUGCAAUAUCUUAGUCUCUAUUACAACAAAAUGCCUGCCCUCGUGCAACGGAAUUUUUUCGUCGCAAUACCACUACCAUAUUGCAACGCCGACAUACUUCGUUGCAAUAUGAGGCCCCUAUUGCAACAAAUUUAGUAUUUAUCGUGACCAAACUAGGUUAUGGCAAUAUGUGCGGCCUAUUACCACAACCGGAGAAUUUGUGGUAAUAUUGCGUUUUAUUGCAACAAACCUUGGUUGUAGCAAUAAAUUUUGUUGCAAUAGACCAGAAUCCUUCUAGUGUAUAUACCUACGUACCCCCAAACUACCAGAUACGGAGCCAAAAACCCAAUUCCACCGCCGCAACCUUCUGUACCCGUGAGAUCCCAUCUGGGAGCCUGUUCCGGAGCUUCGCCGGAGGGGGCAUCGAUCACGGAGGGAUUCUACAUCAACACCAUAGCCUCUCCGAUGAAGUGUGAGUAGUUUACCUCAGACCUUCGGGUCCAUAGUUAUUAGCUAGAUUGCUUCCUCUCUCUUUUUGGAUCUCAAUAUAAUGUUCUCCCCCUCUCUUUUGGAGAUCUAUUCGAUGUAAUCUUCUUUUGCGGUGUGUUUGUUGAGACCGAUGAAUUGUGGGUUUAUGAUAAAGUUUAUCUAUGAACAAUAUUUGAAUCUUCUGAAUUCUUUUAUGUAUGAUUGGUUAUCUUUGCAAGUCUCUUCGAAUUAUCAGUUUGAUUUGGCCUACUAGAUUGAUAUUUCUUGCAAUGGGAGAAGUGCUUAGCUUUCGGUUCAAUCUUGCGGUGUCCUUUCCCAGUGACAGUAGGGGCAGCAAGGCACGUAUAGUAUUGUUGCCAUCGGGGAUAACAAGGUGGUUUUUUAUAUCAUAUUGCAUGAGUUUAUCCCUCUACAUCAUGUCAUCUUGCUUAAGGCGUUACUCUGUUCUUAUGAACUUAAUACUCUAGAUGCAUGCUGGAUAGCGGUCGAUGUGUGGAGUAAUAGUAGUAGAUGCAGGCAGGAGUUGGUCUACUUGUCUCGGACGUGAUGCCUAUAUACAUGAUCAUGCCUAGAUAUUCUCAUAACUAUGCUCAAUUCUGUCAAUUGCUCAAUAGUAAUUUGUUCAUCCACCGUAAAUACUUAUGCUCUCGAGAGAAGCCAGUAGUGAAACCUAUGGCCCCCGGGUCUAUUUUCCAUCAUAUUAAUCUUCCAACACUUAGCUAUUUUCGCUGGCUUUUAUUUUACUUUGCAUCUUUAUCACAAAAAUACCAAAAAUAUUAUCUUACCAUAUCUAUCAGAUCUCACUCUUGUAAGUGACCGUGUAGGGAUUGACAACCCCUUAUCAGGUUGUUUGCGAGGAUUUAUUUGUUUGUGUAGGUGCGAGGGACUCGUGUGUAGCCUCCUACUGGAUUGAUACCCUGGUUCUCAAAAACUGAGGGAAAUACUUACGCUACUUUGCUGCAUCACCCUUUCCUCUUCAAGGGAAAACUAACGCAGUGCUCAAGAGGUAGCAAUGCUGCAUGAGCAGAGCAGUGCCUCGAGGAUGACACUGGCAGCGGUCGUCGCGGAACUGAUGGGUGACUUGAGGAAGCUCCGGAUCAAGUGUGGGGAGGAGGUGGAGGAAUCUGUGGCUGCUUUCAAGCAAAUUCUUGAGGAAUUGAAGGAGCUGGAGGAUGUCGUUGCCCCGCGAUCCAUCGACGAGUAGAGACAGUAGCGACCCAGAUCGUUGUCUGCAAUUUCCUUCUUCUCUUGCCCCCGUGUCUUCCGGGCUUUGCCGCAUGUGGCAUUUUAAAUUAUCCGGAAUACGUAAGACAAUUAUUAUCUGCGCCAUUGUAAAUUUGUCGUCGUAUUAUCCGUUGCCAUUUUAUUUGUGGUCAUAUUAUCCGUUGCCCUAUGUGGCAAUUUAAAUUAGGGCGGAAUAUGAGUUGGAAACACAAACAAAGCAAAUGCUGCCAUGGGAUCACAAGAAAACACCCUCCGUCCAGGUGCUUUAUUUAACCCAUUAAUGGAGAAGUUGUGAGCGAGGCGGGCGGCGGUUGGUGCAUGGAGGUCAAAGAGCUCGCUUCCCGGUGAGCAUGGGCGGCCUUGCUGCUCACACGUGUCCCGUCGAGCCUGCGACUGCGAGGCGGACAGGAUGCACGCGUCUUGUUGAGCCUGCGCGGCGAACUGCUCACACGCGUCCCAUCGAGCCUACACGGCGGACUUCUCGCGCUCGUCCCGUCUAAUCAAACAGCUGCACGCACGCCACCGAGUAUGGUUAAAUUUUGACACGGUUAAUAUAAUACAACCGUUUGCGAUAUUAACGUGUCAGCUUUUUGUUUCAAAAAGGACUUCGUUGGCUACUAAUGUGUGUGCCUCUUCUCAAACUGGACGACUUUUUUUACCACGGCAUAUCUGUGCCAUGUCAUGAAACCAUGCCAAGUUUCAUGUUUUUGGGUGAGUUUUUGAUUUACUGGGAUUUAAAAACCGAGAUUCUCAAUGUUUCAGGACGACGACAAGUUUGUAAUUCAUUCCCAUUCCUUAAAUGAGACCUAAACAUGCACCCUAUGACACAUGUACGAUUUCCCACCCAUUUUGCUUCACUGGAGCAUGUGCUUGUAGUUUAAAUUUUAAUUAUGGACUACAUUAAAUGCGUAGAAAACUUAGUAAUUAGUAAUAUAUAUAUAUACAAUGGCCAAACGAACCCUGAACAGUUUCAAAUUUCAGCCCGACACUCCUAUUAUUCUAUGUUGCCUAUAGAAAACAAAGUUCAAGGCGAGAAGAGGCAACAAUCAUGUUUCACUACCGGAAGCACGAGGGUUGCGACAGGCUCUGGUUUGUAAGAGGCUUGUAAUAUAGCUUCGCCCAAAUUGGACAAUUAUAUGUACCAUGUAGUGACACCAUGCAAAGUUUCAUGAUUUCCUGGUGAGUUUUGGAUUUACAGAGAUUUAAAAACCGAGAUUCGCAAUGUUUGUGGCCAGGCUAGGACGGCGAGACGAUUGAAUUCGUUCCCAUUCGUUCCAUGGGACCUAAACAUGCACCCCAAGGAAACAUGUACGUUUUUUCUAGACAUUUUAAUGCACUUGAGCAUGUAUUUGUAGUUCGGAUUUGAAUUAUGGACAUUAAAUGCCUAGAAAACUCAAUUAAUGAAUAAAAAAGGUCAAACGAACCCUGAAUAAUUUCAAAGUUUAGCGCGAAUCUCCCGUUGUUCCGUGUCGCGUGUAGAAGAAAAUACGAGGCUAGAAGAGGGAGUGAUUAUCGUUUGGCCCACAAGGGGACACGUUUCCCUAUCGAAACCACGAGGGUUCUUGCGACAGGCUCCGGUUUGUAAGAGGUUUGUAAUAUAGCUUGGCCCAAAUUGGCAAUGUUUUUACCAUGACAUAUAUGUGACACGACGUGACACCAUGCCACCUUUGAUGACUUUCUGGUGAGUUUUGGAUUUAUGGGGACUUAAAAACCGAGAUUCGAAAUUUUUGAGGACGAGCCAGGACACCGGUGCGGUUGUAAUUCGUUCCCAUUCCUGCCAUGGGACCUAAACAUGUACCCAAGGACACAUGUAUAAUUUUCUAGCCAUUUUGGUGAACUGGAGCAUGUAUUUGUAGUUCAGAUUUGAAUUAUGGACAUGAAAUGCCUAGGAAACUCAAUUAGUUUAUAAAAAGGCCAAACGAACCCUGAAUAACUUUAAAUUUCAGCACGGAUAUCAUGUCGUUCCAUGUUGCCCGUGGAAGAAAAUACAAGGCGAAAAGAGGUAGUGAUUACGUUUCGCCCACAAGGGGAACACAUUUCCCUAUCGGAACCACGAGGCUUCUUUAAGAGAAGCUCCGGUUUUUGUAAGAGGUUUGUAAUAAAGCUUGGCCCAAAUUGGAAAAUGUUUCUACCAUGACAUAUAUGUGCCAUGACGUGACACCAUGCCACCUUUGAUGAAUUUCUGGUGAGUUUAGGAUUUACGGCGAUUUAAAAACCGAGAUUCCAAACGUUUGAGGACGAGCCAGGACGCAGGUACGGUUGUAAUUCGUUCCCAUUCCUGGCAUGGGACCUAAACAUGCACCCAAGGACACCUGUAUAAAUUUUCUAGCCAUUUUGGUGAACUGGAGCAUGUAUUUGAAGUUUAUAUUUGAAUUAUGGACAUUAAAUGCCUAGGAAACUCAAUUGGUGUAUAAAAAGGCCAAACGAACCCUGGAUAAGUUUAAAUUUCAGCACGGAUAUCCUGUCAUACCAUGUUGCCCGUAGAAGAAAAUACAAGGUGAAAAAAGGCAGUGAUUACGUUUCGCCCCCAAGGGGGGCACGUUUCCCUAUUGGAACCACGAGGCUUCUUUGAGAGAAGCUCCGGUUUGUAAGAGGCUUGUAAUAAAACUUGCGCCACAAUGGACGAAAAAAAUUCCUCGACAUAUAAGUGACAUGUCAUGACACCAUGCCAGGUUUCAUGAUUUUCGGCCUAGUUUUGGAUUUACGGGGAUUUAAAAACCGAGAUUCUUCUCACGGAAUGUUCUCAAAUAGCACACGGUUCACUCAUGAAAGCCGAUAUUCAAAGAAAACUUCGUGGAAACCAUAUUUAAAGUUUCAUAAAAAUCUAAAAAAAUGUGGGAUGUUAAGAAGGUGAUGUUUUAUUGCGACACAAAAAUUCAAGUUGAAAAACAUUACGAGAUGUGAGCUAUGAAAAAGACAAAUUCAGCCCUGAAUAGUGACAUUACUAUUCGGCACUAUUCAACGCUGAUUUUGUCUUUUUCAUAGCUCACAUCUCGUAAUGUGUUUCAACUUGAAAUUUUGUGUGGCAAUAAAACAUCAUCCUCUUAACAUCCCGCAUUUUUUUCAAUUUUUUUUGAAAAUUCAAAACAUCUUUUUCUUGUGGUUUUCACCGUUUUCUACCGAAUGUUGGUUUCCGUAUGAUAUUCUUCCCCCUGCUGCGCGCGUGAUCUGAGUCGUGCGUUCUGAUUGGCCAGAACCCAAACCCCACGGAUCGUACGUGUGCACCGUUGGAUGCUCCCAGAUCGAACGGCAACCCUGAGCCCUUUCGACAGCACAUGCAGUACAUGGGUAAGCACUGUGCGCAUACGUCGUGCUAGCUCACGCUUCCUUCUCUACUAGGUUUUCAAAACAGGCUACCGUUUCUCGCCACCCCUCUCAUCGGUUUCCCGCCUCUUCUCCCAUCGUUUUCCCGCUACCAGUGUCAGUGCUCAUUGAAGGCUAGCGGCAACACACCGGCCAUGUAAAAUAUCCCACACAGUUUCUAAGAGCACAAAUGUGUGUGAUAGGAGGGACUAGAUCCCAUAGAGUGACCAGCGUGAAACGCCUUAAUGGCAAGGAGGCAAUUCUUAUCAGCAAGGGGUCGGCUUCCCAUCCGAUAGCCUAGUCGAAUAGAACGCAGAAGUUAAGCGUGCUCGAGCUGGAGUAGUCCAAGGAUGGGUGACCCGGUGGGAAGUUGCAUAUCUCAAGCUUCAUUUAAAUGCCAUGAUACGGUCAUUAUAGAGAUAUAUUAUAUCUCUAUAGUGACCUAUCAUGGCAAUUAUAUAAACCUUGGGAUCCUUGUUUUGUUAAUUUGUAGACUAUGUUUUUAUGGGUUAUUUUUUGCCCUAAAAAAUUAAAGAAUGACUGACUUGACCUGUCAUGGCGAUUAUAUAAACCUACUAUGUUUUUAUGGGUUAUUUUUUCCUCUAAAAAAUUAAAGAAUGAUUGACUUGACCUGUCAUGGCGAUUAUAUAAACCUUUUUCAGGUUGCAUGCAGGGUAUAGGGGGCAGGGUGUUCUUCUCGAGCAUGUCUCCCUUGUGCGGCUUAUAGACGCGACACAUAUCUGUGCGCACCCCGAGGUAUAUAUACUAUCCUUUACCGACAAUUAGGGGGCCCCACACAAUCUAUCCUUUUGACCCAACAAUGAGAAGGGUUUGACCAUGAUGGUUUCCUAUUGAUACUAGUAAGAUACACGUGCAUUGCACGCAUGAGAUUUGGUAACCAAAUUAUGAAUAAAUACCACACUAUAGCAUGUAAGCUUUGAGUCAUAUAUGCACGAUGUAGAUGUUCGUUUAAUUCUUAUAGUUCAUCCCAUCCAAAAUCAAUUAGUUUUAGAAAAAAUAUUUUAAGAUUCAUGGAAAAAGUGACAAUUCAUUUAGAAAAAAAAGUUUGGGCAAUUAAGAUAUGGAAGAUUCUAGAGAACAAAGGAGAAGUGCUUGUGUUUUGAGGUUUGUGCAUUAUGCUUAAGUUCAACCAUGGAGUCUUCUAGAUUGUACAUGUGGCAGAAUCUGGUGGAAUGUAGAUGAUAUCCAACGGCCAGUAGUGCUCGGGUUUGCCAUCUCUGUACCGUCGGAUUGGCUUCAUCCAACGACCAACUUUCAAAGUUAUUCGCACACUAUAUAGGUGUAUAGAUGUAUAUAUAUAUAUAUAGAUGUGUCCCAUGCUAGAUCAAAUAAAGUUUGAGCGCAUGCGUGGGAUGACCCCCCCCCCACCCGCCGCCUCGAAGUUGGGAAACUGACAUCGUACGUAUUGAACCAGGCUUGGAGUCGGGUACGGUGUUCGGUUUGUAAUGUAGUUGGUGGCCCAUCGAAGUUGUGCAUUUGGGAUUUAAACACAUUACACACCACCGUACCCAUACAUAUUUUCGGGCCGCAUGUAGUGUAUACGGGGUCUUCCGAUCGACCACGUCUCCCUUGUGCGGUUUUUUGUGACGACGCACAUAUCUGUGGGCUCCCUGAGUGUAUAUAUAUCAUCCCUUUGACCGAUAAUGAGGGGUAUGUGUUGGCCAUGAAUGGAUUCCUCCUAGUUCGUGUACGGUCACCGUCACAUGUCGCUCAACCAAAGCUCGAGCUCAUGCGUUGUCAGGAUUCCCUCCCACAUGGUCGGAUUGCUGGGUUCGACCUACAUCACACCCUGCGUAUCUUGUCCUUAACUACCUUGCCUUCAUGGUUCUUGUCUGUAUCGAGAGGCAGGCACCACAUCUAAAUUGUACAUUAUUCUAUAUUGAAAACACACAUCACCCCUUCCCAACGUACAUCAUUUUGGGCCGCAUGCAAGAGGUGCUGGUUUUGUUGUCCCUCUCAUGUGAUUUUUAUGAUGGUUCAAUCUAUUGGCCCAAGCGGUUUAUCGACAAAAACAACUGCCGUUCGACCAAACGAUAGAUUCAUUGGUUCGUCUUAUGGUAGGUCAUGGUGCCAUGCAUGUAUGACCAAAGUAUCGAUCAUUACGUGCAUCCGCCCUGCUGACAUGAAGUGGGAGGUGGUGGGCCAAGCAUCCUAGCUAGGUACAACAUUAUAUAUAUAUAUAUAUAUAUAUAUAUAUAUAUCCAAGGGUGCUUUCGGGUUUGCGAGGCAGGUGACACCAAAGUUAUGCAUUGUGUAUUUAAAGUUUUAAACAUCCCCAAUAUUCCUACAUAUAUUUGGCCACAUCCACGUGGUUCUUGACUUCUGGUCCCUCUCAUCGUUCUUCGACGACGCGCCCAACCGUGGGCCCAUGCGGUCAAAGUUGUGCAUUGGAAUUUUGAACAUCACAGACCACCCUUUUCACUCAUAUAUAUUUGGGCCACAUGCUGGCGUGGUUGUCUUCUGACCCUCUGUAACGUUAUUUUUUGCUGCAAAGACUCUCAUGACGCUCAACAGACACGGGUAUAAUAUCUUAAUCGUGUAUGAUACAAGUGCGCUGUGAAUCACCAUGCCUGCGCAAGCGCGAGCAAAGGUGGAGGUACUGGCUCAACCAUGUGCAAUGCAAGUGCGUUGUAAAAUCACCACGACUGCGCAAGCGCGAGCAAAGGGUGGAGCUACUGGCUUAACCGUGUGUGAUUCAAGUGCGCUGUAAAACCACCACCUGUGCAAGAUAAAGGCGGGUAAGUUUAUUUGGAAAUUAGGACGCACCGUGUUCGAUAGACCAGCUAGCUAGAAAUAUAAAAACAAACUACCCUCCUUGAGCGUUGCAAAAAUUGGCGGUUUCGCACCACUUUUCCUUAUUAUCAUACACGCAUAUUGUUAUUGGACCGUGCGCGAUCUUGGGCACUCCCGCCCCUCAUCAAUUCCUUUACCCAAAUUUUAGUAGCUGUCGUACUUCAACCGUCGCCCACACUCCUCCAGCACCGACCUUAUAGUAAAAUUGCAGUAGCCGAGGCAUUUGAACCAUCGCCCUCCCUCGUCCACCACCAUCUCCACCCACCAUUACUAAAAUUUUCAGUAGCCGCGGCGUAUCCUCAAACACCAACCCCCCUCCAUAGUCCCCCAACCGCCCCCUCCCCCCCUCGAACCCUAGCUCGCGGCCACCGCCGCCAACCCCUGCCGGUAUGCCCGUUCCUCCUAGCUUAGAUAAUAAAGUUCAGGUUACCCAGCGAUUCCCAUACCAUCGCCCCACUCCCCUGAGUUUUUAGAUGAGGCAUGCGGUGUCCCUCCCCGCCAGAUCCACAUCCCCUGCUCCAGAAUGUCGCAGCCUAAGCUCGACCACGUAUCCCGGGGAGCCCGACGAGCGUUCGGCCAAGAACAGGUUUAUCAUGGCCUCUCCGGCGGACGUUGGCGAGGUGGCCGCCGUUCGCCCUGACCUGUCAAUCCCGGAGCAACACGUCGCCGCGGAAGCCGGCGAAGACAUUGACUAUGUUGCCAUGCCGAAGGCUUCAUGUCAGCGGGCUAGCGUAUUACUGUAUCUCGGGAAAGCUGGCUACGACAUCAAGCUCGUCCACAGCGACGGCUUCACGCGGGCCAUGCCACAGGUUAAGUGGUCCAUCCCCAACCCCUCUGGUUCAACCGUCGUCGAUCUCUUCGACGGCCCUGCCGCUAAUCUCCUCCGCCAAGCGGUCAAGGAUUUGCGAGCUUUAUACGCCAUCGAGCCCAUUUUGUCAUUUCUGAAGGACACGUUCUACGGCGGCGGCUCGGGAUCCUCAAUUGCCAAGUCAGAUCUCAUCGACCAUGACCAUGAGGAGGGCACCCACGAAGGUUCUUCCAAGGUGAAACAGCCCAUCUGUGACAUCAGAGAGCGCACCAUUGGUCUGUGCUCUUCCAACUGGAAGGAUCCCGUCCAUGAAAUGUGAGGCAACAUUCUAUCAGCAAAUCUUACCUUUUCUAGCUUGCCAACCCGUACCCUUUGUUGUAGUAGCAUUUGUCGUGCGGUGCUUUAACUGUGCCGUGUUUAAUUAUUUCAGUUAUGCAAAAAUGUAUUGUUCAAUAGGGCUAUGUGAUGUUUAAGUAUGAAUUGUCCACUUCAGUUUCACGAAUGGCUAUAUUUGGUUGUUUAUAGUGAGUAGAUGCCUUAAUUAUCUGUAUUUGGUUGUUAGUUUGGUUGGAGUGAGCAUUUUUUCAGUUAUUGAGUAGAUGCCUUGUUUAUAUGUAUUUGGUUCUUAGUUUGGUUGCAGUGAGCAUUUGUCCAGUUAUCAAGCAGAUGCCUUGUUUAUCUAUAUUUGGUUGUUAGGUUGAUUUUUUUAGCAUUUGUCCAGUUAUCAAGCAGAUGCCUUGUUUAUCUAUAUUUGGUUGUUAGGUUGCUUUUUUUUAGCAUUUGUCCAGUUAUCAAGCAGAUGCCUUGUUUAUCUUUAUCUGCUUGUUAGGUUGGUUGUAGUGAGCAUUUGUCCAGUUUUCAAGCAUAUGCCAUGUUUAUCUGUAUUUGCUUGUUAGGUUGGUUGCAGUGAGACUCUGUCCAGUUUUCAAUGGCUAUAUUUGAUUGUUAUACUGGUCAUUUAUGCCUUGUUUAUUUCAGUCAUUCACAAUGUGUUGUUCAUUAUGUGCAAGUCAGAACUGUGCCGCUCGACUACAUCAAUACCAGUUUGAACGACUAUAUUUGGUUCUAGUUAUUCCUGGUGUAGUUAACACAUGCCCUUUAUUUUAGUUUUACACAUUUAUCCAGUGUGAUGUUUAAGCAUUACCUACGUUCUAUUCAUUUUCAACAAUACCAAUUUGAAUUGCAAUAUUUGAUGGUUGUUAAGCCUGCUAUCGGUAACAUUGCCUUCCAUUUUAUAUAUGCUUUAAUAGCAUGCUGAAACCAACACAUUCAAGCUAUCAUUUGGAGAUGAUGUUGUUUACCUUUGCUAUAUUUGUUUGAUUUUAAGGUUGCUGUACUUAUCAUGCCUUUCCACUACUUAUGCAGGACAACAACGGGAGUGGCCACCAUUUUCCGCUGAGUUUAGCUUCAUCCCUCGGCUUGUACUCCCCCCGUCAUUCCAUAAUGUAGUGCAUAUAGAUCCAGGCCUGGACACUUGUUAGCUUCUAAUAUUGACUUGUUGCUUGUAGGUACAUAUGCCCUUGGCAAGGAUCCACGCAUCGACCCUUUUUGCAUAUGGCGCAAUGAGAUAUUCAUGAACAAGCAUCAAGUGAGGAAACUGAUAAGGAUUAUUAGCAAAAAGAUACGAAUGGUGGCAAUCAAAUUGUUUGUUUAUGCUCUAUCCAACACAAUAGUGAGCUGUAGGAUGGUAACUACAAACUCUGCAGCCUUCUCUUUUUACUGCCCAUAAUGAGUUGUUAGACAACAAUGUAUGAAUCUUUUUUGUUACUAGUGGUUCCCCAAGCAGUUCACUCAAGAUUACCUCACAAAGUACAUGAUUGGUGGACAUGCAAUGAAGGUUAAAGUAUUUCAUCCAGACUACAAUGAGCAUCGAGAAGUCGUAAUGAAGACAGUGAAGGAUGGACGGGCAGCCAUCACAAGGGGUUGGCCUAGAGUCGUGCACGCAUUACACAUGGAGGAGGGCACAAUAUGGGCAUUCCGCUUCACCUUCUCCAGCAACCAGAAUGUCUUUCACCUCUCUCUUUACAGUCUUUAGUACAACUAUGGUUCAUCAUUCUUUACUUGGUGCUUCUGUAGUUCUUCAGUAUAUGUACUUGUGCAUCGAAUUAUGCAUUCGUGGUUGAACCUAUAUUUGUAAUAAACAUGGUUGGAUAUGAAAUAAGUGAUUGCCUACUUUCAAAUUCAAAACAUGUGAUUUUUAAAUUAGGGAUAACACUGCACACGGUUUGCAGAAGCGAAACGUUUGCGAUAGACGUGGAGAUCAGAAAUGUUUUUAGGAUCCACUACAUGUGCGAUCAAUCUCCAUUGUACACACGACAUCCUCUUGAAAACUGUUUGCGUUAGGCCACCUUGCGCAAACUUUUACCACAUAAAAACUGUGUGUGAUGGACAGCCUUUGCCACACAGUUUCUUCUAUGCACCGUGUGUGAUGCAUUCAAUAACGCAAACGAUAAAUUUUUUAAUAUCGUGUGCAAUGGCAACGCUAUCACAAACGAUUUAACGGGAAAAUUGUGUGUGAUGUACCUGUGAACGGAAACGUUUUCCUUGGAGCGACUGUGUGGGAUGUACAUACGAACGGAAACGUUUAGCGGGGACUGACUGUGUGGGAUGUACUUGCGACCGGAAACAAUUUAGCCUGUAUAAUUGUAUUUUUUAGCUCUACUAUACGUAUUUCUGUAUUUGAGCGCUCGCCGGUCACACACGACCUCAUUUUGCCGAGCGUAUGUGCCAGGAGGGCAUAUCCCCGACGGUUUCUGGGUCGUGUGGGAAGGACCCCCCUAUCGCCGUCACUCACUGGGCGACGGUUCCAAAUGCCGUCGCGGAAAGGGGUUUAAAACCGUUUGUAUAGCACCGACGCGUACUAGUGAGAGGUGGUGCAAUUGUCAUGACAAUCCUGACAUAAAGGGGGUAAUACUCCAGGGUAGAACGGAACAAAAGCUGGAUUGGCAUUUUGAUCUGCGGAAUACAACUGUUUUAACCCAAUCCUAGAUAUGGAUGAGGUACUGGAGUUUGUUUCUCCUAGUCAUCCCAGAAUAGAAUGGCUUGACGGACCAUAGGAAUAAUAGGCACCGAUGAACACGAAUGCAUGACAUAGUCUUGACUAUCAGUUGAUAGACUAAGGGCGGAAUAUGACUGAAGAGGGAAACUCAAAGGAACACAUAACUUUCUGAGUUUUGGAUGCAUAGAUUAGUAUGUCAAACAAACCUCAACAUAUUUCUUCCGGAUAACCCAUGCAGAAGGUAGGAUUGGCAGAGUCACAAUAUAGAAUGGAUAACUCAUCAAGAGCACUCUUGUUGUGAUCUUUUGAUUCGAAAGAACUUCUGCUAUGGCGGUUCAUGGUAUUGGAAGAAUGAUAUACCACAAACCUCGAGGACUAUCACAAAGGUUACUAAUAUCCUAAAGGAACGAGCAAACUCUGUCAGCAUGAAUAAGCAUAUCGAAUCUUGGGUCCAAGAACCCCAAAAUAGAGUACCUACUAACUAAAUGACAUCAUGAGAUGCUUUCGAGAAUGGUGGCCAGAAUCAUCACACUGGGAACACUACACAAGGUUGGGUUACCGGGUGGUUCUCUAAGAUAUCCUAGUUUCCUAAUAACUUCAACAUAUAUGUCGAGGCAAUGAAGUACCCCCAACACCAAGAUUAGGGUGGUUAGUCUGGUCCAAAAGACAUCAUAACAGGAAGGAGGAAUUUUGCAAAUGCAUCGGACUAUGUAGAAACCUGGGACAACUCUUACAACAUAAUGGUUGUACGGAAUGAAACAUGAAUCAACCUGCAAGGAACUGACGACAUUGUACCGAAGUCUUAUGGAAACACCUAUCCGAGAAGACAACAACUUUCCUAUAAGUCUCCAGUAUAGUAACUCAUCAUCCUGAUAGAUAGAUGAGAAAGCCUAGUUCUUAAUCCCCGUAGAAAAGAGGAGGGUGACUCAGAAUCAGAAUGACACGAGGAUAAGGAGUAAAAAGAGCCUUACAUUCCCUUCCACAAUCAAUUCCCUUAUAUAACUAAAGCAUUUCUAGACUUGACUUUGACCAGUUUAGAUUGGUAAUCCUAAAGGCAGUCAGGCUCUGAUACCAAAGCUGUCAGGGACAACGAUCCUAAGUCACACCCAUCUAGAAAGUAACACAUCAUAUCACUUUGCUGCCCCACGCACGGUAUCCCCACGACUGCAGCCUUACCUUGGUCGAGACCAUUUGCACCUUUUGGCUCAUGUAUAGGAUCGCGUCGCUAGCAUCCAUAUGACAAAAUCCGGGCAGACAUGACUAGUCGUAAACCAAGGUGGCACAAACUUACAGGGGCAGGCAUACGUGACCCAGCAAUGGACGUGUCGGUCAGCAGUGAGUGUAACCGAGUCAUAGCGAGGCUACAAAGAACUCCAGUAAACACCGUGUGAUCCCCGUAGGGACAGACAUAGGAGCAAAGAAGGACACAUGUCGGUCAAUCCAUGUGUUCCAGAGCAGUAUCAAGCUACCAUGGCUCAGUGAAAGCACUAGGAGGCAUUUCCCCAUAAGAAAGGCUACCAAGAAUAAACAACUAGGCGUCGGAUCCCACACAUACCAAGCAUUUCAAUAUCAUACACAUAUUAUGCUCGAUAUGUGUAAAUACAACAUGGCAUUGAUACGUCUCCAACGUAUCUAUAAUUUUUUAUUGUUCCAUGCUGUUAUAUUAUCAUUCUUGGAUGUUUUACAAUCAUUUUAUAUCAUUUUUUGGUACUAACCUAUUGACAUAGUGCCCAGUGCCAGUUGUUGUUUUCUGCAUGUUUUUUACAUCAGAUGAAAUCAAUAUCAAACGGAUUCCAAAUGCAGGGAAAUUUUUUAUGGAUUUUUAUGGACCAGAAGACACCCAAUGGGCCGGAGAAGCACCCGGGGGGUGCCCCGAGGGGGGCACAACCCACCAGGGCAUGCCUGGGCCCCCGGGCGCGCCCAGGUGGGUUGUGCCCACCUUGGUGGCCUCCUGCACCGCCUCUUUGAUCUAUAAAUACCCCAAUAUUCCAGAAACCCUAGGGGAGUUGACGAAAAUCAAUUCCAACAGCUGCAAGUUCCAGAAACUACAGAUCCAAUCUAGACACCAUCACGGAGGGGUUCAUCAUGCCCAUUGGUGCCUCUCCGACGAUGUGGGAGUAGUUCUUUGUAGACCUACGGGUCCGUAGUUAGUAGCUAGAUGGCUUCCUCUCUCUCUUUUGAUUCUCAAUACAAUGGUCUCUUGGAGAUCCAUAAGAUGUAACUCUUUUUUUUGCGGUGUGUUUGUUGGGAUCCGGUGAACUUUGAGUUUAUGAUCAGAUCUAUCUUUUUAUCCAUGAAAUUUAUUUGAGUCUUCUUUGAUCUCUUAUAUGCAUGAUUGCUUAUAGCCUCGUAUUUCUUCUCCGAUAUUUGGGUUUUGUUUGGCCAACUUGAGCUAUUUAUCUUGCAAUGGGAAGAGGUGCUUUGUGACGGGUUCGAUCUUACAGUGCUUGAUCCCUAUGACAGAAGGGGAACCGACACGUCUGUAUCGUUGCCAUUAAGGAUAACAAGAUGGGGUCUAUUUCUACAUAAAUAGAUCUUGUCUACAUCAUGUCAUCGUUCUUAUUGCGUUACUCCGUUUUUCCAUGAACUUAAUACACUAGAUGCAUGCUGGAUAGCGGUCGAUGUGUGGAGUAAUAGUAGUAGAUGCAGGUAGGAGUCAGUCUACUAAUCUUGGACGUGAUGCCUAUAUAAUGAUCAUUGCCUGGAUAUCGUCAUGAUUAUUUCAAGUUCUAUCAAUUGCCCAACAGUAAUUUGUUCACCCACCGUUUGCUAUUUUUCUCGAGAGAAGCCACUAGUGAAACCUACGGCCCCCGGGUCUCUUCUUUAUUAUAUUUGCCUUUGCGAUCUAUUUUUAUUUGCUUUUAUUUUUGGAUCUAUUAAACCAAAAAUACAAAAAUACCUUGCUGGACUUUAUUUUAUUUGGCGAUCCAUCUAUCAAUUUAUUACAACUUUCUCACGUCCAUUUGCCAAUUUCUGGCAUAGUUGCCCGAAAGGGAUUGACAACCCCUUCAUACGUCGGGUUGCGAGUAUUUGUUAUUUGUGUGCAGGUACCGUUCACGUAGUGUUGCGUGGUUCUCCUACUGGUUCGAUAACCUUGGUCUCAACACUGAGGGAAAUACCUACCGUUGUUGUGCUACAUCAUCCCUUCCUCUUUGGGGAAAUACCGACGUAGUUCUAGCAGACAUCAAGCAUUACAACAAAACUCUACGACUCAGAGUAUUUAUUUGAAAGGCUCGGAGAGCCAUACAUAGUAUGAUAUUACAAACAUGGAUCUCAUGACCCAACAUACAAAGUCAUUCAAGCAACAAGCGGAAGCAUAACCAUGUUUGAGUAUAGACAACUACAAAAGAAAAAGGCUGACAAGCCUGUCAUAUACAAGACCCUCCAUAGGAACCAGACCUCUUUCUAGGAUUCCCAAGCUAAUCGGUCAACGUCGAACUCGUCGCAGGAAUCUAAAGUGAGACUGGAGUCUCCUCCGCAAAAAUAUAAAUUAAGCAAACGAGAGUACAAAUGUACUCAACAAGACUUACAUCAGAACUAGCUACAUAUGCAUCAGUAUCAAUAAGGGGGUGGUGGAGUUUAACUGCAGCAAGCCAACUUUGACUCGGUGGCUAUUCUGUACUACGUCUACCAGUGUUUUCUUUGAGGUGAGAAAGCGCACAUGAGUCCACAUAUUCACCAUAUCAAUACAGCACUAUGGAUUCGCUCCCGUCUCCGUACGAGAAGGCCAUCCAUAGCACUCACGCUUAUCUUGUGCAUUUUAGAGUAUCCACUUGUAGUUAUUUACGAACAAUGUAAGCUUUCCAAGAAGUCCAUAUCCGCGAACACGGCUAUUCGAAUAGAUCAUUUAUAACCCUGCAAGGGUGUACUUCUUCACACAUGCUCUCACCACUUAUCGCCAUUACACGACAUGUACUCGGCAACCUUCAAGCGGAAGCCCCGCGAGGGUGCCCACGACCUGACUAACCACACAAGACUCUAGUCCAAGUUUAUUGCCUAUUUGAGUUCCAUCCGCAAGGAAGUCCGGCCGGGGUUUCCACUACAGCCCCAAAUGAUGUGUGCAGGGUUCCCAAGCCCACCAAACAAGUGCCUCGGUACACCGUUCCACAGUGUCUAUACCGCAUCAUAGACCACCCCUAGGGUCAUUGCCACGCACGACCUCCAACACAUAUCCUACAAACACCAGAAACUAGUUGUAACUCCUGGACAGGUAUCAAGGCGAUUAAUAAGUCAAGAGAGUGAAUUAAGGUUCCCAAUGUGUGGUGGUAACUGUCUUGGAUCACAAACACAGAACCCCGUUCCUGAGAACAGUUUCAAUGAGACAACCCACCAUGUACUCCUACAUGGCCUCUCAUGGCUACCUUUACCAAAUCGUCUUCACACACUUAGCUCUCAAUAGUAGGACAUGUUCACCACCAUCCCAAUCCAUACCAGAUGAAUCAGACCUGACACAACUCUAAGCAUAGCAGGCAUAACAAGCAAACAUGAAUGAGUAGGCACAUCAUGGCUCAAACAACUCCUACUCAUGCUAGUGGGUUUCAACUAUUUACUAUGGCAAAGACAGGUCAUGCAGAGGAAUGGUUUCAACUGCCGCAACAUGUAACAGUUGAAUCGUUGUUGUCCUAGUGUAGUAAAAAGAGAGCAGGAGUGAGAGAGUGGGAUUGUAUCAGAGUGAUCGAGGGGGUUUGCUUGCCUAGCACAUUUGAAGAUGAAACUGCAAUUCAUCAGCGUCAACGAUUACAUCGAUGGAACAACGUCUACCGAGAGGGAACAACCACCGGCAAACAAGAAGGAACACAAUCAAUGCAAUACAACAAUAUGAUGCAUUAUUAUUUCAUGGCAAUAUGUUGUGAUUUGGGCCAAUGCAAAAUGCAACCAUGUUAGUUGAAGUUCAAAUCACAUAUUCAAAUUCAAACUCCAAAAGAAGCAUUUAAAAUUUCCUUUAAUUUAUUUGACAUGAUCAGCUGGUAUAAGUUGCUUUAACACGCACGACAAUGGCGUAAACAGGUUCUUCAUAUUUUUUGACAAUUUUUCAUAUAUAAAUUGUUUCAUUUGGAGUUACGGUUGAAUUUCUAUGAAUUUUCAAACUUUUAAGUAUUUUCUGGAAUUAAUAAAUCAUUUAUGUUGUAUAUAAAAUCUAGAAAAUAUUUACUGCGUCAGUAGGUCAGCCGUGGUCAAACUGGUCAAACCUAACCAGUGGGACCCACACGUUAGUGAAACAGAGUCAAUUAUAGAGGCUGACCAGUGGGGCCAAGUCAACGCUGACGUGGCAAGGUUAACACUGACGCGUGGGGCCCAUAACUCAGUGACAUAGGGAGUUAAAUAGGAUUAGUUAAAUCUAAUGAUUUACUUAGCACGUUAAUUAACUGAAGGUGGCCCACCUGUCAGUGGUCGGGGGUUUAUUUUAAUAGGGUCGUUAGUGCUAAUUAGGUGUGACACGUCGACGACUGAACGCCGGCGACCAAACCCGAUGGCGGAGGAUCGCCGAAGUUGCUCGGGCUCGUGCCAGAGGGGGUGGCUGGACGCGUUGAAUGCACCAGGAGGGAUCACUCGCUUGCCCGCAUCCAGGGAGGCAGCGGCUGGUCGCAGGGCGAUCUGUAGCGGCGGCAGCAACGAGUUGGGCAGCGGCCGGAGCCUCGAGCAUGAAGCAGACGACGUUGCAGUGCACGGGAAGCCCAACCGAGGGGUUCCACGGCUUCCUCGGGACUUAGCGAGCACGCGGGUGCUACGGGAGCGGGCGGAAGAGCUCGGGGGCGCGUGGCUCGCUGGCCAUGGCGAUGGCCGGAGCUCGGUGCUGACGAGGCAAUGGCUAGAGGACGCGAGGAACAAUGGGGAAUGAGGGAAAUGCAGCAGGACCUCACAGCGCAUCGGACGGAAGGCUCAGCUGCUCAUGGACGGCCGGUAGGUGGUGAAUCAACGGUGGAGAUCUUCGGCGGCCGACGGUAAAGAAGGCAGUGGUGGCGAUGAUGGGGGUUGUCUGGGCUCGUUCUCGUCGGUGAGGAGUUGCAGCAGAGGAUGACGAAGCUGCUGGACAACUCGGGGAGGUGAGAAGAUGGCGGUGGGCACGUUGGUACGCGAUGACGCUCUCAGACGCGUACGGGGAUGAGCGGGAAGAAAGGCAGAGGAGAGGAUGAGGACGAGGGGGAGGCCAGGGGGUCGAGAGGGCUGCGUGGUGAUGUCCAGGGAGAACAAGGCGUCGAGGGUGGCUUGCAGGAAGGGUGGAGGUGGCGAGCGCGCGUCGAGCACACGCCCGGCGUCCUUCUGGUGCUGGGUCGAAGAUGACUGGCAUCUUGGGCCAGAUGGGCCGCUUCGGUGCUGGGCCGGCUGGACUGGCAGGUAAGUUUAGUUUUUUAAGUUUCUGCUUCUUUUUAUUUUCAACAGUGGUUUUGAUUUGAUUAGAAAUAUCAAACCAUUUUAAAUUAUUGUGAAAUUAAAUAUGUGGACUAAAUGGAUAAAACCAGAGCCACAUAGAAAAUUGCAGAAUUAUUGGACUUAUAUUUAUUUGAUAGAAAAUAUAAAUCCAAUUCAAAUAGUUAUGUAUUAAUUCAAAGUCCCAAAAAUAAAUACUUUUCAGCCCCUGAAAAUAUUUGUUUGAAUAUUACCUCUUGCCAAUAUUUUGAAAGUUUAAGAGGAACAUUUUCUUGGGCUCAUUUGAAUAGAUUUUUGAUUUGAUCAUACAAAUGAUUUCUGAGGCUUUGAAAAAAUCCUCAAUUCAAAUUCCUUUGAAAUUAACAUGAUGCAUGAUGCUCACUGAUGUAGUUGAUUACAAGCAAAUUCUAGGGAUAUGACAAUGAUCCUCUCGACUCCAGAUGACUGGUUGCACUGACUAGUAUAAGUAUUCUGGAAUUGCUGGCAUGACGGCACGAACAACCCAUUUCUGAAGCUUCCUGCCACAUUUGCAAGUACUGGUUAUGAAGACGUGAUAUUGUCCAUUGUUCAAUUGUUUGGGAUUGCUCUGAAACCCGGAGGGGCCUACCUGGUGUUGAUUGCUUUGGCCGGCUCGUUGAUUGUCGCAUCCUCCAUUACCAGCCCCCUGGUAUCCAGAUCCUUGUCCGCCCGUCCCCUGGAAUCCGGAUCCUGGAAAGUUAUUACUCUGAAAGCCGGCUCCCUGGAAUACGGCCCUAGAACCGCCGGCUCCCGGAUUUCCCAGGUGUCUGCCACUGCCACCACCAUUAUUGUGACUCUGAAAAGCUCUGUUUUUAAUUCCUGCAUGAUGAAGUAGUUUUCCCAGGAGUGGUUGUUCGGUUUACCAUCCACACAAUGUUUCGGACACGGGCCUUUGAGAGCUUCCUCAUAAAUACGAGGUCGAUUACUAGAAAACGGCUUCCUAAAGUUACCAUUCUGACAUUGACUCUUAAAGACAGUAUUGGUAUUGGUCCAUUGCCAUUAUGCUGGUGACUCUUGCCACCGUUUUUCUUGCUUUUACCAGACUUCUCAUCAUCCGAGACUAGAUCUUUCGUGUUAUUUGACUCGGCGUACCUGGUCAAGACAUCCAUGAGAUCGCUCAUUUCCUUUACUUUCCUCUUCAACGUCCAAGUUUUUUAACCAAGGGCUGGAUAGUUUCAUUCUAGCACGGGAACGGCUGUUUGAGCGCUGAUGCUGUCAGAAGAGUGGAUAAUCUAUGCAGCCCGUCGUGCCCAAUGAUAGGCUGACUCAUCAUCCCUCUGGACGCAAUGCUCUAAGUCAAUAAUCAUUGUAGGACACUUGCAAGUUCCCUGUAAGUUCUUGAUGAAGCACUCCUUCAGCUCCUGCCAGCUAUUAAUAGAGUUGCCUGGCAAGUUCUUCAACCAUGUUCGUGCUGGACCUUCGAGCAUAUCCAUGGCUAGUUCAUAGCUUUCGAUCCACUUAGUAGGUUCUAGAUCAGCUAUAUAGUUAGAGAUCUUGCAAGGACCCUUGAAAUCCGGUGGCAUACACUCGUUCCACAGAGCCGGCCCCAAACAUGGCGUUCCAAUAGUUUGUCCCGUAACUCUGGUAUUCCGCAAGGCUUGUUGGGUCAAGGCGGGUGGGGGUUGUGCCACUGGUUAAACAUAAGCUGCUCCUAUAUUUCCUGCCAUCCGGAGAGCCAGCGCAUUAUCAACUAUGGCCUGGGCAUCAAAAAUUGUUGGCUGGUUUUAUUGCAGCUGAUGUGCCCUCUAACAUACCGCGCUGCUCGAAACUGCAGGGGACUCGCCAUGCUGAUUCCUACUGCGACUCUGAUGAGGUGUGGAAUGAAGUCGGUUCAUGCUAUGAGAAUAGUUUGCCUGCUGCACGACGGCUGUCUUUAGCAUCUCGAUGGCAUUCCUUUCUUCAAUCUCUAUCGAACUGUUUCCAUCAAUUGGGAUCGCAGCAAGAUUAUGAGUCACUGCCAGCAUGUUGUCACCCGGGUUUGAGUAAUGACCAUCAGGUGUCUGAAAAUGCUUGGGCCGAUAUUGGACCGGCAACUGCUGAUGAGUUGGUGGCUAGAACUGGGUAUCAUUUGGAAGGUUGUUCUGAGUCAAUUGGGGUGUAACAGGUCCUGCACCCAGUGUGCCAGCGCCGGCUCCUUGUAUUACUGGGGCGGGCAAGUCACGUGGUGUCUCAAACAAUUGUGUCGGCUCCAUACUUACCAGAAGCCGGCUUUGAAACCUUCUCCGAUGUACCACAUACGUCUCAUUCUCACGAAAACUGAGGUGAACUGCUGCCACCUCCAAACGUUUAGCCUCCUGAAGGACUUCAGCCCGUGCAUCAGCCAAACAUGUGUUCUCUGCAUUGAUGUCAUCUUGAAUCUUGGUCAGUUACUCGUGAUACUUUGUGAUCUUCGUGUUGCGCAUGCCUGCAUUCUCAGUGGUCACUGGAUCAGCAAGGAGCGUGCCUAGAGUGGUCAUCAUCUAGGUUAAAGCCUGAGAACCGGAUCGACCAGAGUCAGCGGCCGCUAGUGCUACCGUUGUAGUCGCCGCCGCAUUGAUCAGUUGACCCGACGUGGUGUCAGCCGGGUUUCGGCUAGCUGAUGGAUCCAUGACCAAACAUCCUUGUGCAUCGUACUGAGGCUAGUUCUGACUCCCAGUGAUGUAACCACUGCAUGAAGAACCAUCUCGUAAGAUUCCGGGUAGGUCUCAUCAUCAAAGUAACCUCCCAACUUCUCAUUGAAGAGCAGCAAAACUGACUCGGCAUCUCCAUCCGAGGACUCAUUAUCAGAGUAGACGAGCCUGUCACCACCAGACACCAAAUUGGUGACCGGGUCACUCUCCUACAUGACUUCGCCGAUGAAAACGAUGAAAGCAUGAGUCCGGCCAGGUCUUGCCUAGCCGGGUUUGGUAUGGCGAGCAGAUUCAACGAGACUGAUGAUGACAUCCGACUCUGGGUCAGGCCCGCCGAUGAAGAUGUGGAUCUUGCUGAAGGGGACCCGGAAUCCAAACUUGAUUGAGUCGACCUCGGGGCCCCAGCCGGAAUCAUCGAUGUAGAGCUUCCCACGCCGGCACUUCGUCAUCCAGCCGAUCACGUAUCCCUCGAUCCCUGGAAGAGCUCCCUCAAAGAACUCAACACCACCAUGUGUUGGCCCCACGGUGGGCGCCAACUAUUGUGGUUUUGUCACGGCACAUGUCCUCGUGAAAGGACUAAGUCUCGAAGACAUCACAACUAGGUGGUAGCUUGAACAGGGUUGAUCGGAAAUGAAGGACACAGGUUUACCCAGGUUCGUCCCCUCACGGUGGAGGUAAAAGCCUACUCCUUCUUGAUUGCUAUUGAUCAUGAUCUCGAUUGAAAGGAUUUGCUUUUCGCUACCUACCUUUCGAGCAAUUGUAACUUGUCCUUUUUCGUCCCAGUAACUCCCCUUUAUAUAAUAGGUUGAGUCCCUGGUUUUAUAGAAGACUCCGGGUCGUAUUCUCUAACCCGUCUCCUACUCUGAAUCGUGAUGAUCCUCCUCUCCAGGGAAAACCUUUCCCUUGGGCCCCCUUGUGAGCCCACAUGACUCAUACAAGAGCUGGCAGCCAUGGGCGGGUCUCAUUCGGGCCCUUAGUCCUUCUGGCUUGACUCCUUUCGAGGCCCAUAAGUAGUGUGACUCGCAGAGCAUGUUUAGGGCUACCAGGCUCGGGGUCGGGUCUCGCCCGUUGACAUGCUGCUCGCUGCAAUGCCAGGCAUGUAGCCUCGCCAUCAGGGGUCGUUGCCCCAUAUUCCAAAACAGACCACCAACACCAAUGAAGAAACAAAGUGCCCGAGAACCUAGCACCAAAACAAGGACAAUGUUAGAGUGGCACUGUCGUUCGUCCGGACUAGACAUCAAUGAUGUCGGUUCACACACGGAGAGCCCAACCACAAUCAGGGGUGUGGGUCCAAGAGGUCAACCGGCAUCAUCGCUAAGGCAACCCUAGAAGAUGGGCCAAUGGAGCGGUGGCCCGGCCAAAUCUGAUCCAGCCCUCGAGGCCUACGACAACUUAACACUAGAUCUAGGACGCCACCGAUUGAUGGAUACCCUGCAGGCCACCACCGCUGAUGCUGGCCUUGGCCUGGCGUGAGCUUCCCCUGUCCUACGCAAUGAGGAGACCACCUCACUCUGCCCAAGGAUACCGACGCGUGGAAGUGCCAGAGCGCCACCACCCUGAGCAUGCCAGCCCACCGCCACCCACCACACACCGGGACCUCCCGCAACACCACCGACCCCCGCCACCCGCCUGCUGGAGAGCACCACAACCCCACCACUGUAGUCCCCGCAGAACCAACUAGUGUCGCCCGCAGGCCACAACUAUCGACGGGAACGAGAACAUGAGGGAUGGUGCCGCAGGGAAGUGCCCUGCCGCCGGCAUCCCCGGCCCCGCCCGGACUUCGCUGGUAGGCCAUCAGGCGACGACGAGACAACGAGCACAAGAGAACGGGAGGUCGUGAUGGUGCGAAUGGAUCGCCCCCUGUCACUAGAGUUGGCUGACACGAUGGGGGUGUUUUUGCAACAACAACAAAAACGUCUGAUGACUCACAUAUCCAUCAUCUGGACAGUCUCAACCAGAUUAGGUUCCGUCUUUCUACCAAACUUAGCUAAAAUCAAUAUUUGUUCCCUACAAUUUUUGCAAUGUGUGCCUCCAUGCUACAAGCUCUUUCUUCUAAAUCAUCCACAUCGUUAGUUAGUCCAACAAUCUUACCAUCACCCUAAAGGAGUUUUUUCGGGCUCAUCGCAUGGCAUGCCCAGAGCCGUCGGUUGAUCUGCGCAACAGAAUUGGGCUGGCUCCAAACAGCACCUUGCCAGAUCAUACGGCCCUUGGGCCUUGGCCAUCACCCGUGAUGCUUCCAGUCUGCUGUAAGCACCAUAGAUUUUUUUCCUCUUUUUUUUUAUGGUUGAUGUGUAUAAUAUUAAUCAUGUCAUAAUUACGUUUUUCUAAUAAAUGGUCGAGAUUCUCCAUGGGAAGCAAUAUUAAUAUCGUAUAUAUACUCAAUAGCUCACACGAUAUUUGACAGGUCACAGUGAUAUGUCCAUAUGUUCAUCGUGUAAUGCUGCCAGCGAUAUGAAUAAUUGGCAUCGAUUUAUUUCCUUCCUAUGUAGCGAAUUCAACGAUCAGAAACGAAUCAAUCGAAAUCUCAUUUUUAUAGUAAGCAUUAAUGUGUGCUAUUGAAUACUUGCCACCUAAUCCCCUCUUCCAAAUACACAUGCUCGACACUAUAUAUAAACAUGCUCCCCGACUGUCACAACCACAGCAACAAUACCACCAUCACCACUCCCAAAGCUUCUCACCAUGAUGACUCCUCUCUCGCCAACCAUCGUAGUGAUGGCACUAUUGUUGGCCCCGCUGGUCGUGCUCUCCUCGGCGCACGAGGACCACCACCGCACGCCUACUCAAGCACCGAGCCCCGCUCACCAUCAUGGCCAUUUUGCCCCGGCGCCGAGCCCUCAUCAUCAUCACAAAGCUCCGGCGCCGUCGCCGAUCCACCACCAUCAUCACAAAGCUCCGGCACCGUCGCCGAUCCACCAUCACCAUCACCACGCUCCGGCGCCGUCGCCGAUCCAUCACCAUCACCACGCCCCGGCGCUGUCGCCGAUCCAUCACCACGCCCCGGUGCCGUCACCGAUCCAUCACCAUCACCAUGCCCCGGCGCCUUCGCCGAUCCGUCACCAUCACCACGCCCCGGCGCCGUCGCCGAUCCAUCACCAUCACCACGCCCCGGCGCCAUCGCCGAUCCAUCACCAUCGUCACCACGCUCCAGCGCCGUCCCCGGUACACCUCGACGCCGACGAGGUGGACACUUAGAGUGAUAUCGUCUCCUAUGUAUAUCUUCGUCUUAUUUUUCUUGGGGAAGUGUUUAAUGAAAGGAUCAUUUGAUGGGAUAUCAAAUCUCACAUUCCCUACAGAAAUGUUAAUGGCAUCUUUAAAAGUCCUUAAGAAUAGCCUACCUGCUAGGAUUGGUGCAAUGGGAUGCUCAAGCAUAUCAAGAACUAGAUGAUACCCCGCCCGUUGCUGUGGGAUAGAAAUGCAGAGAUAUCUAUUUAUAGAAUUAGAGACAAACAAUCAUAGAAUAUUGAGCAACAUGGAAAUAUAAGAAAAACAUUUUCCAGAUGUCUCGUGUAUUUAUGUGGACACAAAAUAAUGAAUCUCAUAAGUCUUAGAUACAAAGGAUGUAUGAGAAAUGCGAGGUACAAU